rnacentral:lncRNA from 1 species
UAGCACAAGACUACCUCAUCAGAUGGAUCGGAAAGUGCUUUGAGUAGGGUGUCAAAUAUGUCAUCAAGGUAUGUCAAAACCUGUUUCAGACAACAAAAGUCAAUAUAUGAGCUGGACACCGAAAUCUGUGUCAUAUGGACAUAAAGAAGAUCUCCCAACUACAAAACAUUUCAUGUAAACUGCAAAAAUCGAUUGGCAUUAAAGUCUUGAACAUUAAAGGAAGAGAAUGCCAAACAAUAGGUAAACAAAUUAUACAUCAUUCAUUCACUAUGACAACAGCAUAACUAUUUGCAGAAUUGCAGCUUAAGUAGAUAAACUGCAAACUUUGGUAGUAUAAUUAAUUAAACCAUGUCAAACAAUAACUACAUCAGACCCCAAAUUCAAGGAAUAACUUCAUGGAGAAAAGCAUAGUCUCUUUAGAUAUUUACGGAAAACGCAAAAAAUAUAAAAGGGGCAUAUUAGAAUUAUUUACUAGUUACAGCCAAGUAGCGUCCAUCAUUAUUCAAUAGAAAUAGAGCUCUUAGUGAACCUAUAAUCAAAAUGUUGCCAUGAUAUAGGGCAUAACAAAAGAAGUGUUUCCACUGACUUCAGCAAAUAUCCAAACAGGCAUGCAAUUGAGCUCUAUGACAUAGGCUUCAAGGCACAUAAUGAGAAACUAGAUUAACACCACAUGUCAAUAUAUAGAAGCCUCAAUAUAUAUAAAAAUGAAAUCUGAAUUCAAACAAUGUAGUCACCUCAGUACGAUGUCUGCUUAAAAGGGUUGAUAUCCAAUGCAAUGCUUCAAUUUGAGUAGCUUCCCAUUCACUAGAUAGUUGCCUGAAAAAUCAAAACAUUCUCAAAAUCCCUCUACAAAAUAAUUAGCUCAAACUAGAGUUGGCUAAAUAAAAAGGUCCUGCAUAAUUAUGUCUAAAUAGCCUCUCAGGCGUGCACACCAAUAUAGAUAGAAACAAUUUUUCAAUUACAAGUAUUUUGAAAUUCAAACCUAGCCUUUUUCCAGGUUAGAAAAACUACACCUCCUAGCAAUGGAUAGGAUUGCUCCUGCAUCAAACACUUCUGCUGGAUCAGCCUUGAUUGCUCGUAACUCUUCAUUGGUUUCACGGGCAACCUUAAAGCCAAGAAAUAUUUCAAAUUCAUCAUUUUGCAUCGCAGGUGACGAUAAAAUUAAAUAUGGGACAAAACAAAAAUAAAAUCGAAAAAGUAAAUUUAAAAAGAAAAAAUGAUGGAGGGGAAUGAAAAUAAGAAUAGCUCAAACAAGCCUACCACUCUAAUUUUCUCCUCUUUAUCAGAUAUGCAAGGCAAAAUGGCUCCAAGAAUGUCAGCAUAAUAUGGAACAAGCUGGUCUCCAGCAAGUUUGACAAACUCAUUUAUCUGUUAAAACAAGAAAGCAAAGACAUUAUUUAAGAAAAAAUAAUGAACAAAUCAACAAAACAAUAAGCAACAGUUUAAUGAAAUUAAAGACUUGUUUAGCAAGUCAAAACAUUGCCAUACCACUUACCCAUGUGAUAGCGGUUAACCUCGUAAAUUCAUCUGGAGAACCUCCCCUCUGGACCAGUAUUUCAGCCAUUCGACCAUAAUCUACAGACUUCAACAGUAGCACUGCUCGAGUCAGAAAAUGACUAAUGAACAAAUCAUGUUGCUUUUGUUUCAAAAUAGUAGGUGAAAAAAUGAUGCAAAGCAUAGUUAAUUGAUAAAGAAAGGCACGAACAAAAAGGAGUCAGUAAAUAAAUGAACCCUAAAAGAUGGAAACAUAACGUCGGGAAUCAUGGCUGGUAGUAACAAGGAAAAACGAUAACAAAAGCAGAAUUGGGAGUCGGAUAGUUCAGAAGCCUUGUUAUUCAAAAUGUAAAUUAUACAUUAUCUGAAGCCUUACUGGGGAGGUCCUAAUCUCUUGAAGAAACUCAGAAAGAGCAGAAUCAGCUUGUUGACGUAUUUCAUGACUUGAAUCGCUCAACAUAUUAAACAAACCUGAGGUAUUUAUAAACGAUUAACUAGUUUACAUUAAUAUUGUAUAAAAGUAGAAUAAACCUCAUUCUUCAAUUGAUACUUACCGUCAAGAAAAUCAGGAAGAAAACCCAGCAUAUCAAUAUCUGGAACACUGUCCAACACAGUAAUCCAUCCUACCAAAAACUGGCGAACAAAUGGAUUCAAUACACUCAUGCGCUCCCUCAACAAUGGUAUAAAUUCUUCAAUACUGAAGAUCAAGAAAUAAAAGAAGAUUGGUAUGAAGCAGUAGAAGUUACAUUCAGAGAUUUCUGUUGUUUUACAAGACGUUUGAAAUCAAAACACGAGGUACAGUUGUACAGAGAAACAUAUAGCAGAACUGCAGAAGUGAGAAGGUGUACCUGAACUGGUCACUUUCAGUCACAAUAUCCUGUUUCAAUAGAUCAAUAUAUAAGCAUUAGUUAAUAUAAAGAGAAUAAUUAUUUGAUUAAUUCCCAAUUAGAAAAUUUCUUAAGCGUGAACACAUGUAGAUCUUUCCAAAGGCUUGCUGGAGUUGAGAAACUUAUUAUACCUUCACGAGUCGGUCUAAGAGAUGAGCAGCACUUUGUACAUUGCCAUCUGAGUCAGCGGAAAGCUUGCAUAAGGCAUCAAAGAUCUGGUUGAAGUAUAUAAUAAACUCUCCUCUCACAACCUAGCAUCAAAACCCAAUUCGUAAUGGAGUAUUGUAUAUUAUCAUAUUGAAGCUUUUCAUAGGUCCAUGAUUAAAUCCUCACCUUAGCUAUGUUAUAUAGUGCUUCACAAGCAUAAUAUCGAACUCUGCUAUCUUGAUCAGAAAAAGAAUUUAGUACAGGAGGCACAAUUUGCUGUCAAAUAAAAAGUGUAUAGGUAAGAAGAAGAAAAAGAAGGAGAGGUAAAUGAAUAUACACACACACACAAACCCGCACACGCACACAGGAAGAGGGAAUUAGCAGAUUUAAUUAGAUCGUUUUGAAAAGAAAAAUCACCUAAUCCAAUAUUUCAGUUAACUUAUUUUGUCAUCCAUUUCAAUCCAUCAUAAAUUUAAUUUUGAACCAAUCCAAGUCAAUCUAAAGCGAUUUGUAUUGGAUCGGUUUUCAGUUUGAAUCUUCUUCUUUUCUCUAAAAGGGAUGCCAAAUUAAAUGAAUCUCAAAAUAUAUAAUAAAUGUGUUAUGGCCCCUAAUGUAUCAUCUGGUCAUGGGUCUAGACACAGGAGAGUUCUUCUUGCGACCCAGACUGGAGAAAGAAGAAGCAACUCAUCCUUUUGUCAAUAUGCUAUAUGAAAUCCAGUAAAUUCUAAAAGAAAAAAUAAUUGGGUUUACGGUGUGUUUGGUUUUGGGUUUCUUUAUUGAUUUUUUCAAUUUAUUAGAUUAGGUCGCCACUGCAGCAGGGACAUGCAAACACAUACAUAUGCCAGGCCUUGUCAAAUUAAGUUUAUAAUAAAGUGAAAGAUGAUUACAAUGGUGAUACAUGCUUUUGACAAAUACAUCUUAUAAGAAGAUAUUUCUAUUAAUAUUAGACAUACUCUAGCUUGAUAAAAUUCCACAUAUUUCAGCUUUAUACCCCUUAAGGUGAAAUCACCAUUUUUGUUCUUCAAUGUUCCGAUUCCAGAAAUUUCAAGCCAUGUUAAAACCAGGUCAACCAAGGUAAAAAAAACAGAACAGGGCCAGCAUCUAAAAGUAAUUAGCGUGUCUAGUGUUGGUAACAAGAAUUGCAAAAUUACACCUACUAUUCCAUGAACUGACAUGCUUGCAAUUGCAGUUCCAGAAUGCAGUGGUUUUUCAAAUUGCCUUGUGCAUAUGCUACAGAAACGCUAUUGAAGAAUGUUAAGAACUAUUGUAAAAAGUCCUCAGAGCUUCUUAUGAAUUACACAUUUGACACAGAAUAGCUUCUUCUUAUGAAUUACACAUUCACACAGGAUAGCUUCUUAUGAAUUAUUGAGCAUCUAAAUGUACACAACUUCAAAACUGGAAAUGAACUAUUUUUGUGGCAAUAUCGCCAUAGGAACAAUGAGUCUAACAACUAACAAGUAGUGGAUACAUAAACUAAAUAAAGAAAUGAAUGCAACAUGAAAAAGUGAUUGCUUCCACUAGACCCAGUUACCACUACCAAGUUUCUAAGAUACACUCAGAAUUAGUUUUGCAUAUAAUCUCACGACAGUAAACAGUUCAAAUUGCAACCCAUCAUACACAAGUUUAAAACAGAAACAAAAACAAUCCAAUCAAAGUAAAGAAAUUCAGACUUAAAAUUUUACAUUCCAGUAACUAGUGGUUAAACCCUUACCUCAAGAUGCUGAGAAGCUUCAUUAGUCAACCCAACAGUAGCAGCAGCUAAGCCUAUUAACCCUCCCUAAAUUAAAUUUCAAAACAAAAAAAAAACAAAUAACAUUCUCAAAUCAUUACUUCAAACUUGAAUCAACCCAGAUAAUAAUAAAUAAUUGUGCUACCUUGCGGUGAUUUGCUUGUGGGGAGUAAGUGUAUUCCGUAGUCAGCAAAUUGAUCACAGCAGUUAUCUUGUCAUGAUCCCCGGCAGUAGCAAGCUGCUUCAGUAUCCCCUCAACCUAACCAACAACACAAAACCCACAACAACAUUCACCAAAUUGCAAUUGCAUUAUUAACAAACAAAAACGAAAACGAAAACGAAAAUCGAAAAACCUCGAGAGCAGCAUUCUUGCGCUUCUCGUAGAGCUUGUCGGCGAGGUUGCGGAGCACGGCCGCCGGAACCACCGAGAGAGCGUCCACCAUGGCUGUGGGAGAAAUGCAAACAAACUCGAUGGAAGAAAAAAAGAUCAAAUGCGCUUCCGGAUCUUUUCCUCCUCGAAACGAAACAUAUCACUAUAUCAUAUCAGCUUCUGAUUCAGAGAUCGAGAAUUGGAAUUCGCGAGAUUUUUGGAGGGCAUGAUUUGCGUGAUUGAUUGACGUGCUGUGCAAAUGCGAUUGAUUGAGUGAGGAUUUUGGAAUUGGAAACCAGAUCUGUGAAAAUGAAAAGGAAAAUUGAAACUGCAACUGAAAUGUCAAGUUUCUUUUCUUUUCUUUUCAAUUUUCUUCGAAAGUUUCCGUUUCUGCGAAAUUUUACAUGAAAAUUUGGAGUUUUUUUAAGAUGACAAUAAUGAUAUUUAAGCACUGAGUAACUGCGCGCAUUGUGUUUCUUCGUAAUUUGUUGAAUUGAAAGAAGAAAGAAAGACCGGAAAUUGCCUUAAUUUGUGGGCAAUUAUAUCAUCAUAAUUUUAUUAUUUUUGCGUCAUAAAAUUACAUCACUUUCUAAACAUUAAAAAAAGGAAAUAUUAGGCUCAGCGUUAGAUAAAAAUAUAUCAGGCCGUUCGGGAGACUUAACCCUAAUUUACAUGAGGUUCAGAUUAGGCUAUAUUAAAUUAAUAAAUAAAUAAAUCUAAAGCUUUAUUAAAAAGACUAUUUCGGUAAUCUACUACAUCUUAUUUGUGAGUUACUAUUCCUAAGAAACCUCCAAUCAGCUUUAGCCAUCUGUCUUUCAUUCCUUUUUUAUUUAUUUUUUCGUUUGUAAUGGACUUUUGGAUACGAUGUCGUUUACUACCUAACCAGUCAUGGAUUUUCUCAUACGACAUCGUUUUCCACCAAAGAACUCAUCAUCCCUAUCUCAAAUCAACCCUAGCUGGCAAAGGCGUUUUGCUUCUCACCGUGUAUCUACUCCAUCGUACCUUUCCUAAUCAUCCUUUCAUGGGUUUAUCUUCGACGGUUUCCUUUUGGCCACAUUCAUUGGAUCCGUACAUUAGGUUAUCGUGUGUGAGUUGGUUUUUCCACCCACUUUUGAGCAAUCUAUCAACAUCGUCUUUUCCGAUUGAUCGGGUGAUGUGGUUCUCUUUGCCGCCGGUUGCUGUUCAUUUCUUACCUUCAGUAGCUUGCAUUCGUGGGUUGAAUUCAUCUUCAAAGGUUCAUUCUGUGAACUAAUGGUCAGUAUCAAUCGAAAUCUAAAUUCAUUCUCCUACUACUUUUAACCUUUUCUAGGGUACUUACCUACAUCUCCUAGAGGUGUGGUUCUGUCAGUGUAGUUUCCAAAUUUUUCUAUAAAUACCCCUUGCAGUGAAUACCAUUCAGCACAUUUCCCCCUCUCAUUUUCACUGAUUGUUUUCUCUGUUUUCUAUUUCUAUUUCUAUCUGCAAUUCGAAUUCCAAUUCCAAUGUCUGGACACAUGACUCCCAUUCGGAGCUUAUGCCCUGGUAGACAAACAUGGAAGAUCAGAGCAAGGAUAAUUAGAAAGUGGGAGAUGGCACCUGCUGCUGAACCUUCCAAGCCAUAUGCUUUGCAGCUUGUCCUCAUUGAUUCUGAGGUAGUUUAUAUCUUUUAAUUUCUCUUUGCAUUUUGUUUUCCCUUCAACAAAUUUAUGUGAUAUGUUCAUCAAAUGUAAUGUUCUGUCCUAAUUGGCAGGGUUCCAAAAUUGAGGCUACUAUCAAGAAAUAUAUGCUGGCCAAAUUUCAAAGGGAGAUUGUUGAAGGCAAUGUAUAUAAGAUAACCUUCUUCGUUGUUGUGGACAACAAUGGAUCAUAUCGUGCUGCUGAUCAUGAGUACAAGAUUCUUUUCAAUAGCAAGACAAGGGUUCAAAUUGACCAGUGUGAUAACAUUCCUAGACUUGGUUUAAAGUUCAAAGAUACCUCUGAAAUUCAGAUGACUAUGGGAGAAUCUGACUUCUUGAUAGGUCAGUGUUGUUGUUGUUUGUUUGACUGUCUGUUUGUGUAGUCAAAUUAGCAUUUACAUUUAUAGAUUUGUUUUUAUGUUAUUUACUCAUAUUUUUAGAAGUGUUGGAUAGGAGUGUUUGGUUGAUGUUUUCAUUUGAUAUUUCUGUGUAGAUAUUAUUGGAUUGGUUACAGCAGUUUCUACUGAGCAACAAUAUACUAAGUCUGGAAAUGUGACUAGAAGGAUUGAGUUGGAAAUAACUGAUGACAAGUAUGGCAUAUUUAACAUUCUAUGUAACUAAUAGUCAUAAUAGUAAUUAUUGGGAUGAUUUAUGCUGUUUCUUUUUAAAUAUUUUGUCAGGGGAAAGAUUAAGAUGUCUGUGUUUGGAGAGUAUGUUGAUAUUGUUAAAGCUUUUCUUGCUGUUGAUGGUGUUGGACUUGCAGUUAUUGUUGUUCAGUUUGCCAAGAUCAAGACUUACAAAGGUUUUUUUUACUUAUAUUUACUGUCCUCACAACAUUUUACUUUUUCUAUUCAUUACAAUUCAAAUUCAAUUCAAAAUUUUGUGCAUUUUAUACUGAUUAAGUUUGUAUCACUAAUUGUAGGAGAAGUUGUUAUCCAGAAUGUUAUGCAAGCUACAAAGCUAUUGUGGAAUGCUGAAAUUCCAGAGGUUGCUGUAUUUCGUGAUGGGUAAUCUCAGUGUCCCCUCAUCAUAAAAUUCAGUUUCAGUAUGUUAUAGUUGUGUGUAUUUAGUUAUGAGCUAAUUUAAGUUUUCCAUUUAUUUACAAGGUUGGCCUUGCAUGGUAUUGAUGCUCAGAUUCCUAUUGGUCAUAUUGGUGGUGGAUUCCACAAUAUUCCUCCCCAUGAGGAGUUCAUUACAAUGUAUCCUAGGAAGACUAUUUUGGAGCUACAUGACACAGAUGAGGUAUUAUUUGAAAUUUUGAACUGAUGAGCCAUUUUUACUUUGAUUUUGAGGUUCAUUCAUUUUGUUUCUUUGUUUAUAUUCAAUGUAUUUUCGAUGUAGGAGGGUUUGUUUGUAGUCUUAGCAACUUUUAGUCAAUUGGUUGAUGGGGAGAAGUGGUGGUACUCAUCUUGCCGCUGCCGCAGAGCUGUGACUAUUGAGGAUAGGAUGUUUUAUUGUUCUGCUUGCUCCACUGCUGUUCUAGAUGUUACUCCUAGGUUUUUCUAUUUCCAUAAUGCAGUCCUAUAUUAUUUCCUGGAUUUUACUUUCUUAUUCUUAUUGUUAAUUUCAGCCAUAGUUCUCAUGUCUUUUUAUUCAUCAUUGUGUAGAUUUCGUCUCAAGGUGGAGGUUUAUGAUGGAGAUGAGGUUGCCACGUUUGUGCUGUUUGACACUGAUUGUCAGCAUAUUUUAAAGAAGAGCUGCAGAGAGAUAGUUUUAUGCUCAAAGGUUGCUAUUCUUUUUUAUGCUCCUCUUCAUGUUAAGUCUUCACAACUUCUAAUCUUAUUAGAUGAUUAUCAUCAUUACAUUAUUAGUGAAUUAGUAAAUUAGUAAAUCAAAAGGUUGUAUAUGUUGUUCUAAAUUGCUUGGUUGUAUAUUCUUACUUUUUUUCAAUAAAUACCAUGUAGGGUAAAUCUGCUGAUGAAGAAUACCCUGAUGUUAUGAAGUCAAUCAUUGGGAAGGAAGUUCUCUUCAAAGUUGAAAAGUCAAGUGAUCAUGGGAUGAAGUAUGAUGAUUCAUACAAGGUUAAAAAGAUCUGUGAUGACUUGGCAAUAAUUGAACUUUUCAAGGACAAAACAAAGAUUCAAACUCCAACUAAGGUAUGCCCUUCACUCAAACCUAUUUUAUAACUGUAAUUUUUUAUUUGCCCAUUUAACUACACUAACUAUAUUUUCCUUUUUUUUGUGCUCAGCUUCUUACUGACCCAUUUGCUACAAUAUCUUCAUUUGAGGACAAAGAAUCUCUUUUCAGUGAGAAAUCAGUUGGUUGUUCCAGCGAAACAUCUGCGGUUGCUGAAACCAGUGUAUCUCUUGAUGACCUUUCCCCAUUUGAAGGUGCAUCAAUUUGUUCAGUUGCUGGCAACUCUGAGAAUGAUGGUUUAAGCAAUUCCAACCCUGAAACAGAUGGUUUAAGCAUUGCCAACUCUGAAAGUGAUGGUCGAACCUUGACCAGGCCUGCAAGAAAGAGGAAGUUGGUCAAUGUGAAGACUGAAAAGUGAUUCCUUUUAUCUACCUAUUGUUGAAGAGAUGUAUCAGAUAUUGUGGUUGUGACUUAAUGUCUAUCUAAAUGUAUUUUGUAUUUAGUACUAUUAUGAAGUCCUUAGACUAUCUGUUUUUACUAGGAUUUUCCACCAGACUGUACCAAACAUUGUUUUGUUUGGGUAUCUAGGUGUCUACUGUUUGGCAUUCUGGAGUUUAUAAUUUGUAAUGUUGAAGACAUCUCUUUAUUUGAACCUGUAUGUUUGUUUGAAGUCUCAUUUGAAUUCUUAAUGGCAGUUCAACUUUUAUGUGAUGCAGUUACGUUUUAAUUUAUUCUGUUGGUUAUAUAGUUUUGUUUUUCCACUAUGAUGCUUUAUGUAUGAAAUUUUUAAAGAUUAAAAUUUGAAUUUAAAUAAUCUUAACUGAAACAUCUUUUUUUCAUGAUUCAAAUAUUAUUUGCAAACGUUAACUUUGGUAAAUAGUUGUUUAUUUAUUACCUAAUGUUCUUUUGUAUUUAGUUGUGUUUUAGUGCAUUAACAUAUUAGUGUGUUACAUGUCUACAUUCUAAUCUUAAAGGGAAAACCUGCUGGUUUUCAAUGCCUCCUCUUCUGCCAUGCGGGUGAUGGUUGUUUCAUGGGCUUGAAGACCAAAAAAAAAUACUUUGUACACUAAAAUCCAAAUUUUACUUUCCUUCCUCCUUACACAUUAUUUUUCUUACUUAAAAUCCUGUUUUCACACCAUUUGUUGGUUUUCAGUUAUUUAGAUCUCCAGUUAUUUGUUAUGUCAAGAAAUAAUAUUUGUUUUAGACUCAAGUCAGAACUCAUGCCAAAGAAAUUUUUGUUUAAGUGUGGAUCUGUGUAACAGCCCGAUCUCGGUGGCGUCACUUUAGUAACCAACAGUAAGCUUAAUGCGGAAAACGUAAAUAUUUUUUGUUUUGANNNNNNNNNNNNNNNNNNNNNNNNNNNNNNNNNNNNNNNNNNNNNNNNNNNNNNNNNNNNNNNNNNNNNNNNNNNNNNNNNNNNNNNNNNNNNNNNNNNNGUUCCUUCCCAUACAUUACCCUAUCGUAAAUGGAAUCUCUUCCACUGAUCCUAGCCUAAAAUCUUGGGUCUUACAUUACUUCCCUCCAAAAAGAAAGUUUUGUCCUCGAAACUUAAGGGUCAGUAAUAGUUCUGGAUAUUAUUCCUUGAUCUGUUCCUCUAACUCUCACAUAACACCCGUCCGUGUCUUUAUUCCAAAUAAUUUUCACUAAAACACUCUGCUUUCCCUUCGAUUGUUUCACUUUUCUAGUCCCAAUGUUGACCAACGGCGUCUCAACAGACAUAUCAUCUUUCAACUUGCCGAGGUUUAACUACAAUCGUCAAUGAUGACACCACUAAAACUCUUACUCAAAUAUGAUCUUCAGCUUCCGAAGUCGAUCUUUACCCUAAGAUUCUCAUUCCACUUAGCAAAAUUCACUUGCUAAUCUCUAGCUUGUAUCACCGAAAUCCAUAACAAGUUUCAUUCACUCUUAGACUUUAAGCAACUUGUCCAGAUAUGACAACCUCAAGUGUUCAUCUUAAUACUAACACUCCCCUUUUCUGUAACUUGAUCACCAUCUCGUCCAUCAACUUCUUAAUCUCUCAAUCAAAUUCUGACCAAAUUUGAGUCCUAGAAACUUAAGACAACAAUUCAUAGACCUAAAACCUAAACCUUUACCAAGUUUGGACCUCUAAUGUCCGUUAAUUCUUCAAUACCUCUUAAAUGGAUAUCCAUUUCUUCAAUCUAUAACUCCUUCGCAAGAAAACUAAUACUUAAUGCGAACUUUUCCUCCCAACUCGACUAAUCCUCGAUCCAAUCAAGUUAAUCUUACCAAUCCUUCUAUCAAAGUCCAUAGCCAGCUGUGAUUCCGAAUAUCACCCCCUCAAUAUUAAGUUGAUCAGGCCUAAUACAUCGAAGGUGAAAAUCUAGAAAAACCCACUGGAGCAGUCAAUGAGUUCCUAUCAUCCAGUAAUCACAAUAUCCUGACAUCACAUCCUCAACGAUUCUGCUACGGAACUACACGCCCUCAACAUCAUACGUAUACUAUCCAUAAGAAAUCUCUAAGAUUCAAUCUUCAGCUUCUAACUUCCUUUUAACGGCAUCGGUAGAAGACUACUUUCUAAGCUUAGCGUGUCAUUCUAAACCUCGUAUAACUUCUAUAGCUAAAAUACGAGCUACGGUCAAAUAAGGUAUUAAUAGGCGUAAUAACUAUAAGGUCAAAGCUUAGACAGUAUAAGUAAGUUAGGUGUGUUUGCACACGCUACGAGAGUAAUGGAAUAUAUUAUACUGAAAUGAGAAAGAAUGGUUAGAAAGUUACCAUCGUUCUGUUAAGUUAGACAAACAGUUAGUACUCAUCAUAAGAUAGCAUUUCCAUAACUAUACAAUAUGAUUAAGCAAUAACUUCAAUCAAUUUAAAGCGACAAAUCGCUUGCAGACAAUCAAUUUUCACUCUUUGCAGAGUCACACAACCUAGCACAGAAGACCUAUUCCCCAACAACUCCCGAAAGACUCGACAAGCUCUGAUACCACAAUGUAACACCCCGAUUUCGGUGGCGUCACUUUAGUAACCAAAAUAAACUUAAUGCGGAAAAACGUAAAUAUUUUUUUUUUGAUAAUAACUAAGACAAGACAGAAUUAAAUAAAACCCAAAUGCGAAAGGCAACAGAACUAAUAUACAAUAUAUAUAUAGCAUCCCCCGCUGUAAAUAGCGACCUCGUCACGAGUAACCUCCAAUGACGGAAAGUAGAAAGGUGUAACGCCCGUAGGCAAAAUGUACAAUCCCAAAAUGUUAGGUCAAGUGUCAGCAACACAAGCCCUCAAAAAUAAGAAUAAGUCAGAGCUAGGACACUAACACCCAACCUUAAUAGACUCUAAUCACCCAUCCCCCAUACUUCCAUCAUCGACUCCCAUCUGGUCAUGCAUGAAGUCCGGGUCCACGUCGAAGGCUCAAUAGUAGUCAUUUCGCUCCGGGUCUUCCCCGAACGACGAGGAAUCACGGAAGAAUCCACCAACGACAUCUGACAAAAAGGGCAUACAUAGCCCCCCAAACACAGGUAGCACGUGCAAGGGUCAACUUACAGAAUAUAGGAUAGAGAAUACAAGACACCAGAUAAAGUAUAAGGGGUAUAUAUAUAUAUGUUGUCUACAUACAUAUAAGUUCUGCAUUGUCUACCCUAAGGUUUAAACAUAGCAUGUUAUCAAAUCUCUAGUACAAUUCCAUCAUCAAAGCACAUAACGAUAUCUAUCAACAUCUACUCAUCAAAACACAUAACGAUCUUUAUCAACAUCUACUCAUCAAAACACAUAACGAUGUUUAUCAACAUCAACUCAUCAAAACACAUAACGAUACAAUUAGAGUGCAUGAUAUGUCAAUGCAACGUCACUCUCGACGGUUCCAGAAAGAAUAGGCUGGGCACGUUUGAGUCGGUCCUAACACUGGCAUUGUGUCGACCAUAACCCCCGAGUGUCACUUACAACCUUGACAUAGCCGGAUCAGUCCUAACCCUGCGGGUCGACUUUUCCCUCCGCUAUGCCCGACAAUCAACAGGUCGAUCCUAACCUCACGGUCGAUCAUAUCCCCCGUCGAUGUCCGAAUUACCCGAAGGUAUAAACUGUACCCGAAGGUAUAAACUGUACCCGAAGGCAUAAACUGUACCCGAAGGUAUAAAUUGUACCCGAAGGCAUAAACUGUACCCGAAGGCAUAAACUGUACCCGAAGGCAUAAACUGUACCCGAAGGCAUAAACUGUACCCGAAGGCAUAAACGGUACCCGAAGGUAUAAACUGUACCCGAAGGCAAAAACUGUACCCGAAGGCAUAAACUGUACCCGAAGGCAUAAACUGUACCCGAAGGCAUAAACUUAACUCAUGAUGAUUCCUCGAAUCAUCCGACUCAUCUCCAUCCGAUGGUCAAAAACUGCUCAGCGAGCAAAGAGUAUCGACAUACUCAAAACUUCUCAACUUUCUCAACACUUGGAUCCGACGACACUUCUCGUUUUCCAAAACUAAGAUCAUCAUCCUAAGCUUCCUUUCGAGUUUAUUAUCAUUAUUUGAAGAUUUUAGAGGUUGUUUAAUGUCUUAUGAGUUUUCUUUACAAAAUGAGAUCCUUUUAAUCUUAUCGCGAAUCUUAUAAGUUCCCGGGAUCUCCAAAUCCCCAAAUGACUCCAGAGAAUGUCUCGAUCCAUAAAACACCAUAACAAGGCCCGAAUCUCAUUCGUCCUAUCAAACUUUCCCCAAAACUCUCAAAAUAAAAUCGGCAUGACCUGCCCGCUAUUCUCACUAUUCAGAAACUCAGAUUUCAUUGCUAAAGCAUAAAUAACUCAGCACCAUCAAUCAACAUGUCAUAUAUCAACAUAAUAAGCAAUAACCACAUAGCACUUAGCAUAUAAGGCAUGCACCACACAUCCUAGAUUACCCACAUAGCACAUAGCAUGUAAUUCACUCUCAAAAACAUUCAGUAGAUGAAUCAUCUACAUUGUCAGCCGAAGCCUCAGAAAACAUUUUACCAGUCAAACACAAACAAGUGCAUAAACAAUAAAUCAAGUCGAAUUCAUCGACACCUAAAGCAUUAACUAGCAAGGUAAGUUUCCCUUACCUCUAGUUAUUCCAGCGUUCUCCUCAAACGUUCCUUCACAAUGAGCUCCUUGAUCUUCAGGAAAUUCUUCAAAAGAACCUUUAAAGUAAAACCACAGAAUUCUAUCAAAAUCUAUCGGAAACUAAGCUAUCAAUGCUCACUAAGGUUACACGAAGUAGUUCAUACUCCGAGGUACGAUAAUCUAGCGCGAAAGGACAAGUUUUCGGAAAAGGAAUUUUCCCCCUCCUCCCCUAUAGGGCUCGGCCACUUUUCACAAUUGUGGGGCUCGAUUUUUCUUCGAUCAAACUUGGUUCCUAUGCUUUCAUUAGCCGUAACUAAGGGUAUUCUGAACUCGGAAAAAUUAUCGGAUCAAAAACUGUCGCAGGGGUAUUUUGGUCAUGAUUUUUAACUUAGAAAUUUCAAAACUGAAAUCCCAAAAAUCAAAUUUUGCAGGGACGUUACUAACGACGUUUAUGACAACUAAUCCUACUAACACUAAGCUAAGGCGAUAGUUUUUAGCCUAAAGGUUGAAGCUUUACCUCAAAAACUCCAAAAAUGGGUAUUUAAGGCUAAAAUUGAUUCCGGCGGAAUUCCGGCGACAUAACGGAAAGUCUAAUCCGGCAGAAGUGAUCUUGGGCACAUAUAGAAGAGGUUUAGAAUCAGAAAUGAAAGAUUCAGGAUAGUUUUGCAAAAACCCAUAAACUAUCCGCUCAGAAAACUCUACAGAAAAGCUAUGGAAAAAGCGAUCAGAGGUAAGGAUUAGCGACUAUACCUCGAAACCUUGAAGCAGCAACUGAUUGAUCGACGAUCAAGCAAGGAUUGAACAAAAUCUCUUCCUCCUUCUUCUCCUUCUUGGCCGCGGGUUUGGGUGGGGAAAAUGGUGGAAAAUUUGUAUUUUUCUUCCUUUCUUGGCUAUAUAUAGAGGUUGGCAAAACGCGGUAAAAUGAAAGUUUCGCGAAUCUGAUUUUUCCGGCGUCAUUCUCCAUGAAUUCUAAGAUAGGUUUUGGCGAAAGAAUUCCAAAACUAAAAAGAGGUCUCUUUGUAUUUUUGGCAACUAAAGCAUAGUCGGUAUAAAACUAUUUUACCCGAUAAGUUGCUUUUUGCAUCGGAUGUUGUAGUUCUUUUGAUUGGCUGCAUUUUGCUCAAACCAUGAUGUGCAACCAUAUGUUCCAACAUCUGGAGCAACAUGGUGGAAUUACAUAUGUUGUUGGUUUGUUGUGAGGUUGCUGAUUACAUGAGGAUUCAGAAGAUUUAUUCUAUGCUGUGCGUUUUAUCUUUUGAAGGUGUGUUUGUUUUAAUCUUGGCUGAAGUAACAAGAUUGAUAGCGUGUGAACCAAGUCUAUCUCAAAGUUUGAAUUCUGUUUUACUUGGUUCUGUUAUUUUAUUCUGGUAAGAUUUGAUUCCAUGAAGAUUCUUUCCAGAAGUGUGUUAGUGGACUCUAUGACGUUUAGCCCAUUGAAGGUCCAAGCCUCAAGUGAACGUCUAUAUAAAGGAUCUUAUAAACCCUAGCUGCUUACGGAUUCAGAGAGAUAUAUACUGAUCUUAGGGUUUUUAUUUGUGAGUCCUCUUGUGAGUUUUGUACCAACUUAGUGCUUUCGUUCAUCAAAGUACUAAGUUGAUUUGUUUAGGUGAGUUGUAAUCUCAUCAAACUUGUUUGUUGAUUAACAUGAUAUGAUCGCUGUGGCAGUGGUCAUUAGGGGUUAGAGAAAGUUUUCUCAUAGCUUAGAGGAGAAGGGCUAAGCUAGAUUCACUUGUGUAAUAGUGGUGGACAUAAAAGAGGCUCUAUACUAAGGGGGAGUACUUAGGUAUAGGAGGGACUUUCAUGUGACCUGAGAGCUAUUAUUUGAUAGUGAAUUGACUCCUGGAUUGGUAUCCUCCAGACGUAGGUGAUGUUCACCGAACUGGGUUAACAACUCCUUGUGUUUGUCUGUUUAACUGUUUGUUUAUUUUUAAUACUCUGAUUGUGUUUUGUUGUGCUAAUUGUGUUUUGUUGUGCUACACAUUGUUGCAACAUUGUGUAUCACAUCUGUCCUAGGUGAAUACGAAUUUCAGAUGUCGGAAUGGAAAACUUCCUUCUGAAGAAAGAUUGAAAUCAUCAAGAGAAAUGGGUGUACGCGUGUAGAAUAUUCAUUUGAAGCUCUGAAUAGAUAAAGUCUUCAUUGCCAAGAAUUUCUAGGGUUUUGAAAUACCAGGGUUUCGGUUUUGGCAAACUUCCGAUGAUUGGAAUCGGACGUUCGUAGAUCCUAGAGUUUCGCCUCGAAACGAUUGUGAUAUAUGGAAAAAGAGAAGUUCUAACAUUUCUUUGAAGAUUUUUGGAAUUAACUUCCGUCGUGCCUAUAAAUGAAAAUUAGCUAUAUAUUAGGGUUUCUGACCUAGGUUUAAGCGUAUAACGAUCGUGCUAUAACUUUUAUCGAUCAUAAUGCAAUCCUUGAACUUUUCCUGAACUUUCUCCCUCAUAAAUGUAUUUCAUUUAAUGAACUUUUGUUCAGGUUUCCCUUCGCAUUACAUCAACCCUAAUCGUGAAUGGAAAUCUCUUCCACUGAUCCUAAGCUUAAAAUCUUGGGUCUUACAUUACUACCCUCCAAAAAGAAAGUUUCGUCCUCGAAACUUAAGGGUCAGUAAUAGUUCUGGAUAUUAUUCCUUGAUCUUUUCCUCUAACUCUCACAUAACACCGUCCGUGUCUUUAUUCCAAAUAAUUUUCACUAAAACACUCUGCUUUCUCUUCGAUUGUUUCACUCUUCUAGCCCCAAUGCUGGUUCGACGGCGUCUCAACAGACAUAACAUCUUUCAACUUGCCGAGGUUUAACUACAAUCGUCAAUGAUGACACCACUAAAACUCUUACUCAAAUAUGAUCUUCAGCUUCCGAAGUCGAUCUUUACCCUAAGAUUCUCAUUCCACUUAGCAAAAUCCACUUGCUAAUCUCUAGCUUGUAUCACCGAAAUCCAUAACAAGUUUCAUUCACUCUUAGACGCACUUGAUUAGUGUUUUUGUUUAUGUGAAAUCACUUUUGUAUCUGAAAUUAUCUCUUUCAAAUAUUAUGAUUUUUUUGUAAUCUACUAAUAUCCAUUAGAUGUUCUCCCAUUAAAAUGAUUGUUAUCUCUAAUUUUUUCCAGUAAGUUAUUAAACUGAAUUCAUUAUUUGCCAGAUUUUUUUAAUCUAUGACUUCUUAAUUUACAUCUUUCUAUACUACCAUAAUUUACCUUUUCAGGUGUUCACUAAACUAUUAACUUGCGACGACGAUGUAUGCUCUUCGUCUAAGGUCCCCUCAUUCCAAUCCCAAGAUUUUUGUGCGACAACUUAAAUCCUCUGAUGGUAUUACCCUAAACUUUUUGUAAAGNNNNNNNNNNNNNNNNNNNNNNNNNNNNNNNNNNNNNNNNNNNNNNNNNNNNNNNNNNNNNNNNNNNNNNNNNNNNNNNNNNNNNNNNNNNNNNNNNNNNNNNNNNNNNNNNNNNNNNNNNNNNNNNNNNNNNNNNNNNNNNNNNNNNNNNNNNNNNNNNNNNNNNNNNNNNNNNNNNNNNNNNNNNNNNNNNNNNNNNNNNNNNNNNNNNNNNNNNNNNNNNNNNNNNNNNNNNNNNNNNNNNNNNNNNNNNNNNNNNNNNNNNNNNNNNNNNNNNNNNNNNNNNNNNNNNNNNNNNNNNNNNNNNNNNNNNNNNNNNNNNNNNNNNNNNNNNNNNNNNNNNNNNNNNNNNNNNNNNNNNNNNNNNNNNNNNNNNNNNNNNNNNNNNNNNNNNNNNNNNNNNNNNNNNNNNNNNNNNNNNNNNNNNNNNNNNNNNNNNNNNNNNNNNNNNNNNNNNNNNNNNNNNNNNNNNNNNNNNNNNNNNNNNNNNNNNNNNNNNNNNNNNNNNNNNNNNNNNNNNNNNNNNNNNNNNNNNNNNNNNNNNNNNNNNNNNNNNNNNNNNNNNNNNNNNNNNNNNNNNNNNNNNNNNNNNNNNNNNNNNNNNNNNNNNNNNNNNNNNNNNNNNNNNNNNNNNNNNNNNNNNNNNNNNNNNNNNNNNNNNNNNNNNNNNNNNNNNNNNNNNNNNNNNNNNNNNNNNNNNNNNNNNNNNNNNNNNNNNNNNNNNNNNNNNNNNNNNNNNNNNNNNNNNNNNNNNNNNNNNNNNNNNNNNNNNNNNNNNNNNNNNNNNNNNNNNNNNNNNNNNNNNNNNNNNNNNNNNNNNNNNNNNNNNNNNNNNNNNNNNNNNNNNNNNNNNNNNNNNNNNNNNNNNNNNNNNNNNNNNNNNNNNNNNNNNNNNNNNNNNNNNNNNNNNNNNNNNNNNNNNNNNNNNNNNNNNNNNNNNNNNNNNNNNNNNNNNNNNNNNNNNNNNNNNNNNNNNNNNNNNNNNNNNNNNNNNNNNNNNGAUCACAACGAAGUAAUAGACAGCAAGAACGAUUAAGAGACAAGAACGUUUGUUCACGCAGUUCGGCCAAUUGAGCCUACCUCUGCGGCUAUAGGGUAGCUAUAACUCCUUUUCAUUCAAUGUGUUAUGAAGUACUUACAUUGGGGUUAGGGACCUUGUCUAUUUAUAGGACUGUAACACCCCGAUUUCGGUGGCGUCACUUUAGUAACUCAAAAAUAAAAUAAAGCGGAAAAGCAGGUUUUUUUUUUGUUGUUUUGUUUAAAUAAAAAGACUUGUCGAAAUAAGGUCUCAACCCAAUCGCAAUUAACAGCGAUUAAUAUACAAAAUAAGCACAGCUCUUGCUGCAACUAAAAACAUCGUCACGAGUGUCCUCAAGUGACGGAAAGUAAUAUUAAGUAAUUGAAAGUAGUGCCCGCGGGCAAAUAAGUGCGGCUCAUAGUCAGAGUCACAAGCUUUAUAACUACAGUCCUCCAAGAAAAUAAAUUAGCCCCAAACGGCCUCCAAAAGACUUCCUACGCCCGACAAACUCCCUGUGAUCCUCAUGGAAGAGAAUCACACAAAAAGCUAAUAGUCGGGAACCUACCCUGCCCCAAAAUACAACUGAUGAAUCAGAGCUAUGACCAUGACAACCAAAAUCAGUAACUCUAACCACCCAUAUCCUACACCACUAUCUUCGACCCUCAUCUGAUCUUCCAUGAAGUCCGGGUCCACGUCGAAGGCUCAGUAGUAGUCAUUUCGCUCCGGGUCCUCCCCGAACGACGAACCUUCUUGAAUCAUCUGUUGAACGUCUGGCAGCAGGCCGACCGCCCAAACACAAACAUACAAACAAAGCCACGGCGCUAGGGUCAACUCACGGAAUAUAGUAGAUAAUACAAACAGCAUGUGAAGAAUAAGGGGGUAUGUAUAUAUAUAUGUUGUAUAUAUAUAUUUAUAUGUUCUGUAUUGCCUACCCUAAGGUAUAUACUUAGCAUGUUAUCAAGGCUCUAAUAACAAUUCAAUGAAUAAUAUCUCAACAAUACAAUAAGCAUUAUCUCAACAAUUCCAUAUUGGGCGCAUGUAUGCAUGCAAUGUCAAUUCAAACGUUGAUCCCAAAAAUAGGCAUGUCAAGUCGAUCCAACCCAUUGGGUCGAACACAAGGACUCGCACACGCAGUAAAUGACAACGCCAAGUCGGUUCUCUCAUUAGAGUCGAACAUACGGACGUUGCGCGCGUCUAAUGACUAUCGCCGAAUCGAUCCAAUCCCUCGGAUUGAAUAUAAGGAUCCGCGCGUGUCGAAAUAUUAUCGCUGAAUCGGUCCAAUCCCUCGGAUUGAACUCACGGACUCACGCGAGUUUAUAUGGCGAUGGCUGAAUCGAUCCAAUCCAUCGGAUUGAAUAUAAGGAUUCACGCGUGCCCGAGUGACUACCGCCGAAUCGAUCCAAUCCCUCGGAUUGAAUAUAAGGAUUCACGCGUGUCAAACGAUUAUUGCCGAAUCGGUCCAACCCGUCGGGUUGAACACAAGGAUUCGCGCCCGUUAAGCCGAAGAUAAUGUCGAUUAUGCGACAAAAUGAAUUAAUCAAAAGAAGAAAGAAUGAACUUGGAACUCAUAGUUCCCGGCUAAACUUUAGAUAGCCAAACAAUAAACUGCUCAUCGAGCGAAGAGUACCGAAGUACUUGGAAACUUAUAAUUUCCGGCUAAACUUUAGAUAGCCAAACAAUAAACUGCUCAUCGAGCAAAAGAGUAUCAACAUACUCGGAAACUUGUAAGUUUCUUCUAAACUUGGACUCGGCGACCCUUCUCAUCUUUCAAACUAAUAUUCAAGCUCCAAGCUCUUAUCUAAGGUUGUUACCAUUAUUCAAUGGUUUUAGAGAUUGAUUAAUGUCUUAUGAGUUUUCCUUGAGAAAAUAGGUUUCUUUUAAUCUUAUAAUACUUCCUAUAAGUUUCAGGGAUCCCAUAAUCCCAAACAAUUCCUUGAGAAGGUCUCGAUCCAUUAAAACAUAACAAGGUCCGAACUCCGUUCGUCCUUUCGAACUCUCUCAAAAAUCUCAUAAAAUUCGGCAUGACUUGCCCGUUAUCCUCACUCAUCAGUAUCACAGAUAUAAGUGGAAUAGCAUAACUAAAUCAGCGCAAUCAAUAAGCAUAAACAGCAUAUUCCAACACAUCCUAGAUUAACCAGCAAACGGCCGAAGCCUCUCAGAAAACAUUUUUCCAUAAAGCGAUAAACAAUAUCCAAGCAAUAUUCAAUAUCAACACAAUAACCCAGUCGAAUUGAUCGACGCCUACAAGGAAAUAGCUAGUAAGUAAGUUGCCCUAACCUCGAGUUGUUCUAGUCUCGCGGUGCAGGUCUCGCUCACAAGCUUGUUCAGUCAAGCCCAAGGUUUCCACAAACGAACCUUAGAGCAAAUAAAGCAGAAAUCAAUCAAAUUAAGUCGACAUAAUCGAAACAAUACUAACUAGAGUUAGACAAAGCUCAAGAAACUUCAGAGUACAACACUUAGGCACGAAUGAAAGGGCUUUCCCCGAAUGGAUGAGUUUUGACUCGAUUCAAGUUUUGUGCAAAAACACUUUAUUCGCUAAAACGUGCAUAACUCGAGCUACAGAACUCGGAAUGACACGAAACCGGCGCCAAAAUUUCGACAAUUGAAAGAGCUACGCAAUGGCUCAGGUCAUAGAGACCCAAAAAUUAUUUUUGGACACGGUACCCAAGCAAAUAGGUUUCGGCCACUAUGGAAAAUAGGGUUUUCGAACUUUUUCUUCGAUCUAAAUCAAUUCCUAGGUAUUCUUAGGCGAUAUCUAGGCCAGGGAAACUCUCAGAAAAAUUAUCGGGUUAAAAACUGUCGCAGGGGUAUUUUGGUCAAUAUUUUUAGCUCAGAAUUUCAAAACUGAAUUUUCGAAAAACAAAUUGGAUGGGAAUGUCAACAACGACGUUUAUGACGACUAAUCCUACUAGCACUAAGCUCAAUCGUCAGUUUUAAGCGUAAAGAACGAAACUUUGCCCAGAAAUGGGUAUUUGAUGCAAAAAUUGAUUCCGGCGGCAUUUCGUCGACAUCUGACAAAAUCUAAUCCGCAGAACACGCUCAGAAGCAUGCAGGGAAUAAGUUUAGACACUGAAAUCAGCUUAUUUGAACAGUUUUACAAAAAGCUCAAAACUUUGAGCACAGAAAGACAUAGAAGAAGUCGACAGAUCUGACGAUCAGAAGUGACAGAUAGUAACUAUACCUCGAUGUCUUCGAUUAGCAACGAACGGUGAAGCAAUCGGGCAAGAAACGGCGAAAAUCACUUCUCCUCUUUCUCUCCUCCAAGCUCUCGGCCACUCCCUCUCCAAAUGGCAAUUUUUUUGUUUUUUUUUUUUCAUUUUUCAUACUAUAUAUAGGAAAUGGAAAACGCGGAAAAAUGAAAAUUUCGCGAUUCCGAUUUUUCCUACUGAUUCCAACGUAUUUUAGACACAAUAUUCUUCCCGCUGAAUCUUCUAAUUCUUCAAAGAAAUAUCAGUAUGAUUUUUGGUUUUCGAGGCUUGUUUUUAAUGCUUACCGGCAUUAAAAAUGCACUUUAUGCACUUUAUGAUAUUGACCUCGGAUGCAGAAACUUCCUUCUGAAGAAAGAUUUGGAACGUCGAUUAGAGUGAGCGUCCGCGGAUGAAAUCUUUAUUUGAAGCCCCGAGUAGAAAAGUCUCCAUCGUCCGUCGAUUUUAGGGUUUCUGAACUAUCAGGGAUUCCGUUUCGGCAAACUUCCGAGUAUCGGAAUCAGACGUUCGUACAUCCUAGAGUUUCGUAUCGAAACGCUCGUUUUGGAAAGGAAUAAGAGAAAGUCCUAUUUUCCUCUAGAAGAUUUUUGGAAAAUUUCCUAUAGUGUUCCAAAGCUGGAAGUUUGUUGGAAAUUAUAUUCCUAUAGUGUUCCAAAGCUGGAACAUAGUUUUGUUUCCUAAAGUUCUUGUCCUAGGUUUUAAAUGCGAAUAUUAGUCGUGCUAUAACUCUUAUCGACUUUGAUACAAUCUUUAGCUUUUCUUGAACUUUCUCCUUCACAAAUUCAUUCCAUCCAUUUACCCCUUGUUCAGGUUUUCCCUUCACGUUACAUCAAAUUAAUCGUGAAAAGAAAUUUUAUUCGGUUUAUUCCAACUCAAAAACUUGGGUCUCACAUUACUACCCUCCAAAAAGAAAGUUUCGUCCUCGAAACUUAGGGUUCAGCAAAAACUCCGAAUAUUAUUCCUUGGUCUCUUCAUCUAACUCCCAUAUAGCACCAUGAAAUCAAUCUUCUACUUAGUCACCCUUCAAAUUAAACCUCGACUUGAGCCUUAAUACCUAGUGCAUCACUAAACUCAUUCCCUUUAACAUCAACUUAUCAACAACUUAUAAGCAAAUCUUCAUCUUAAUAUCUAACAACCCAUUAUUGACAUCUCUUUCUUCAAAACUUUCCUUACUCAAACUAAUUUACACUUAUUGAAAUCCUUAACACUUCGCACAAAUCAGAACUCAUCCCCUAGAAGAUUAAAUCAUAACUAUACCUCAAAGGACUUAACUAGUCAUUUUAUCAUCCGAUCCUUCAACCUCCCGAGAUUUAACUGUUAUCGUAACCGCUAACACCACUAAAUUCCUUAUGCGUACAUGAAUCUCAGCUCACUAGGUCAACCUUAGCCCUAGGAUCCUCAUUCAACUUAGUAGAAUUCAUUGGUUAACUCUAGUAUACCUCAUCAGAAUCCAUAACAAGGUUCCAUUCACUCUUAGACUCUAUGAAACUUGCCCAAAUAUAACGACUUCAAGUAUUCAUCUUAAUACUAGCACUUUCCUUUCUGUAUCUCAAUCACCAUCUCGUCAAUCAAUUUCUUAAUCUCUCAAUCAAGUUCUGACAAACUUCGAGUCCUACACACCUUAGACAGAAAUCCAUAGAUUUAAAACCUAAACCUUCACCAAGUUUGGUCCUCUAAUGGCCUUUAAUCCUUCAAUACUUCUUAAGUGAAUAUCCAUUUCUUAAAACUAAAACUCCUUCGCUUACACAAACGACCUGAUAAGUGUCGUCAUGCUUUCACACUCACAACUUGAUCCUGAUAUCCAUAAUCAUAACUUACUAUGCUAACAUCAUUCAAAUCUUAUCACAUGGUUCAUUAUGUCCGCAAUCCCAUAAUCAACAUCAAUCGAUCACCAACUUAUAACCAACCUUAACACUCUACACAACUCCGAAUUCCUUUACUUCAAGAUCUCUCUUAUACUGUACCUCAAUGGUCUUAACCCGCAACUCAUCUUCAGAUCUCUAAUCUUCUAAGAUUCAAAUCCUAUUAUCACACCUACAACCAUAAGAUCUCCUACUCGUACGUGAUUCUCAACUCUCAAGGUCAAUCUUAACCCUAAGAUUUCAAUCCAACUUAGUAAAUCUCACUUAGUAAUCUUAGCAUGUUUUCCUAAAAUCCAUGUCAACAAUCCCAAGUAUUCAACUUAUGCUAAAACUUUCUUUUUCUAACUUAAUCAUUGAUUCAACACUUAGUCACUCCAGCAAACUCCUGACAAUUCUCUAAGUCUUACACAUUCAAGUUAAACUUCAUGGGCUUAAAAUCUAAACUUUUAUCUAGUUUGCAUCGGUAAUGUCCUUUGACCCUUCAACACUUUUCAAGUGAAAAUUCAUCUCUUAAGACUAUAAUGUCUCCACAAAUUAAUCAUGCACUUAGCAAAACUUAUUCCUCGAACUCGACUACAACAAUCUAGUUCAAAGUUAAUUCUUCUCAAUCUUGCUACUAUCAAGCUAUCAUCUAUAACCUGAUUAAAUCCAACCUAUUUAGUCUCUAACAAUUCCACUCAGUAAUCACAUAACCUAUGACUUCAUAACUUCCGAGAAAAUACCUAAUAUUUUUCCAACAUUAAAUCUCUUGACUUAGUCUACCUCUACUUGGAGUAAUCACACGAACUAACCAAUUAAUUUAUAUACGACAAUCAUCAACUUCCAAAGAUUUAAAUCUUAAUCUUUUACAAUCAAGUGCUUAACACGAACUUUCCUCCCAAAUCCGACUAAACCUCGAUCAAUUCAAAUUCAUCUUACACAUCCUUCUAUCAAAGUCCAUUACCAGUUCUGAUUCCGAAUAUCACCCCCUCAAUAUUAAGUUGAUCAAGCCUAAUACAUCGAAGGUGAAAUUUAGAAAAACCCACUGGAACAGUCAAUGAGUUCCUAUCAUCCAGUAGUCACAAUUACCCUGAUAUUAAAUCCUCAAUGAUGCCGCUACGGAACUACACACUCUCGACACCAUACGUAUACUAUCCAUACGGAAUCUCUCGGAGAUUCAUUCUUCAGCUUCUAGCUCCUUUGUUAAACGCAUCGGUGCCAUACUACUUUUCUAGGCUUAACGCGUUAUUCUAAACCUCGUGUAACUUCUAUAGUUUAAACACGAGCAACGGUCAAAUAAAGUAUUAUUAGGCGUAAUAACUAUAAAGUCAAAGCUCGACAGUAAAGGCAAGUUAGGUGUGUUGCACGUUCUACGAGAGUAAUAAAGCAUGUUAUCCUAGAAUGAGAAGGAAUAGUUAGAAGGUUACCAUCGUUCGUGCGCUCUCCUCUGACUAGUCUACCAGCUCCCUCGCCGCACGAGACAUAGACUCCUCCCCGUGCAGCAGGAUGUCUUCCUCUCACCGUAGGCACAGAUGGCUCAACCCUGGUUACAUUGCAAUCCUUGGCUUGAUGCCCCGGACGGUUGCAAUUGAAACAUAGAGGUCCCCCGUCUGGACACUUGUUAGAGUAGUGCCCCACCUUCUUGCACCUGUAACACGUUACUCCUUGGCCCGAAGUCUUGUUUCCUGUUCCUCCGGUAGCAUUUAUGGGCUUAUACUGCCCCGAGGUAAAACCUUCCCUCAAAGGGCGUUGAUACGGCUUCUUCUGUUGGAAUUUACCUCUUCCUUUAUAGUUCUGAGGACCUGACCUUACUGGUCCUCCAGUUCCAGCACGAUUCAACCUCUUGUUCUUCAUUAACUCCACUUCUGUGGCUUUCUCAACCAAGGACUGGAAGCGCAUGAUUCCCAACGGUUUCACUGAGUCCUCAAUGUCAGGCCUCAGCCCAUUCACAAAGCGUUUGCACAUGUAGGGUUCAUCAACCCCAUUGCGGAAGAAUCGAAAGUGUUUGGCCAACGAUUCCAGCUUAGCAGCAUAUUCCGGAAUGGACAUGCUACCCUGACGAAGAGUCAGAAACUGUGCCUCACGCUCGUCACGAGCACUAUCUGGAAAAUACUUCUCCAGAAAAGCAGCACGAAAUGAAGCCCAGUUCACUUCCACAUUAUUUGCUUCCAUCAUUCCUCUGGUACCCCUCCACCAGUACUCAGCAUCGCCCAGCAGCAGAUAAGUUGCCAGGCCCACCUUGGCCCCUUCACUAGUCUGUAGUACUUCGAAAAUCUUCUCAAUCUCUUGGAUCCAUAGAUCCGCAUUGUCCGGGUCAGUCCCACCUGUGAACUUGGGUGGAUCCUGCCUUCUAAAAUCAUUCAAUCCCCUAUUCUGGUCCAGGGCUACCUCCCUCUCACGCUUAUGUCGCUCACGUUCAGCUUUGUCAGCACGCAACUGAGCGUUCUCCGCAGUUUGAUUUGUCAUUGCCUGGGCCAUAGCAGUCAUUGCCCCAGCGAGUUGGUUCAUGUUCUCCAUGUUCUGUUUAGUUAAACAAACAGUUAGUACUAACCAUAAGAUAGCAUCUAGCAUAACUAUACAAUAUGAUUAAGUACUAACUCCAAUCAAUUCUAAGCGAAAAAUCGCUUGGCAGACAAUCAAUUUUUUACUCUUUGCAGAUUCACACAACCUAGCACAGAAGACCUAUUCCCCAAAGACUCCCGAAAGACUCGACAAGCUCUGAUACCACAAUGUAACACCCCGAUUUUGGUGGCGUCACUUUAGUAACUCAAAAAUAAAAUAAAGCGGAAAAGCAGGUUUUUUUUUGUUUUGUUUAAAUAAAAAGACUUGUCGAAAUAAGGUCUCAACCCAAUCGCAAUUAACAGCGAUUAAUAUAAAAAAUAAGCACAGCCCUUGCUGCAACUAAAAACAUCGUCACGAGUGUCCUCAAGUGACGGAAAGUAAUAUUAAGUAAUUGAAAGUAGUGCCCGCGGGCAAAUAAGUGCGGCUCAUAGUCAGAGUCACAAGCUUUAUAACUACAGUCCUCCAAGAAAAUAAAUUAGCCCCAAACGGCCUCCAAAAGACUUCCUACGCCCGACAAACUCCCUGUGAUCCUCAUGGAAGAGAAUCACACAAAAAGCUAAUAGUCGGGAACCUACCCUGCCCCAAAAUACAACUGAUGAAUCAGAGCUAUGACCAUGACAACCAAAAUCAGUAACUCUAACCACCCAUAUCCUACACCACUAUCUUCGACCCUCAUCUGAUCUUCCAUGAAGUCCGGGUCCACGUCGAAGGCUCAGUAGUAGUCAUUUCGCUCCGGGUCCUCCCCGAACGACGAACCUUCUUGAAUCAUCUGUUGAACGUCUGGCAGCAGGCCGACCGCCCAAACACAAACAUACAAACAAAGCCACGACGCUAGGGUCAACUCACGGAAUAUAGUAGAUAAUACAAACAGCAUGUGAAGAAUAAGGGGGUAUGUAUAUAUAUAUGUUGUAUAUAUAUAUUUAUAUGUUCUGUAUUGCCUACCCUAAGGUAUAUACUUAGCAUGUUAUCAAGGCUCUAAUAACAAUUCAAUGAAUAAUAUCUCAACAAUACAAUAAGCAUUAUCUCAACAAUUCCAUAUUGGGCGCAUGUAUGCAUGCAAUGUCAAUUCAAACGUUGAUCCCAAAAAUAGGCAUGUCAAGUCGAUCCAACCCAUUGGGUCGAACACAAGGACUCGCACACGCAGUAAAUGACAACGCCAAGUCGGUUCUCUCAUUAGAGUCGAACAUACGGACGUUGCGCGCGUCUAAUGACUAUCGCCGAAUCGAUCCAAUCCCUCGGAUUGAAUAUAAGGAUCCGCGCGUGUCGAAAUAUUAUCGCUGAAUCGGUCCAAUCCCUCGGAUUGAACUCACGGACUCACGCGAGUUUAUAUGGCGAUGGCUGAAUCGAUCCAAUCCAUCGGAUUGAAUAUAAGGAUUCACGCGUGCCCGAGUGACUACCGCCGAAUCGAUCCAAUCCCUCGGAUUGAAUAUAAGGAUUCACGCGUGUCAAACGAUUAUUGCCGAAUCGGUCCAACCCGUCGGGUUGAACACAAGGAUUCGCGCCCGUUAAGCCGAAGAUAAUGUCGAUUAUGCGACAAAAUGAAUUAAUCAAAAGAAGAAAGAAUGAACUUGGAACUCAUAGUUCCCGGCUAAACUUUAGAUAGCCAAACAAUAAACUGCUCAUCGAGCGAAGAGUACCGAAGUACUUGGAAACUUAUAAUUUCCGGCUAAACUUUAGAUAGCCAAACAAUAAACUGCUCAUCGAGCAAAAGAGUAUCAACAUACUCGGAAACUUGUAAGUUUCUUCUAAACUUGGACUCGGCGACCCUUCUCAUCUUUCAAACUAAUAUUCAAGCUCCAAGCUCUUAUCUAAGGUUGUUACCAUUAUUCAAUGGUUUUAGAGAUUGAUUAAUGUCUUAUGAGUUUUCCUUGAGAAAAUAGGUUUCUUUUAAUCUUAUAAUACUUCCUAUAAGUUUCAGGGAUCCCAUAAUCCCAAACAAUUCCUUGAGAAGGUCUCGAUCCAUUAAAACAUAACAAGGUCCGAACUCCGUUCGUCCUUUCGAACUCUCUCAAAAAUCUCAUAAAAUUCGGCAUGACUUGCCCGUUAUCCUCACUCAUCAGUAUCACAGAUAUAAGUGGAAUAGCAUAACUAAAUCAGCGCAAUCAAUAAGCAUAAACAGCAUAUUCCAACACAUCCUAGAUUAACCAGCAAACGGCCGAAGCCUCUCAGAAAACAUUUUUCCAUAAAGCGAUAAACAAUAUCCAAGCAAUAUUCAAUAUCAACACAAUAACCCAGUCGAAUUGAUCGACGCCUACAAGGAAAUAGCUAGUAAGUAAGUUGCCCUAACCUCGAGUUGUUCUAGUCUCGCGGUGCAGGUCUCGCUCACAAGCUUGUUCAGUCAAGCCCAAGGUUUCCACAAACGAACCUUAGAGCAAACAAAGCAGAAAUCAAUCAAAUUAAGUCGACAUAAUCGAAACAAUACUAACUAGAGUUAGACAAAGCUCAAGAAACUUCAGAGUACAACACUUAGGCACGAAUGAAAGGGCUUUCCCCGAAUGGAUGAGUUUUGACUCGAUUCAAGUUUUGUGCAAAAACACUUUAUUCGCUAAAACGUGCAUAACUCGAGCUACAGAACUCGGAAUGACACGAAACCGGCGCCAAAAUUUCGACAAUUGAAAGAGCUACGCAAUGGCUCAGGUCAUAGAGACCCAAAAAUUAUUUUUGGACACGGUACCCAAGCAAAUAGGUUUCGGCCACUAUGGAAAAUAGGGUUUUCGAACUUUUUCUUCGAUCUAAAUCAAUUCCUAGGUAUUCUUAGGCGAUAUCUAGGCCAGGGAAACUCUCAGAAAAAUUAUCGGGUUAAAAACUGUCGCAGGGGUAUUUUGGUCAAUAUUUUUAGCUCAGAAUUUCAAAACUGAAUUUUCGAAAAACAAAUUGGAUGGGAAUGUCAACAACGACGUUUAUGACGACUAAUCCUACUAGCACUAAGCUCAAUCGUCAGUUUUAAGCGUAAAGAACGAAACUUUGCCCAGAAAUGGGUAUUUGAUGCAAAAAUUGAUUCCGGCGGCAUUUCGUCGACAUCUGACAAAAUCUAAUCCGCAGAACACGCUCAGAAGCAUGCAGGGAAUAAGUUUAGACACUGAAAUCAGCUUAUUUGAACAGUUUUACAAAAAGCUCAAAACUUUGAGCACAGAAAGACAUAGAAGAAGUCGACAGAUCUGACGAUCAGAAGUGAGAGAUAGUAACUAUACCUCGAUGUCUUCGAUUAGCAACGAACGGUGAAGCAAUCGGGCAAGAAACGGCGAAAAUCACUUCUCCUCUUUCUCUCCUCCAAGCUCUCGGCCACUCCCUCUCCAAAUGGCAAUUUUUUUGUUUUUUUUUUUCAUUUUUCAUACUAUAUAUAGGAAAUGGAAAACGCGGAAAAAUGAAAAUUUCGCGAUUCCGAUUUUUCCUACUGAUUCCAACGUAUUUUAGACACAAUAUUCUUCCCGCUGAAUCUUCUAAUUCUUCAAAGAAAUAUCAGUAUGAUUUUUGGUUUUCGAGGCUUGUGUUUAAUGCUUACCGGCAUUAAAAAUGCACUUUAUGCACUUUAUGAUAUUGACCUCGGAUGCAGAAACUUCCUUCUGAAGAAAGAUUUGGAACGUCGAUUAGAGUGAGCGUCCGCGGAUGAAAUCUUUAUUUGAAGCCCCGAGUAGAAAAGUCUCCAUCGUCCGUCGAUUUUAGGGUUUCUGAACUAUCAGGGAUUCCGUUUCAGCAAACUUCCGAGUAUCGGAAUCAGACGUUCGUACAUCCUAGAGUUUCGUAUCGAAACGCUCGUUUUGGAAAGGAAUAAGAGAAAGUCCUAUUUUCCUCUAGAAGAUUUUUGGAAAAUUUCCUAUAGUGUUCCAAAGCUGGAAGUUUGUUGGAAAUUAUAUUCCUAUAGUGUUCCAAAGCUGGAACAUAGUUUUGUUUCCUAAAGUUCUUGUCCUAGGUUUUAAAUGCGAAUAUUAGUCGUGCUAUAACUCUUAUCGACUUUGAUACAAUCUUUAGCUUUUCUUGAACUUUCUCCUUCACAAAUUCAUUCCAUCCAUUUACCCCUUGUUCAGGUUUUCCCUUCACGUUACAUCAAAUUAAUCGUGAAAAGAAAUUUUUUUCGGUUUAUUCCAACUCAAAAACUUGGGUCUCACAAGGACACUACUAACACUAGUAUUACAAGAUAAGAUAAUCUAAACAUCUUAUCUAAACCCAUAAGAUAAGAUAGAAUCUUAUCUAAACCCAUUAGAUAAGAUAGAGUCUUAUCUAAACCUAUAAGAUAAGUCUUAUCUAAACCUAUAAGAUAAGUCUUAUCUAAACCCAUAAGAUAGAAUCCCUCUAACCCAAUAUCACAAUCCCCUUAAAUCAAAUUCAACUAACUGAUAAGAUAUGAGCCAAUCCCAACAAUCUCCACCUUGGUGAAUUCUCGAACCCUCGUGAAGAUCAACUGCUCAGCUCCUGAAUCCUGAUUUCCGGGAUUGUGUUCCCCACCUUCUUAACACUGUGAAACAUGCAACAAAUCCAAGCAGUGCUUGAAUAUGUCACUAGUGACGGGCUUGGUCAACAUGUCAGCUGCAUUCUCAGAAGUAUGAACCUUCUCAAGUCGUAUUUGCCCAGAUGCAAGCAACUUCCUGAUCUUGUGAAACCUCACAUCAAUAUGCUUCGUUCUGGCAUGAUACACCUGAUUGUUUGCCAAGAAAAUGGCACUCUGACUAUCACAAUGCAACCUAACUCCACCUUGCACAACACCCAGCUCCUUCACUAGCCUUGUAAGCCACAAUGCCUCCUUUGCUGCCUCCGCUACAGCCAUAUACUCAGCUUCAGUUGUAGACAUGACCACUAUGGAUUGAACUGAUGACUUCCAGCAAAUGGGUCCACCCGCUAGAGUAUAGACAUACCCUGUUGUAGACCUUCUAUUGUCAACAUCACCUGCAUAGUCGGAAUCAACAUAUCCUACAACUCUUGGAUCAACUUGUUCAGCAUUGAACAUCAAACCACGAUCCGGUGUACCCUUCAAGUACCUGAGUAUCCACUUGACUGCUUCCCAAUGACGCUUCCCCGGUUUAGACAUAAACUUGCAAACUUGGCUCACAGCUUGUGCCAAAUCUGGUCUAGUGCACACCAUAGCAUACAUCAGGCAACCAACUGCACUGGCAUAGGGAAUCUUCAACAUCGCUUCGACUUCCUCAGCUGUCUUUGGACACUAUUCCUCCGAGAGCCUAAAGUGAUUCGCCAAUGGAGUACUCACAACCCUUGCCUUGCUCAUGUCGAAUCUGGCUAACACCCCUUCAACAUAGCUUUUCUGAGAAAGCCACAAUUUUAUAGCUCCUCUAUCUCUGUGAAUUUCCAUCCCAAGAAUCUUCUUAGCAACUCCUAAGUCUUUCAUGUCGAACUCCCUACCCAACUUGGUCUUCAAAUCAUUCACAUCACGUAAAUGACUAGCAGCAAUUAGCAUAUCAUCCACAUACAGUAGCAAGAAAAUAAUAGAACCAUCAUCAAGGCUCUUCACAUAGACACAACAAUCAUACUCACACCUCAUGUAGCCAAUCCUCAGCAUAUAUGAAUCAAAACGCUUGUAUCACUGCCUUGGUGACUGUUUCAAACCAUACAAAGACCGCUUCAAUCUACACACCAAGCCCUCCUGACCGGAAAUAACAAAACCUUCAGGUUGCUGCAUAUAGAGUUGUUCGUCUAGAUUACCAUGGAGAAACGCCGUUUUCACAUCCAUCUGUUCUAAAUGCAUGUCCCGGAAUGCUACCAAGGCCAAAACUGCCCUGAUUGAAGUGUGUCUGACAACUGGACUGAAAAUCUCAUCAUAAUCAAUCCCCUUCCGCUGUGAAUACCCUUUUGCAACCAAACGAGCCUUGAACUUUUCCCCUUCAUUUUCUUGUACUGGUGGUUUCCUCUUGUACACCCACUUGCAUCCAAUGGCUCUCUUCCCUUUAGGAAGCUGAACUAGGUCCCAAGUCUGAUUCUUCUUCAAGGACUCCAUCUCCUCCACCAUAGCACUCAUCCACUUCUCCUUCGCCGGGCUAGACAUAGCCUCACGGAAAGUAGACGGAUCUCCAGAACUAGUAAGAAGUGCAUAAGCUGCCAUCUCUUCAAACCCAUAUCUGGCUGGAGGUUUUAUCUGAUGGGGUUCUCUAUCACGCACAAGACUGUACUCAUGUGCUCCACCUGAAUCAACUGGUUCUCCUUCAGUUUCAGUAUCAGAACCUGAACUGGAUUGCUCCUCGUGUACUACCUGCACUGGACUCUCUUUUAAUGGCUUAACUGCAACCUGAAUCUUCCCAGCAGUGGAAGUUUCAGCCUCUGAAGUAGACUCCUUUUCUGAAUCCACCUUCUUCAACAUAGACUGCUCAUCAAAUACAACAUCUCUACUAUGAACUGCCUUCUUCAAGGCUGGAUCCCACAAUCUGAACCCCUUCACCCCCUUGGUGUAGCCAAGAAAAGUACACUUCUUGGAUUUGGGAUCCAAUUUGGAUCGCUCAUCACUGGAAACAUGCAUAUAAGCUGGACACCCAAAAAUUCUCAAAUUUUCUAAAUUAAUGGGUUCACCUGUCCACACCUCCUCAGCAACCUUUUUAUCCAAUGAAGCUCUUGGAGACCUGUUGAAUAAGUAGCAAGCCAUGCUCAUUGCCUCAGCCCAAAAACCUUUAGAAAGUCCUGCGUGCAAUCGAAGACACCUUGCCUUCUCCGUGAGAGAUCGAUUCAUCCUCUCAGCAACACCAUUCUGCUGUGGUGUUUUCUUGACUGAAUAAUGCCUCUGGAUACCAUGUUCCUCACAAAACCUCUUGAACUUUGCAUUUGUGUAUUCUGUUCCGUUGUCUGACCACAAAUACUUGAUUUUCCUCCAUGUCUGAUUUUCCACCUCAGCCUUCCACAACCUGAACUUCUCAAAGACUUCAGAUUUAUGCUUCAUGAAAUACACCCAGACUUUCCUAGAAAAAUCAUCAAUAAAAGUUACAAAAUACCGGGAUCCACCAAUAGAGACCUCUUUACUAGGCCCCCACACAUCUGAAUGAACAUAAUCAAGGAUCCCCUUCGUAACAUGCUUCCCGGUCUUGAAACGAACACGACACUGUUUGCCCAACACGCAAAACUCGCAGAAGUCCAAUUUGCAACUACGAACACCCUUCAAAAGAUUCCUCUCAUGAAGUGCCAUCAUCCCUUUCUCACUAGGAUGACCCAGACGCAUAUGCCAAAGCCUUGUUGCAUCAUUGUCAGUCUCAACUGAUGCAACAUCACCUACAACGGUGCUCCCCAACAAGCGGUAAAUAUUCCCUGCAGUUCGCUUUCCAAUCAUCACUGUCAUUGCACCUUUAGUGACUUUUAAGAUGUCCUUCCCUCCUUCACCCUAGAAUGAAUACCCAUUCGCAUGAAGAGUCCCCAAGGAAAUCAGAUUCUUACUCAGUUCUGGAACAUAUCUCACGUUAUUCAGCACCCGCGAGCCACCAUGAUCCAUUGCAACUUUGACUUGUCCGAUGCCUUUGAUGUCACAAGGUUUGUCAUCACCCAAAUACACAAGUCCAAAAUUGCACGUCUGAAACGAACUGAACCACUCCCGGUGCGGAGUCAUGUGAUAAGAACACCCAGAAUCAAGAAUCCAAGUCUCUGUGCCCUUUGCAGUCGAUACUGAAAGCAAAUCUGCUUCACUGCCGGAAUCAUCAGUCUGAACGACGUUUGCGGAAUUAGGGCACUCAUUCUUCCAAUGGCCCACCUGCUUGCAGUUAAAACACUCUGUGCUCUUCCUCUGCUUUGAUUUGCUACGCUUCUUUCUUUCAGCGUUCUUCUCAGCAGACUUACCUUUCUUCCUUCCGCGAUCUUGACCUCCCUUAGCAAACAAUCCAUCACCUGAACUUCCUUCCCCUACAUUGUUGGAUCUCUCCGAGUGAGACUGCAAUGUAGUAACGAUGGAUUCAAGGCUGAUAGAGUCCUUCCCGUAAGUAAGAGUAGUCACCAAGUGAUCAUAGGAAUGCGGUAACGAACACAACAAGAUAACUGCUUGCGCCUCAUCGGUGAUCUCCACCCCCAGCCUUGCACAAUCAGCAAUUAUGCCACUGAAUUGGUUGAGAUGGUUCUCCAAAUUGGCUCCCUCCGGCAUCUUCAGACUGUACAGCUUUUGCUGAGCAAACAAUUUGCUCAUCAUGGUCUUGGACUGAUAUUUGGCCUCCAAUUUAGUCCAAACCUCCUGCGGAGUUUUUAGAUCCUGGAUGUGGACCACGAUCUCGUCUGUAACACACAAACGAAUCACUCCCGCAGCCUUUGCCUUCAUCUCCUUCCAAUCGAUCUCUUCCAUUCCCCUCGGUAUCUCAUCGCGGAACGCCUUCUGCAAUCCCUGUGCCGCCAACAAAUCCUCGACGCGAAGUUUCCACAAUCCGUAGUUGCCCUUCCCGUUGAAUUUGUCAACCUCGAAUUUGGUUCCUGUCGACGCCAUCGUAGUCUUCUGAUACCAAUUGUUAGCGUAGGCACCCCGUGGAAUUGCUCAGAGUUUCAAUAGAUCACAACGAAGUAAUAGACAGCAAGAACGAUUAAGAGACAAGAACGUUUGUUCACGCAGUUCGGCCAAUUGAGCCUACCUCUGCGGCUAUAGGGUAGCUAUAGCUCCUUUUCAUUCAAUGUGUUAUGAAGUACUUACAUUGGGGUUAGGGACCUUGUCUAUUUAUAGGACACUACUAACACUAGUAUUACAAGAUAAGAUAAUCUAAACAUCUUAUCUAAACCCAUAAGAUAAGAUAGAAUCUUAUCUAAACCCAUUAGAUAAGAUAGAGUCUUAUCUAAACCUAUAAGAUAAGUCUUAUCUAAACCUAUAAGAUAAGUCUUAUCUAAACCCAUAAGAUAGAAUCCCUCUAACCCAAUAUCACAAUCCCCUUAAAUCAAAUUCAACUAACUGAUAAGAUAUGAGCCAAUCCCAACAGAAGGAAUUACCCUUGUUUUCAUGCCAAGUAAGGCUUGAAAUUCAAUCACUCUUCUCGUCACGCAACAAGGCACUGAAAGCCAUGCAUUUCUUCACAAUAGCUACCACCUUUGACGUUGAACUUUACAAAACCUAGAGGGGGAGGAUGCCAAGCCAAGCUCAACUUGUUUCCCGCAGAAUCAACCAGCCCAAGAUCCAUAAUUAUGAGGAAAUCAUCGUAAUCAUUGCAUGUUCGUCACCAAGCCUCGCUUAUUGUCCAAGGAUUUCCAUCUGAGAUUGAAUUAUCACACAACUUCCAUGCGCCCUAUAAACAUGGAAUAAACCUUUUGUUGUUAGAGUUACAAGCAUGGUUACGAAUCUAUAGAUUCAUGAACCAUAACCUUGCAUGGCCAAACUUCAUGAACCAUAAUCCAUGAAGUUUAGCCAGGCAAGGGUCACAACUCUCCCUUGGGGGCAUCCCGAGAAUGCUGGCGAGUCGCUUAUUGACACUUAAACCUGUUCGAGUUAAUGGACAACGCAUCAUGGAGUGCUCUCCAAACAAACAACUUAACCUUCUAUGGAAUUUUUGGCUUCCAAACUCAAUUCCAAUUGGGAAAUUGAAAAAUGGUCUGGUUUUAAAUCGCAAUACACAAUAGUAAGAAUAUAAAACUUUUAUAAGGCAAAAUAAUACAAACAACGCAAAGUAUUAAGAAACAUCAAAAAUUUUGUGGGUGGAAAUUGCCCCCAUAUAUACCUUAUAAGGUGGAUCCGUCCUUGAUCGUACCAUACAAAAAUAUGAAACUUGAAAGCACUUCUGAGUUGAUCUCUCGCUCUAAGAACUCCCUUCUAACUAGGAAAGAAAUUUACCAUUACUUAACUUGCAAAAGAUAAUCUUGAGCUAGAUAUUUGUGGCGGAAAACACGCACUCUGGCUAGUCCAACUUACUCCACGUUCCCAAGGAGCAUUGUAUUUGUGGCCUGCAUGUCUCUGAUUCCAAGUCCGCCGCUAUAUGUAAUUUGGUUCCAGUUCACUAAAUGCUACCCUCUUCUACUAUUUCUAUUGGACCAAAUAAAACUCAGAAUAAUUUGGUUCAACCGGUUGAGCAAUCCAUGAGGCAUCCAGAAAACUUGCAUAUAUAGAAUAAAGUGGUAAUUGAUGCAGUCAUUGAUUUAACAAGGCGCCAAGUGAAGCAUAUCGGAAGCCAAUUUUUUCUGAAUAUUUUUGAGGAUGUGAUUGCAUAAUUAACCAACCUCGCCUUCAUGGGGAAGCCAAAAUAUUUGCCAAGAUCACGGACAAAAGGAAUUGGAGCUAGCCUCUUGAUCUCAUCCCUAAUUAUGAUCUACCACCCUUUUUUGGUAUUAAUUUGUUUUCACAUUUCUAUCUCGGAGUGGUGAAGGAAAAAAAUCUCUCAGGAGUGCGACUCAUAGAGAAAUCCGACAAGCUCAAAUAGUAAGGGGAGAAGUGUAAUCUGUUUGAUACGAGACCUUAUCACCCUCUACUCGACCAACCACCCUCAAGCAACGAGCUAGGGCUUUGAUGCAGAAGCUUGGGCACGAGUAUAUAUACAGAGGGAAAAGAGAAAUCGUGCUCGCGAGAAUGAGAAAAGACAAACCAGCUAGGGUUUUGAAUUUUGAGAAGGGAAAAGGAAAAAAUAAGUCGUAGAUUCAAAAUAGAAACUUGGGUAGCGACUCAUUUAACUGCUACCUAGUAGAGAGAUUCUAAUCUUGGGUACCGUUUCGACUAUAAAAUACAUAUUUUUGCUAUUGUUUUUUUAUAAGACUUUGGUAGUGGUUAAUAUGGAACUACUACCUCAUUGCCGCCGCCGCCUUUCUCGCUUUUUGUGGUAGUGUUAAAAUGAAGUAAUUUCUAGAGAAUAUUAUUUUUUUCACAUUUUUUUUACUAUUUAUCCACGCUUCAAUUGCUUUAAAAUUUUAAACGAAAUAAAAAUAUAAGAUCAAGGUAUGUAAACAAAAAUUAUGUGACCCGAUGGAUGCUUGCCGCUGUGGUAAGAAGUGGUUGUUUGAAACUUUAAAUCGAGAGUUCGAAUUUUAAGAGUCUCUUGUGAAGACUUUUGACCUUCAUCACAGUAGAUCGAAAUUGACAAGGAACCAUUUAAAAAAAAAAUAAUGUGCAAAAAGCAAUUUCCAAUAGUUGGUUGGGGGCAUCAUCACCAUUUGUUUCUCUUUGCUGGAAGCUAAUAAGCAAUGGUGGAUUUCAAGCGUGUCUUCCACGUCCGUGCAUUCCACUCACACUUCAAACUAACCUCUUCCUUUCUACCCCCUACUACUAUAAAUUACAAAUGUGAUGCAUCUUUGUCCUAUGAGUAUGACCACUUUAAUAUUGAGGCUAGCUCCAAAACAUCAUCACUGUCAAAUAAUAUGCAAAAGGUUUGCAUUAUUAGUAGUAAACUAAAGAUGUUACUAAAAUACUACUGUAGAAAAGAUUUUUCUUUUGGAAGUGUACAAAAGAUUAAUUCUUAGGAAAUUAGGUGUUGUCAAGUCACAAAUUUGUUUCUAUAUACACAUUGAUUCAUGUUUGUUUUCUCCUCCUUUAUCUCAUUUUUACAUUUUUACCUACGUUUUCUUUUUAUUUCAUUAUCAUGUUUUUUUUAAUAAUGUUUGGUUGAUAAUUUAAGUUCACCUCCACCUUAUGAGAUAAAGAAUAAAUGAGAGAGAAAUAUGUGAUAUAAUAGAUAAUGUGAUAGAAAUAGAAAAAAAGAGAUAAAAAAAAGAAAUAUGUGAAAAUGAGAUGAAAGAAAAAUAUAUGUGUAAGUGAAUCAAUAUUUUUUUAUAUUUCUUUGUGCGGGAUGAAAUUGAGGUGUAAACAAAUUAUUUUGCUAAAAACACUGACAGAAACAAACAGUAGUUAGACAAGAACAACAGUUUCUGCAACAACAAAUAUGGAAUUGGCUUCCCAACAUGUCUGCAUGUGUUUUUACACUAUUUUUUGCAGUUGUACUUUUGUAUUACAAACACUUUUUCCACGUGCAUUUCAACCCAUGUUGCAAAUGCAUACCAACACUUCAUAAAGUAAUCGCUAUGCUAAUACCCAAAACAAUAGUUUUUUUUUUGUAAUAUUUUUUCAAGGUGAUGACUACCAAUAUCUAUGUUAAAUUAAUAAUCCCUAUCUGCAUUUUUUCAUCAUAACUUAAAAGAAAGAGCUCAUUCACCUCGAUUUAUGCUUACUGGAUUUGCUACUGCAGGAAAUUGGUUUCUUGAAUCUCUAAUGAUGGCAACCUCAAGCCAUUUUAGUUGACUACACAUUUUUAAUAAUAAGUUCUCACAACUUAAUUUUAUUUCAUUUGCAGGGGCAAUUGUAGUACUAUCUCUGUAUUAUUUCCUAUAAAACUGCUUUUUUUUAUUAUGUUGAAAACUUGAUAUAUUCAUUGUACUUCCAAUUCAAUAUACUUUUUACUCAUAAAAAAAUGUUUGUGAAUCUUUCUAUGUUAGAAUAUCUAUUGAUAUAUAUAUAUAUAUUCUUGUAAACAAGAAAUUAACAUCCAUGCAUUCUGAAAUAGAAAGUGCAUGAGAAAUUUAAUUUAGAUGAAAGUAAGUUUACCCUGCACUCAAUUUACAUAAACAUCUAUAAGUUAUUCGGUGUUAAAAUUAAUUUUAAAUAAAGAGAACAUGAUCAACCAUGCUUAAUACUACUUAAUUCUAGUGGCUAGCAACUGUUUUGAAGUUAAAUGGCAUCCUGCUGCUUUCACAAGAAUACCAUAUAAUACUAAAUUCAAUAGCCUACGUGACGACAAUAGCUAAGUUAAAAGGGGAUAUGUUAUCUUCGUAUAUACAUUUUGAAACUUUUGAUAGAGUCAAGCACAAGAACUAAGCCAAACUAUAUGGUAAAUGGGCGUUGGAGACUGCAACGUAACCCAAGUGAACAGUUAUCGUGGGAAUAUUGCGUCUAAAAUAAUUUAUUAACAUAAGCAAAUCCCAACCAGAUCACCUUACUGCUUGAUUGGCUCAUAAUGUUGGAUCUGUCCAUUUUUAACUGAAGGUUAAGUGCAUGUGUAUUUUAAUAAUAGUUGAGUGUUAUGCUGACAGAUAUUUAUCUUAAUUUUUUUUUGAAGAUGAAAUAUAUUAGAUAAAAGCAUCUUGAGGACAGGGUUCCCCAGCCAGGUGAACCAACAAAAGAAGAAACAGAAGAAAGACAGAAACAUCACACAAGAGAAAAUUUUAUCUUUAAUUUAUAAAAGACUUCAUAAGUUCACUUUUUAUUUCCAAAAUUAAUGAGAUUUUACUUCAAUUUAUACCGGUACUAUGGAGUAUCCAAACAAGAAAACAUUUUUAGUGCAAACGGGUAGCCAAUCAUAGUAUAAGAAAAUAGCAUUUUCGGGACAACCAAACAUUAGAACAGAAAAUUAGGGAAUGUGAACGCACAGGAAACAAUAUUAAUGAGUCAAUAUGAUAAUGGAAUGAAGAUAAAGUAGUGUUGUUGUUUGUUGUUUUUUUUCUUCGAUAUAGUGUAUUUUUUUGUCAAAUAAUUGAAAAAUGUUUGUAUAAGAAAGAAAUAAAAGAUAAAAAAGUACCAAGAGGUGUAUAUAUUUUUUUUGAAAGGAUAAAAAUAUAUUAAUAGGAAUGAUGAAAUAGCUUGGAAACAGCCCAUCCAAGUAGGAUACAGAACACAAAAGAGAAACAAAACACCAAAGGAGAAAAACCAAAGAAAAAACAGCAGGGAAAAAGGAUCAAAACGAAAGAAAAAACAUAAACAGUAGACGAAACAGAGGAACAAGGGAGCACCAAACAACAGCAGCCCCAUCUAAAUGAUAUCAGACCAGGUGCAAAACACAACCUUCAGCAAACCCAACGUGACCCCCACCUCACCAACAGGGCCAAAAACAGAUUGAAACUGAAUAAGGGGGGGGGGCAAUAUGAUGUGAUGUGAUAAGAAAUGAGAAAUGUGGGAAAAAUGAGAUAUUUGUACUGUUUGACCUAUUGUAACUGCCAAUUAUUAAAUAGCAUGCAUAAAAAUAUUUGGUGAAUUUUUACCCAUAAUUUUUUUUGAGUGUGGUACCUCAUGUAGUAUUUUAAGUCAUAAUUUUGUUAUUUGAUUGAAAAAAGAUGGAAGAUUUAUUGUUGCAAAAACUUUAAAAAUUUAAGUUCAAUAACUCAAUGAACUAAUAACAUAUUGUUCUUAAGUUUGUUUAUGUUAUUCAAUGCACGAUUUGAAAACUAGGGUUUUAAGUUUAGCUUACAACUCUGGGAGAUCAUUUAAGUUCAUUUCUUGUUAUGAUCAUUUUCCUCCAUAGCCCACCCAUAUUGAACCUUGCAAAUCUUCCUCAAUCUUCUUCCUCUAAGUUUAAAUUAUAUUUUUUAUAUUAAUUUUUAUGAUUUUAGGUACCAUAUCUUGAUCUGUCUUAAAGUACCACAAUAAGCACCUUAUUUGCUCCAGACCAAGACCGUUGGAGAGUACAGGAGUGAAAUACUCUUUAGUCUCCGGACAAGUUUUCAUCUUUCCAGGACCAGAAUAAACUUUUUUUUAUCUAUUUCAUAAUUUCUCUUUCAAAAAAAUACCUCCCAGGACAAUGUUGAUAAAAAUAAACUUGGCCUUGAACCACUUCUUACCGAACUAACCCUCAAAAUUUUAUUCUAAAAAGACUUCGAAAUGUUACAAAGCCUCCCCAAGAUUUGUAACUUCAUAGAUGUAGAAAAUAAGCAAUUUAAUUGUGACCAGGAUGGAAAAUAGUUAAGUAAGAUUUCAUAAGCUCUAACGAGAGCCCAAACAUUUGGACGAGAAGUUGAGAAUGAGCUAUUUCUAAGUAAUUAAGAACGGAGGAUUCACAUUUACUAAGCGGAAUUGUAAGUUUAAGCUUGGAGAAAACAUAAGUGUACCGUAGAUGUCCUAGCUCAAUACACUUAGAGCAAUUAUUGUGGCUACUGUGGAAGCAGCGUGGCCUGCAGAGUCUAGGUCUGAUCCAGAUCGAGUUUAUUGGUGAUGUAGUGGUAAAAAUGGUAUUUGUUGUGGAGGUACGACCGCUACUUGUUAUGCGAUUAUUUGUGGAAUCCAUUUUGCGUUCAAACUUCAGUUGCAUGCUCUAACUUAGGUCAUGAAAAGAGGAUAUAAACUUCACAAUAGCAAGACAAGUCUCACUAGGCAUACCAAUAUGUUGGUUCAAAUAGAUUUAUGUCUGACGUAGUCGUAUGAGUCAGCUGAGUAACCAACUUAACGAUUUCCUAAUCAAGCGAUUACUUGAGGAAUAGACUUUGUUCCAUAAUGCAGGUUCCUAAGACACUCCAAAAAUCUCUUAGUAAUUGCUAUCGAGAGGUUGAAUACGAGGUAAGUCUAUGAAACUAAGGGAACGACUAAAAUUGAUAAAUAAAAUACUUAAAGGCCGGAAGUAAAGGUUGAAAUGCGAAAAAAAUAUGAAAUAAAUAAAGGGCUAAAAAAGUAAAGACGGAAAAGUCAAUGACUAAGGAAAAUACGAGAAAUUUGUAGACUAUAUUGAUUGUUUGAGUUGUAUAUAUUUUUACAAAUGACCUUCUCCCUAUAUAUAUAUAUAUAUAUAUAUAUAUAUGGAGUAAUUAUAUAAUUCGGCAAACUACGGUACUUGAUAUGACAACAUGUCACUAGCCCACGUUCAACCUCUUGCAAACAUGCCUUGAUUGUGGAGUGCUAGUGCUUUAUCUCUCCUAGUCAGCAUGGAAGAUUAUUUAAAAACUGAUGUUCUUUGCAUCAGCUAGUUCAAUAGUGGAAAACAAAACCUGAUGUCGUAGGUUCAAAUCCUACAGAGCGUGAUGUCGUAGGUUCAAAUCCUACAGAACGUGAUUUUAUUCUUGUUAGAGACUGACACCAUAAUCAUAUAUGCAAGGAAUUAAACAUGUUGUUGUUUUGCUCAUGAGAAUAUUCUAGAAGCCCUGAAAUAACUUUUUCUUCCAGUGCACACAUCGUAUUCGUCCACAAACUCUGUCCAAGCACAUAAUUAUCCCGCUCAGCCGUUUUGCUUCGUUGCCCAACGAUCGGCCCCCGAUUGUCCCUCCAACGACUAAAUGAAAAUAAUUAUGUUAUGCUUAACUUGUCUUUUCGACCGCUAAAGAAAAAAAAAAUCAAUUAUUUUUGUAUAACUAAUGAUCAGUUGGGGUGGACUAGAUGAGCAUUAUUAAUUAAACAUGCAUGUAAUUGGUUGGAGUACCCAUUUAUACUCCCAUUAAUAUCAUUUGGCUUAUCUAAAAAAAAUUAAACAUGCAUAUAUUUCGCAUGCUGCCAAUACCAUAAGAACAGCUGUGAAGAUGUUAGCUAGCCAAGAUUCAAAACUAUAUUCAAUACACUUUGCUUAUACCUUAUGAAUUCCGAAUUUAUUGUUUGAUGUGUAAUAAGCAUAAGGGCGAAGGCCAUAAAUCUUGAUGGUGGUACAAGAUGCAAUGCUUGUCAAUUAUUUUUUGACGUGAUUCAAGACAAGGAUUGUGGCUAGGAAUUUGAAAGACAUGAGAGAAUGGUUAAGGGUUGUCUUGUCCCUCCCAGUGUGAAAAACAUAAGACGUGGCGAGCAGUCUACAAAACUUGAAUCUCAAACCCAACAUGAGGUUUCAAUUGAAGGGGACAACUCUUCCCUCAACUAAUUUUUUUAUUUCAAUUUCUUCCUAUUUUGUGUUCGAUGGAUUAGAAACUAUUUGUGCCCCUCUCAAACUCAUGAACAAAUUAUAUAUUCAUUAACAAAACACGAUCAUGAUGUCUCAGGUUCCGGAAAAGCCUAAAAGGGAUCAUCAUCUAGCAUAAAUAUUUUAUAUUUGGCAAAGUAGCGGUCAAAUAUCUCGACUCCAAUACCCUCAUAGCCUUCAAAAAAGUACCAUAAUCUUCUCCAGCUAUAUUAUUAUCCUCUUUUUUUUAAGGGGUUUAGCCAAGUCUGCCAUUCAUUUUAAGGGUUUUUUGUUUAUUUUAAAGGAUGUUAUAAUUAAGUUGGAGCUUAAGUACAGGAAUACUCUUAUUCGAGUCUAUGCAACUGCAUUAAAUACUUGGUAUGAAGAACUUUACCACUUAUAUAUAGAGAUUCUACCCGACUCAAACAUGAUAUCUCAAGGAAUUCAUGUAUUUGAACGAGAAAAGUAUUAAGUUUAAAUAUUAGACUCUGGCUAUUGACUUGGGAACUCUCUUGCACACAAACUAAAAAAAUAGAAAAUAAGCUGAUAUACUUUUUUUUUGAAAAAAAAAAGUGCAGAUUACAAAAAUGGUACAAAAUUUGCAUGAGUAUCAUAGGAUCUACAUCUUCAACAAAAACCCAGUCUUUACAAACCUAAAAUGUCACGUUUUUACAGUUUCCCAUAAGGGAGCCUAUAUCUCCAGAUCAUAGCAUAUCAAAUUUACAUCCAUUAGCUUCGUGCAUACAAGAAUAGAACUUUAGCUCUUUGCUCUAUAUGAUCUUACCUAUGAUAAAGGACACUUGUCAUAUCCAAUCAAAGUUUGUUUCUUUGGGCAGAAUCAAAGCAAUGAGGCUAUCAGAUGGAUCAGGUGCAAUAGAAAGCAAAGAGCAUGUUUCAAGUGAGUAGGGGAGUAUGAAUAGCAGCCUUGCCCAUAUGGAUUUUAAAGCUGGGAUUUUGAUAACUCCAGCACAAUCCUUCUGCUUUAAGUAUGAUACGAAAUCCUGAAACCUUUUGUGGUCACUAGUGGAAGAUGGGAUCAAACGACAUACUUCCCUUCCAUGAGUUUAAGAUAAUAAAUUUGUGUUUGGAUAUAAUAUUAUAAACAUAAGUUUAAAAUUUGGAUGUUAUUUUUUAAUGAAGUGAAAUGUCACUUCUCAGAAUUUUAGUGUAAAAAACGAGCUGAAGAAUAAUUAGAGAAAUGAUGAUAGGUAAUGUAAUAAUUUAAGAUUGAGCAGAAAUAUUUUAAAUUGUAAAGGAUAUAGUUUGUUUUCUUCAGCUAUAUUUCUUUUACAAUAUUUAACUGAUAAGUUAGUUGAAAGCUGAAAAGAUUACUGAAAGCUUAUACGCUAGCUAAUAGUUGAAAUCUGAAAGUUGAAAGCUGAAAAACUAGCUGAUUGCAAAGAAAGUUUUUGACGAAACUAGCUUUUAAACAAGUUAAAUUUGUAAAAUGACAAAAUAAAGACACACACACACACAUAUAUAUAUAUAGAUGUUUUUAUAUUUAACAUUACUUUAUUUACAAUCAAAUAUAACUUUAAAAUAAUUAUCAUUUUCAAUAUUUUACAAUUAGAAAUUUAUUAUUAUUUUUAGUAUUUUAUUUCAUUAAUAUGAUGAUAAAAAUAACACUAUAUUCUAAUUAAUGAAUAAAUUUAUAUUUAUCUAAAUUAAUAAAAUAUUUUAGGUGGGUGUGGCCAUGACAACUUCAUAGGAGAUGAGUCUGAUACGGAAACAUCAUAAUCCGUGUUUAGUAUUUUUUUAAAGAUAUAAAAAUAAUGAUGGAAUAUUAUUAAAAUGACAAUGAUAAAAAUGAGAAUAAUUUAUAUUUUUUUAUAAGCGAGAAUAAUUUAUAUAAGUUUUAAGUGAGAAGCUACCUCAAGUAAAAAAAAAUAAGUUCAUUUUAAUCUGAUCAAAUAAGCUUUAAAUUUGUUUCAAAAAAAAAGUUUUAAACUAAUUGAAAUGUGAAACAUAACCUUCAACUAAACUUAAGUCUGGGUCGUUCUACACCCAUUUUAUUCCUACUAAACUUAAGUUUGGGUCGUUCUAAACCCAUUUUAUUCCUACUAGGACUAGGACGAUCAAAACAGUCCUCAUUUUUCUACCUCCUUAACUUCGUCUACUUUUAUUUUUCAAGAAUUUCUUUAACUUAUUUUCCAACAAACAAUCUCUUAGAAUGCAGCACCAGCCACAGAGCUUUUUCUUUGGUAGAAGAUACAAAGGAGAAAACGGGCCCAGAGCACGACCCAAAUAAUUAAAGCGUGAUAAAACAAUAUUCUAACCCAAAGAAUUGAGACAAAAAAAAGUGAUCCAAAAAUUAAUAUAAUUAUUUUAGGGUCUAUAAUUUUCGUGUAUUUUGAGAUAGGUUUGGAGAACUAAUUUGUGGCUUAAAUUCACAAUCCUAAAGAAUCCUUGCACAUGAACUAGUAAACAAUUGUAAUAACACAAGCGUGAGUUAAGGCAUUUGGGAAGUGCAUUUUUUCCAUCUUUAAAUCGCAUGAAAGCAAUAGUUUUUUAAUAAUGUUUGAUAAUCAUACAAGAUUUCACGACCAUUGUACUGAUCAACAUAUUAGAAAGUGAUGAUUUAUGACCAUUACAUUUACAAUGUGAUUGAUAGAUUCUACGUAACAGGUGGAUUUCUAUGUAACAAGUGGAUAUCUUGGGUAAGAGCAAUAGUGAAUUUCUACGUAACAGGUGGAUUUUUUAGUUUUAACAGGAGUUUCCGAUGUGACAACGAGGAUUCGCAAGCUUAAGAUACAUUUCUUAGGAUAGAUUGGUUAUUGAGAAUGUCUUUGAGAGAGAAUUUGAGCUAUAAUAUUUCUUUUGGACUUUUCUAGAUGGUAAGAGAUUACGUCUAAAAAUUCCAACUGAUAGAUUCACCUAGGCUAGAGAUAGUUAGGUGGAUAACUCUCGGCAUCAUAAAUGAAGUGAACCUUUGCAGAAGUGAUUGAGUGGGAAUAGUUAGAGGAUUAGCUAGGUGAAAAUGAAAUUUGAAUACAUUUUCAUAAUUGUUACCUCCGUAAACCUUCUUUUACUGCUUUCAUUUAUAUUUAAAAACCACAAAAAAAAUUCUUCAAAUAUCUUUUCAUUUUCUUAAAUCAAUAUUUAGCUUGUGAUAAACCCGUAUCUGCUUUCCUAUGAAUGAAUCAUAAAGGCUUAAGCCUAAAGCAAUGCAAACUAGGAAAUAACCUUUAUCAUGAAGUUGGACUAAGGACGCAUAAAACCCAUCCUUGAUGUUAAUGAGUGUUUCAUGUCUGCCUUUCUCCACUAUAACUCCAUUCUUCACAACAACAAUCACAUCUGCAUUUUUAAUGGUAAAUACACGAUGUGACACAACCACAGUGGUUCUGCUACCCAUGACUCUAUCCAAGGCAUCUUCAACAAGUCUUUCCGACUCCACAUCUAAACCACUUGUGGGAUUAUCUCGCAGCAAUAUCGGCGGAAACGGAAACCCACCGUCAUUUGAUUUCGACGGAAAAGGAAACCCGCCAUGCUUGAUCUUUGGAGAAUGGUUGAAAAGGAAUUUAAGGUUUGCAAAGCAACCAGUUCUUUCCCCAUUUGGGCCAAUAAUUGCAUUCAAAUGGUAAAUCGGGUCUUUUGUCAAAACAAAAAAAACUUCAUUGUACACAACAUUUUUCAUAUAUUGUGCAUAUGCUUCAUCUUGCUCAACAAUAAGUAUGUUAAAUUCCUUUGGUGAUGUUACUCUUGCACUACUAGAAAUUUGUUGUUUAGCAACGGAUUUAGCGACCGAAAUAUUUCAGCCACUAAUAGCGACAGACUUUGCGACGAAAUCCAUGAUAUUUUGGUCAAACUCCAAGUUUGACUUACUAGCAACCAAUUUACCGACUGAAAUAUUAGCGACCGAAAUUUCUGUCUCUAAAAAAGUAAAAUAAUUAUAAUAAAGCAAAGUAGCGACUGAAUUAGCGACAAAUUUUUAGCGACCGAUAUAUCUGUCGCUAGUAGCGACCAAUUUACCAACAGAAAUAUUAGCGACCGAAGUUGACCGUGACUGAAUACAGGUCUUGACAAAUAUAAUCUCACAUAAUAGAUUAUAUUCUAAUAUUUUACAUUAUCUAAUUUUACAUUGAUUUUUUUUUUAUCUAAUUUUGAUUUUUUAAAAAUUUUCCAGUUUGUUCUUUUAGUAUAACAAAUCAUUGUGGGCUAAUACAUAAUUGAUUUUUCAUUCAAAGCCAAAGAAAUUUAAAUUAUUUUCCAUUCUGCAAAUUUGUUAUUUAGGAAAAUCCUAAGUCUCACGUUCUUCUCCUUCAUCCUUUGUUCACCACCAUUCCCUCAACGUUGACCUCAUCCACUUUGAUGUCGUCACCAAUCUGCUCUGCGUGUAUCUCGCGUCGCCGUCGUUUUGUGUACCGGCGAGUUCAGCGAAUUCAUGUGUAUUGUCUAUCCUAAACCUUCCUCACCUGCGAAAUCCUCAUAUCCCUAAUUCAAGGACAGACCGUUGCUCAUAAGGAGGAGGCAUACAAUUCAGGUUUUUGCCUUCCCUUAUGUGUCUUUUGUUUCUGUUUUUUCGUUUCUGAAUAUGAAGAUGGAGGUGUAGGGGAUGCCUGAUUUAACCCAUAGCUAUAUAAUGACUUUGUUUAGUUUAAAAUUAUCCGUAAAUUUCCCAUAAAAAAGUUAUCCUUAUAUAUAUAUAUGGUAAUCUUGAGUGUUUCUUAGUCUGUGAAAUUUGAGCUAACAACAAGAAGUUUGUAAGAACACAGUGAGAAAUUUCAAUUAACCAAAGUGAUCAAAGCAUUUUUCUCAACCACAGAAAAAUUUUCUUUAAUUUUUGUGACCAUAAUAUUUGUGAUCGUGUGUAUUUUUCCUUCUUUUAAAAUAUUCUUGAAUUUGUAUGAAAUAUUUCUCCAUAAUGUAUAUAGUUGCUCUAAAAGAAUUGUAACAAUUAGAAAUCAAGAGAAAGAAUUAAAAGUCAAGGAAGUUUGUUUACUGAUAAUAAAAACGUUAUUAAACAAUAUAAAAUUCAAACCUUCUCAUCAAUUAGAACAAUAUCAGUGCUUUCAAAACAAACAAUUUUUUUGCUAAUGUGAUGAAAAAUGACAUACUUAUUGAAAUAGCUCGUGAUAUUUGUCAUUCUUUUCUUGUAGGAUGUUUGAGUAUAAGGUAUGUAUGAUUUGAGUGUGAUUGUGUUGUUUAUAUAGAGAUAUGCAAUAGUGCAUGGUUUAAUGUAAUUGCAUAUUUUCAAAUUAAUGCAGGUAAAUGAAUAGGUUCUUUGCAUUGCCAAUUUUUAUCAUAGUUUCUGCAAGGUGGUUUAUUGCUUUGAAAUGACAGGAUAUGGAUUUGAGCAGAAUUAAUGAAGUGGAGGACUGUGUAUAAAUUUCAAUUCACGUUGUUACAAAACUAAAAGUUGCAAAAUUACAUGUGCAUUACUUUUACCUUUCUUAAUUUAUUGAGACAAUUAUUGUAGUUUAGGGAGAGAAACAUCAGUUAGUAGUACACGAAAGUUUUCCUUUCUUUACUUUGAGCAGAAAAUUUAUAUGUGCCUUACUUUGACCACUAAAUUUCUUUUCUUAACUUAUUGAAGAAAACUAUCAUAGUUUAAGGAAAGAAACGUCCCUUGUGCACGAAGUUUUCCUUUCUUUACUUUGAACAGAAAAUCUACAUGUGCAUUAAUUUGACCACUAAAUUUCCUUGAGUUGGCUAGUUAGUAGUUUUCAAAUUUUUCUUUAAAAAAAAAAUUGCAACCCUAACUCCUUCGAUAUCUUCCCUUCCAUUGCAGAAUUAGGGUUUCUACCGCCGCCGGAGUCAGAAAUGGGACUCUUUCGCGGCCUCCAUUGUGCCUAGUCCAGACGCAAGAACCCCGCUCUGGCUGCCGUCGUGGAAAAGGUCAAAUUGGCUGCGCUGCUUCAUCGGUUGAUGAAGCAUUUGGUGUCGUAGCCGAUGGAGGACUGAUGGAUGCUGUUAUCACUAAACUGGAAGCUCGUGAGGAAAAAGCAGCGGCGGCUGCUGCUAGAUAUGUCGCCAGAAAAGCUGCUAAAGAAGCUUCGAGCGGGUACAAACGCUCAAGAAUUGUGCAGCGCGUGUUGGACUCGAAGGAAGCUGAGCGUAGGAAGAGGCAUCGAAAGACUAUGUCUCGCACUAGAUCUGAUUCCGGAUCCUCCAGCAAAUCGUGGGAGAAUCGGAGGAAUGGGAAGAAGAAGGAAAGACAUGCCAGGCCAUGGAGAAGUAGCCGAUGGAGGACUGAUGGAUGCUGUUAUCACUAAACUGGAAGCUCGUGACGAAAAAGCAGCGGCGGCUGCUGCUAGAUAUGCUGCUAAAGAAGCUUCGAGCUGGUACAAACGCUCAAGAAUCAUGCAGCGGGUGUUGGACUCGAAGGAAGCUGAGCGUAGGAAGAGGCCUCGAAAGACUAUGUCUCGCACUGGAUCCGAUUCCGGAUCCUCCAGCAAAUCGUGGGAGAAUCGGAGGAAUGGGAAGAAGAAGGAAAGACAUGCCAGGCCAUGGAGAAGUAGCCGAUGGAGGACUGAUGGAUGUUGUUAUCACUAAACUGGAAGCUCGUGAGGAAAAGCAGCGGCGGCUACUGCUAGAUAUGCCGCUAGAAAAGAUGCUAAAGAAGCUUCGAGCGGGUACAAACGCUCAAGAAUCGUGCAGCGGGUGUUGGACUCGAAGGAAGCUGAGCGUAGGAAGAGGCCUCGAAAGACUAUGUCUCGCACUGGAUCUGAUUCCGGAUCCGGAUCCUCCAGCAAAUCGUGGGAGAAAUCGGAGGAAUAGGAAGAAGAAGGAAUGGAGAAGGCUAUGGGGAAGAAAGGUGAUGGUCUGGAAGAAUUCAUCAGCCGAUGAAGGAGCGCGCCCAGUUUGAUCAAAAAUUAAUAUAAUUAUUUUAGGGUCUAUAAUUUUCGUGUAUUUUUGAGAUAGGUUUGUAGAACUAAUUUGUGGCUUAAAUUCACAAUCCUAAGGAAUCCUUGCACAUAAACUAGUAGACAAUUGUAAUAACUUAGGCGUGAGUUAAGGCAUUUGGGAAGUGCAUUUUUUCCAUCUUUAAAUUGCAUGAAAGCAAUAGUUUUUUAUAAUAUUUGAUAAGCAUACAAGAUUUCACGACCAUUGUACUGAUCAAUAUAUGUAGAAAGUGAUCAUUUCUGACCGUUACAAAUUAUAGUGUGAUAUAUAUAUAUAUAUAUAUAUAUAUAUAUAUAUAUAUAUAUAUAUAUAACAAUGUUUAUUGUGAGAAAUGAGAGCAUCAAAUCGUGACCAUACAAUUAUAAAAGUAUGGUUGAGAUUUAAUGUCAUUUACUGAUCAGUGACUUUAUGUUUUAAUCUUGACCAUUCAUGUUAGAUUUAAUGCUCAUUAUUUAAUGCUCUUAUCUCUCACAAUAAACAUUGUUCCCACUUGAUACGCCUCAUAUAUAUAUAUAUAUAUAUAUAUAUAUAUAUAUUAAUAGAGUUGAAUAAGAAAUUAAAGUGAUAUAAGGGUAAAAUAGAAUGUCCAAAAAGCCAAAUUCUCCUCUGAAUUAUGCUCAAGGAGUUUUAGUUGUUUUCCAAUGAUUAUGCCCCAAAUAUCAAUGCAUAUUUUGAAAAUAAUGGCAAUAAUUUACAAAAGAAAAGAUUUUAUUAUUGUCAUGUCAUGUUCGUAAAGUCCAAUAGACUCAACACUAACCACAAAAAUGUAGUCAUUUUACCCUAGGUUUGGAUAUUAUUCACAUGCAUGCUUGGAUUUGAAGUGGAGUAUAUAAUUUUUUGCAUUGAUUGAUUAAGAUCUUUGUUUUUGGUGCUUAAAGAGGUUCCUCCCUUCUUUAAAAUUCAAAAUGUACACCACAGAUCUAGAAAACACAUAUAUCCACUUACAGUAGACAAGGAAUGUCACGAUUCACAAAUAAGAUCUCUCAAGUUGAGUACAAAGAAACCCCACUUUAGAACAUCUGUAGUUUGAUUUUCAUGCCGAUAGAAAUAAUGAUCCACACAUUAUCCAAAGGCCCUAAUCAUGGGAUGUUUUGGCCUUAAGCUGAGACGAUGUUAAUCUCAUCUCAAAUACCAUCUGUAUAUGACUAUGUUUGACUUCCAUUGAUAGAAGAUCCUUUGGAAUUACGACUCUGUUAGAAUAUGGGUUGAGACCGACUCUAGAUAAAAAAAUGAUCUCAAAUUGGGGAUUGUUUUGUUAUUUAAAAGUAGAUAAUUUUUGAGUUUUGGACCAAUUUACAGCUUAUUACUGAUUUUAGGGUGUCAUGACCGAUUUUAGGGGUUGGUGCUGAUUUUAGUGUUUAUGGGCUGAUUUUACGGUUUUAAGCCGAUAUUAGAGUUUUAGAUUGAUUUAGAGAGUUAAGGGAGAUAUGAGGAAUUUGAAAUUCCUUCGUUUUUAGGGUCAUUUCAAUUCCCUUGAAUCUAAUACGUUAAAAUACCUAGUUAAAUUCCCUUGAAUUUAGAAUUCCUUAUAAAAAUAUAUGCAAACAAAUUAUUUCAUAGCAAAGCAUUUUAAAUACCCUCUAAAAAUACAUUCCUCCCCAAAAAUUACCCCAUCCAAACACAAUCUAAGGGUGGGAAUAUAUUGGGUAGGAACAAUAGUGAAUUUCUACGUAACAGGUGGAUUUUUGAGUUAUAACAAGAGUUUUCGGUGUGUCAACGAGGAUUCGCAAGCUUAAGAUACCUUUCUUAGGAUAGAUUGGUCAUUGGGAAUGUUUUUGAGAGAGAAUUUGAGCUAUAAUGUUCCUUUUGGGCUUUUCUAGAUGGUAAGAGAUUACUUCUAGGAAUUCCAACUGAUAGAUUCACCUAGGCUAGAGAUAGUUAGGUGGAUAACUCUGGCGUCCUAAAUGAAGUGAAUUUUUGCAGAAGUGAUUGAGUGGGAAUAGUUAGAGGAUUAGGUGAAAAUGAAAUCUGAAUACAUUUUCAUCACUGUUACCUCUGUAAACCUUCCUUUACUGCUUUCAUUUAUAUUAAAAACCCCAAAACAAAUUCUUCAAAUAUCUUUUCAUUUGCUUGAAUCAAUAUUUAGCUUGUGAAAACGAUGUUCACGCAAUCUCUGAGGAUGAUAAACCUGUAUGUUCUUUCCUAUGAUUGAAUCAUAAAAGCGGGACAUGGCAGGCUAGCCUGAAUGAGAAGCGGGUUGGAAAAGUCUAGCUGCCCCGCGUAGUGGAAGGUUUGCGGGCUAGCCCGCACAAAAGAAAAAAAUAACUUAUUGACCACACUACAGAAAUACUAACACAAUACAAUGAUUACCUCAUGGAAUUCCAACACGCCUUCAUUCCAUUUGAGUUGGUGUGGAUGUGGGUUUUCCCCUGUAAGGUGGCUCCAAAAUAGGAUGAUUCUUAGUUCUAGAGUCUCCGUUUUCGUAAGACUUUAGUGCAAUGUCACUAAUUCCAUGAAAUAUCUUCAGUUGCAAUUGUGCCAUAUCCAGAUAAUGUGUAAGAAUGAGAGAGGUUGGGGAGAGAAGAAUCCUAGUAACGUCGUCAAUGUGUUCAAAUUGGUGCAGUACUAUUUGGGCAAGAUUGAGAGGUUGUGGAUUUUUAAGAGAGGUCCUAAUGUGUGGUAAAAAAAUAUGGGGUUAAUCAUCAAAUUGGUCCAUAUCUUUUUAAGUCAUUUGCGUUUGGUCUCUCACCGGGAAAUAUUAUGAUUAUCGUCCCUACAAUUGCAGCACGUUUGCAUUUAGUCAUCGCCAGAGAGCGGAGCUCCAGCGAAGUUGCAGGUAAAUGCCUACGUGGCUUAGCCACGUCAUUUUUAAUUAAAUGUAUUUUUCAGCUGUAUAAUUGAAAUUCAAAAUGAUGGUGAUGAUGAUGGCGACGAGAUGAUGACAAUGACAAUGACGAAGAAGAGGAGGAUGAGUAUGAUGAGGAUCAGAAUGUUGAGCGUGAGGAUGAGGAUGAGGUUUACUUUCAAGGGAGAGCCUUUUAAUUUGGAUUUUCUGAAGAGUUACAAGACACAUGUGACCUAUCAAGUUUGUAAGUCUUACACGAAUGCAAAUGAGACAUGUCGGGAUAUAUUGAAAACUUACCAUCCUGGGAUUGCUUUCAAUAAAGAACCAAAGUACUAUCACAAAUACAUAAAGGGAAGGGUUGAAGUGGCUGGUCUUGAUGACAUGCAACCUCCCGUUGGUGGAUGGCCAUGUUGUCGACAUUUGUGGACAGAUGGCAUCCGAGGACGUCAUCUUUUCAUAUGUCGUUCGGGGAGAUGAUUAUCACGUUGGAUGACAUGACUUCAUUGCUACAUAUCCCUGUAACGGGGACUUUCUUUACUCUCCCAAAUCUGACUCGAGAUGAUGUUGAUGUGUUGGAUAAUGUGCUUGGUGUUGCCCAUGCUGAGGCUGAAGAUGAGAUUUUCUCGUGCAAUGGAUCGUAUGCACGUUAUACGUGGCUUGACAAGAUUGCUCAUGACAUGGUGAAAGACAAAAAGAGGGAGAAAGCUGCUAGAGCAUUCUUGCUACAAUUGGUUGGGAUGACGAUCUUCUCUUGGAAAACGAACAAAAAGGUCGAGGUUGCAUACUUGAAACUGUUUCAUGACCUGGAUGCAUUCAAAAAGUAUGCUUGGGGUGCCAUAUCAUUAGCCUAUCCUUGUGAGCAUCUUAAGGAGGCCAACAAGAACAGUUGCACCAGCAUCAGAGACUACUUGAAUUUAUUUCAAAUUUGUGACAAACUAAUUCUUUAGUUUCUCUCUUAUGAUACGGUACUUGAAUUUUUCUUUAUGAAGUAUAACAAACUUUUGUUUGAUUACAUGCAUGGAUAUUUGAGCAUUUUCCCUCCUCGGUCUUGGAUAGGAAGUCGAACCCUGAUUACUCUGAGGUGGCUUAGGCAAGUCGUUGGAUAACGCAGAGGGGAAAUGUGCACAUCCACCAGAAGAGGAUUGCCCUAGAUGACCUAACAAUGGGCUCUGUCAUAUGGACACCCUACGACAAUCAUGAAGUGCACAUGCAAUUUCAGGAAGUAUGUUUGUAUAGUGGGUGGAUUCGCCAUUAAGGCCUGGUACACCCACACUUGUCAGAGCGUGUGUUGAGGUAGUUUCAUUUGGUCUAGGAUACUCCUAAUCAACCACCUGUUCAGAGACUCACUUGACAACUCUAGGUUACAUGACGUGGUAUAAGUUAGUCUUACACCCUGUGGUGGUCUCUUCGGAAACCAGAGAUGAUGCAACAACGACUCUAGGGGUAAGUUUUUUACUUGUGAUGAAUGUACACUAAACAAGUUGUGUUUCAGAAGUUAUGUUUCACAAUUAUAUUGAAUCUUAAGGAUGUAGUUUUCUUGAUUGUCCUUUAUUUGUUUCGUAAAGAUCUUAUGUUAGGAUGAUUGUUUCAUGUGUAAGGAUUCCUUUCCCAUUUGUGUAUGUUUGUAUGGUGUUUAGACAAUUAUGGAUUCGUUAACUUAAUUGGUAACUUUAUUUGUGGUUCAUGAUGAGACAUUUUGUUUGUGCAAUUAAAUUCUGUUUUGUAUGGUGUAUAAAUUUGCUUAAAUAGAUUUGUGAAGCAGAACCAAAUUUCAGGCUUCUGGAAACUCGCUCUUUAUAGUGUGUUAGCUACUCACUGUAGUGCGUUACCCGCGUGAACGUUACAUAUAAGAAAUUGCGUUACAUAAACUAAAACAUGAAAAAAGUGUAGAAACUUAAUUUUAUUAAUUCAGAUCAUGAAGUUCAGAGGGUAAAAUAGAAUUACAAUAAAAUUAAUUAUAAUAAAGUCAAACAUGGUACAGUGUCAAAUUAAUUUAUUUAGAAAAUCUUCCUGCUUUUCAGCUCUUGAGAUUGUUGAUCUAUAUCAUCAGGUUCAUAGGGUAUCUGAUGGCUUAUAAGGUCGUACUAUCUGUUCCCUCAUAUUGAUGGGGCCAACAUUUUACCUGAUACCUUCUACAUUAGCUACUUUGAGAACUCAAAAUAAGGAUGGUCAACCCCUACAUUAACUACUUUGUAACUCUGAAUCUGAAUAUCCAAAUUCUGAGUUAUCAAAGUAGCUAAGGUGGGGAUGAAAUCUAGUGAACCCCAAACAUUGUUACCCAAGGAAGAAGAAUGCAGAAGAAGGAACAAGGGAGAAGAAGACAGAGACAUCUGAAUUAGUAAAAAAAAGAAGGAAGAAUUGUAUGAAAAAGAGAGAAAUGCACCCCUAUAUAUAGAAUCUGAUUUAGCAUAGGGAAUACCGACCAAUCUAAUGUUUAACAUGUGUGUUAAUUUGAAAUUGAGAGUUUUGGAGAUUAGCAGUUUAAGAAUUUGCAUAAGUUACAACCAAAGUGGUUAGCGCAUUACUAACAUACACUUUAAAGUGCGUUAGUGAACGCGCUCUAAAACUACGUUACUAACAUAGUUAGUAACUGCGUUUACUAACACACUUUAAAGUGCGAGCGGAAUACAGUGAAGGGUGUUCUUGGAUUUCAAGAGAUUACCGGUAGUAUGAAUAAAUGUGGGGUAGUGCGAAUAACAAUUUCUCAGUUCUUAUUGAGCAAAUUGUUUGCUCAACUAUAUGUCCCGCUUUUGCAUAGGAUGUUUGAGCUUGAAAAGUCAUCUUGCGUAUGAUGAUGGCCAUAGCCGCGUCUAACACAACCAUAAGAAUAAAAGUAGAUAACACGACAAUGGUAGGAAGCCACCCUUUGAUGAAGACAAUCACAAAAUGAUUGUUGCUAUGAGCUGUAGAAAUUUCCCAACCUGUUUUGAAUAAAAGUUUUAAUUCUUCAACGUAAAUUAUAUUUUUAUAGCAGAAUCAUAUUUUAUUUCGUCCAGCUUGUAAAUGCUCGUGAUUGAGAAUAGUGGGGGUUGUUUUUUUCAAUGAGAAUAGUGGGCUGAAUAUGAGUUAUGUGUCUCUUCACUAUUGAAUCUAUAUAGGUCCAAUCAGUAGUAAGCCUACGUGAUCAGGAUUCGGGUCUGAAAAGUUGGGUGAUCAAAUUUUGAUCUUAACUUGUCCUGGAGUAUAUUGGGCCCAACAAUUAGAGUGGAUAAACCCAAAUAAAACUAAAAGAAAAGAAGCAUACCAAACUUGUCAUCUUUUACUAAAAAAAGUUGAGGGAUUACAUUUGUUUAAAAGAUUAUUGGGGGUUAAAAUCAUAUGUCUAGCAUAAUAAAUCAAAUAAAAGUACAAUUAAGCUAAAUGUCCCCGUAGGAUAGCUCAAGUGGUAGGAGCUGAGGGACAUAUGAGUUGGGUAGGGGAGUUCCAGAGAUCGAUUCCUGGCGGGUGCAAUUUAUCUUUCCGAUGUACAAAAAAAAAAAAACUAAAAAAAGACAUGUCAAGUAUGAGGAAAGAAAUAAUGAAACCAGAGCACCAAAGGAAAAUAUCAAAUCGAGAUUAUGAGCCAAUUGUGAUUUGUGAGUUAAACAAAAUCACUUGAUGAAAUUAACUUUUUUAAUUGUAUCCAAUGAUUGAUCUAUGAACUUCCAUCUCCAUGACUCAUAUAACUCUUACCACUUGAGAUAUCAUUCGAAAAUCUAAUAAUAUUUAAACAUAUGUCUUAAAAAAAUCUAAAACAUGUUAAAAUAUUAUUGAACCAUUUAAUUAGACGGAUAAAUCUCGCGCGAUUUAGAAAAUAAUUUUUUCCAACUUUUCAUGAAUAAUUUUAGUGAACUUUUUGCGCGGGAAGCAAAAGUAUAACACAACGCCUGUGGUGUGAGAAUGUUGUAACUCGACGACUGUGCUUCCCCCAUUAUGGCGGAGUCUACUCCAAAUCCAACUCCUCCUCCGUCAAACGCCACCAACUCCGUCGCCAAAUCUUCUUCUUUCCAACGAACGGUGAGUUUCCUCUCCUCUCUCUCCGCUUCUUCUUCUUCUUCACAUCAUCAUUUUCCCCUUUCAGUUUUCGCUUCUGACGCCAUUUUCUCGUUCGUUUGCGCAGGUUUGCUUAUACGACUGGUGGUUGAUUCAAGCCAAAAACGACUUCCAUGGAAAGCGUUUAGCCGUCGCCGGCGUCUCUUCCAAAAAGUAAGACCCUAUUUCUCCUUCAUUUUAGGGUUUUCACUCCUGCAACGUUAAAUUGCUAGUGCUUUGGGGUAAUUUCUGUGUUAGGGUUUUGUGAUGACGAAAUUGUGUGAUUACUGUUACAAUUUCGUGUUGUGUGGUUCAGGGAUGAAGCCAUGCGGGUGUUUGUUUCGGCUCCUAUUAUCAAAAGAUAUGAUGUGUUUUCGCUUGAGACCGCGGAUGGUGUUUACGUUAUCAUCAGUGGUUUCAUCAACCAGGAGCGCACUCGCGAAAAUGGUUUUGCUCCUGAGGUUUGCAGCUUUUUUCGUGCUUUACUUUCCGUUUUGACGAAAAGUCUUGUUUAAAAUUUGGUUUUUUCAUGUCUGAGUUAAGGUUGUAACUGUCCCACAUUUGAUGAUGUGAAGCUUGUAUGUUAUCCCCGAUUUGAUUUUUUUUUUUGCUCCUAUUUGAAUCUUCUGUGGCUAGGUUUUCAACAGUUUUAUAUUUGGAUUUCCUCCAAACUGGGAAAGCUAUGCUGUAGAUUGCUUCAGGGAAGAAUCGACCGCGGCCAGUGAUUCAGGCAAUGCUGCUCCUGAUAAUGUAUCAGCAAUUCGUCCGGAGGUCUUAUCUGAAGGUAAAUAUUUGGAUGAUGCUUGUAAAUAAUUUGCGAGCAUAUCUAAUAGUUGUUUGAUGUGUGCAUUGAUUCAGGCAAUGCAGUUCCUGCUAUUGUAGCAACAACUCGUCCAGAAAUAUCAUCUGAUGGUAAAUAUUUGGGUUAUGCUUAUAAAUGAUUUACGAGCAUGUCUCAUAGUUGUUUGAUGUGUGCAUUGAUUCAGGCAAUGCUGUUCCUGAUAAUGUAUCAACAAUUCAUCCAGAAAUCUUAUCUGAUGGUUAAUAUUUGGAUGAUGCUUGUAAAUGAUUUGCGAGCAUGUCUAAUAGUUGUUUGAUAUGUGCAUUGAUUCAGGAAAUCCUGUUCCUGAUAAUGUAUCAGUAUUUCAUCCUGAAAUCUUAUCUGAUGGUAAAUAUUUGGAUGAUACCUGUAAAUGAUUUGUGAGCAUGUCUUAUAGUUGUUUGAUAUGUGCAUCGAUUCAGGCAAUCCUGUUCCUGAUAAUGUAUCAGUAAUUCAUCCUGAAAUCUUAUCUGAUGGCAAAUAUUUGGAUGAUACCUGUGAAUGAUUUGCGAGCAUGUCUUAUAGUUGUUUGAUAUGUUAUUUCCUAUCUCUCUAUUCUCUAUUAUACUCUAAAGAUUUUAAUUGUUUUUUUGCAGAUGUGAGAAAGCCCAAUCCUAUUUCUUCGAUGUCACCAGAAGAGACUCUGGGAGAUCACGAGAAGCCAUUCCAUAAAGAUGAAUCUCUUAUAUCAAAGGAGAUAAGUGGGGUUAGUGGCGGGAAUAGACGUAGUGCCAGGUUGCUUAGCGUUAAAGUCUGCCAGAAGAAGAAUCAGCCUGCUUCUGGAGGUCCUCUGAAGCACCUGGAUACAGAGCAGAACUCUACUUCAGUGGCCUUGGAAAAUUGUGAUGGAGUGGGACUGAAAAGCUAUGCUCGAGGUCACAUAAGAGAAGAACCAAUGGCUGGCAUUGAUGUGGGUACUGCCACUCCUGAUAAUGGCAUUGAUUUGGGGACUGCUGCUCCUGAUAAUUUACCAGCAGUUCGUCUGGACAGAUUGUUUGAUGGUAAAUACUUGGAUGAUGCUUCAAAGUCUUUUGCAUGUGUGCUUAUUUAUGUCCUAUAGUUGUUUGAUGCUUUAUCAUUUCAUUUCUCUCUUUGGUGUUGCAGAUGCUGAAAAAUCUAUUCCUACUUCUUUGGCAUCACCAGAAGAGGCCUUAGGAGGUUGCGAGAAGCCAUUCCCUGAAGAUGAAUGCAAUGUGUUGACGGAGAUUGGUGGGGUUAAAGUUGCUUAUGGUAGUGGUGGGAAGAGACGUAGUGCCAGGUUGCAUAAUAUUGAAGAUGAAUCCAAUGUGUCAAAGAAAAUAGGUGGCGAUAGUGGCAGUAAUAGACGUAGUGCCAGGUUGCAUAGAGUUGAAGUUUUCCAGCAGAAAAAUCAGCCUGCUUCUGAUGGUCCUCUGAAGCAUCCAGAUAAAGAGAAGAGCUCUCCCUCAGUGGCCUUGGAAAAUUGUGAUGGAAAGAGACUGAAAAGCUCUGCUCGAGGUUGCUUAAGAGAAGAACCAACUGCUGGCAUUGAUGUGGGUACUUCUGCUCCUGAUAAUGGCAUUGAUGUGGGUACUGCUGCUCCUGAUAAUUUACCAGCAAUUCGUAUGGACAGAUUGUUUGAUGGUAAACAUUUGGAUGAUGCUUCAAAGUCUUUUUUGCAUAUGUGCUUAUUCAUGUCCUAUAGUUGUUUGAUGCUUUAUCAUUUCAUUUCUCUCCAGCUACAUAAUCUUGAUUCUUGUUGCAGAUGCUGAAAAAUCUAUUCCUACUUCUGUGGUAUCACCAGAAGAGGCCCCAGGAGGUUGCGAGCAGCCACUCCCUGAAGAUCAAUGCAAUGUGAUAGGUAUAGACUUAAGCCCCCCCCCCCACAUUAAAGAAGUGUAUGUUAGGCACAAACAGAGAAAGGAAGUAACUAAUUUUAACUAACUUUAGUCAUUUAGUUGUUAGCUAUAAAUAGAGGAAUGCUAGUCUCAGUUAGGUUCUCUUUGGGAAUAGUUGGAAUUGGUUCGACUGGUCUAUUUGGAACCAGGAUUUUACUUUCCUAUUCUUGAAUAAUAACAGAUUUCUAUCUCUGUUCUAGAAUCACAUUGAUUCUGGGCAGAGGACUCUUUUCUUCCAUUAGUGUAAUUCUUUUACUAUUACUACAAGUUAUAAUCCAAUGUGUUGAAGGAAAUUGGUGGGGUUAAUGUUGCUUGGGGUAGUGGUUGGAAUAGACAUUUGCAACUAAAUAUUUUAGUUGUUUUUUUGCAGCUGUGGGAAAGCCCAAUCCUACUUAUUCGAUAUCACCAGAUAAGACCCUGGGAGAUCAUGAGAAGCAAUUCCAUAAAGAUAAAUCCAAUGUGUCAAAGGAGAUGGGUGGGGCUAGUGUUGGUUGUGGUAAUGGCAGGAAUAGGCGUAGUGCCAGGUUGCAUAGCGUUAAAGUCUGCCAGAAGAAGAAUCAGCCUGCUUCUGGAGGUCCUCUGAAGCAUCUGGAUAAAGAGAAGAACUAUACCUCAGUGGCCUUGGAGAAUGGCGAUGGUGAGGGACUGCAAAGCUAUGCUCAAGGUAGCUUAAGUGAAGAAUCAACUGCUGGCAUUGAUGUGAGUACUGCUGCUCCUGACAAUUUACCAGCAAUUCGUCUGGACAGAUUGUUUGAUGGUAAAUACUUGGGUGAUGCUUCCAAGUCUUUUGCAUGUGUGCUUAUUCAUGUCCUAUAGUACUUUGAUGCUUUAUCAUUUCAGUUCUCUCUAGUUUUGAUAUCCAGCUUCAUAAUCUUAAUUGUUGUUGCAGAUGCUGAAAAAUCUAUUCCUACUUCUUUGGUAUCACCAGAAGAAGCCCCAGGAGAUUGCGAGCAGCCACUCCCUGAAGAUGAAUGCAAUGUGUUGAGGGAGAUUGGUGGGGUUAAUGUUGAUUAUGGUAGUGGCGGGAAGAGACAUAGUGCCAGGUUGCAUAAUAUUGAAGAUGAAUCCCACGUGUCAAAGAAAAUAGGUGGCGAUAGUGGCGGUAAUAGACAUAGUGCCAGGUUGCAUAGAGUUAAAGUCUUCCAGCAGAAAAAUCAGCCUGCUUCUGAUGGUCCUCUGAAGCAUCCAGGUAAAGAGCAGAGCUCCCCCUCAGUGGCCCUGGAAAAUUCUAGUGAAGACGGCCUGAAAAGUUCGGUGACACCCAUUAAGUCACAGCCAAAGGGCCUAGUAAACAUAUUAUCUGAGCAGCUUGUUAAAAAAUCUUCAUCCAGGAUUUAUAGUUCUAUGUCAGCAGAAACUGCAGGCCAUUAUAAGAAAAGGAGAAUGGCUGAUAUAACAAAAGCGGUCAGUCCUAAGAGAAAAAUUACUAAAUCUGUGUCUGCUGUGAAAUCUCCGCAAGGAAGGGAUUUGAGUCACUUGAACAACAGAAGCAACCAGAAAAUAUCCUGUGUUUCUCCAGAGUCAUUGAGUUUAAGAAAAUCCAAAUCUGGUAAAAUUUUCUAUCAUUGUAAAUCCAUUAACAUCUUAUUAUGCUUACAGAUAAUAGAAGUUCUUUAAGUGUUUUUUAUGCACUGUCAUUUGUGUCAUCCAGCGGCCAACACCCUCACCCAAUGCUAUUGUUAGUUUUUUUGAUACAGUCAUUUGAAAAGCCAUAUGCUUCAGACUAUAUUCUUUAUGCUUGGGUUAUGUUGCAGGUAGGCUGCUUCUACCUCCCUUAGAGUUCUGGCGCAAUCAAAUUCCAGUUUAUAAUGCGGUAUGUGAUAUCUUGUGUUACUGUGAAGCUUUCUUUUGACAGCCAAUGGUAUCUUAUCUCGUGCACUGAAAAUUUCUUCAUUUUUCAGGAAAUGUAUAUAUAGGAUUUAUUUUUAUCUAAGCUUUGAUAGAAUAGAAGGUAAAGAUUUACAACGUACUAUCUUCUAAUUGUUUCUUUUGUGAAUUAUAUAACUCAGGACCGUGAGGUUACAGAUAUUCAGGAAGGUGCAUCUUUGGUAUCGCCUUGUAGAGGAGCUUCACCAUCAUUGAGCCGGUACAUCUUUCAUUGUUAAACAGCAUUUUGUAGUUAUAUCAGAUAAGAACAUUCCAUGUGUGGAUAGCCUUUCCUUAAGUAGUUAUGCCCAUUUGAUGGUUUGUUACAAUUUUUCCAAUUUUAUUUUUACCAAUUACUCUAUUGUGUUGUUGAUGGGCCAUUGACCCUGGAAUAUAGAAAGAAGGGAUUUUCUGAAGAAGGAUGGGCCUAAUAAUGUUAUGGGUCUACGUGGUUGUAAGAGGAGGAAAAAAAAUUGAUAUAUUAGGGGCAAUGAAGAAAUAUAAGCUGUGAAGGGAGCAAAGAAUAGGAAUCAGUAAGAGCGGAGGGUAGAAUACAACAGAAUGGACAGUUGACAUAAUUAAAAGGGCAGGGGAUUCAAGAAUAAAAGAAGAGCUAGUAAUAGGUAGGGUAUGUCAAGGAGGGAGGCUUCCUCCUCAUUCGCAUUCCUUAUUCUCUUGUGUCUGCUUCUUGUUUCUGACCAUUAAAACCAAUUUGACUACUGUCAUGUGAAAGACUGUCAUUGCAUGCCCCAAUUCUUUCAGGUUUCUAUAUCCAAUGUACGCCCACAAAUGGUGGGUGCACGAAGUAUAAAAAUUACCUCAUGACUUGGCUGGAUAUGUUUUAUCAACAACCUAUUGCCCAUUUUCUUCUUAGCGGGGCACCAAUCAGGCAAUCACCAAUAAAACCAUCUCCUGAUUAUAUCUAUUGAGUAGGAAUGAGAGACUCAGGAAAGAAGUAUUCCAGAUACAUUAUAGGGUCACUCUCCCAUGCCUGCGAUUUAGAGGGAAAGGCUUCCCUCCCUUUAUCGACCAAUAAAAGGAUGCAGUGUCAUAUGAUGCCAUGUCAUGAGUUAGAGUUGUAGGUUUUUAAAUUUCCAUUUUAGUCCCUAAACUUUUAUAUUAUUUAACUAUUUUACAAUUAAGAAAUUGUAAAAGAUAACCUUAACCUAAUCUGAAAUCUCAUGCUCUCUUCUUUGUUUGUCCUUCUUUCUUUCUUCAUCUGCACCCACACCUCUCUUUUUGUUCCACCACCGUGUCAUCUCUUUUUACACGUCAGCCCUCUGCCGCUGCAAGCCUCUGUUUUGUCUUCAUCCUUCAUUGUUUCUUUCCUACACCCUAGCACUAGUGGAGUCCUUCAUAGUUUUUCCCUAAACCCUAGCACCAGUGGAACAUAACACCUUAAUUCUGUCUAUCUCAACCACAUUCCUAGUUUGAACCCUAGUCACCUGGCUACAACCUUCAGCUUCGCCCUGCAACAGAGACUUCAUGAUGUUAAAGAUUUCGUGAACAAUUGUUCUAAAUCGGCGAUUUCGUAAGUGCCACUCUUCUUAAUCAGAACAGGCAAUGCCUCAGCCUUAACCCUAACUUCGAAGGUAGGCGCUGAGGAGCCCAGCAGGCCAGUGCAAGACGACAUUCGGAUAAAUUUUGUGGUUUGUGAGUCUGUCAGUCUGACUAUAUUACAUCUUCCGUGUUUGAUUAUUUUGAUAAAUUCAUAUUUUUUCUUCUACAUUCGAAUUCAAUUGAAACCUAUUAUGUGUUCUUGUGGAUUUUACUGUUAUUUUUUAUUCAAAAGCUUAGGCAAACAUACUAGUUUUUGUUUGUUUUAUUUUUCUAAUUGAAAGUGAUUUUUUCAUUAUAUAAAGAAAGUGGGUGGAGUCAUUUUUGGUUUUGGUUUUGGUAUACAAUAGUGGUACUGUAGCAAUGAGGUUUGAACCCAUGAUCUGAUGUAAACUAACCAAGCCCCUCACUUGCUAAUCCUAGUGGUUUGGAAGAGUUAUUGAUUAUAAUAGAGUUAAUAUGCUCCUAGUUUAUUAGUAGGUUACAUUUAUGGAUCUUGUUCUGAUUCUUAUUUCUUACUGGUUUCAAACAUUCUCAUUAAGUGACAUUGAUAUGUGAAAUUAUUUACUGAGAAAUAGGAUUCUCCUAUUUAAAUAAGUAGAAGUUGCAUUAGUUAUUUUUUUCUUUUACUAGUGCUCCUUAAACUUUCCUAACAGGCUAAAACUGGCUUAGUUGACAUGCUUGGAGACAGAUCCAAUACUAGUUGUCGGAACAAAUUGGUUGUCUGUAAUGUUGAAAGUUUAUAUAUCUCAAUGUUCCUUGUUCGCUGCUGCAUACUGAUCACCAUGUAUGCUUUUCCACGCAAUUUUAUGUAUAAAACAAGAACCAUUACUGAAGAGAAGAGGUGUCUGUGUGGUCCUCAAAAAAGGGAAAACAAUGGAAUGAGAAAAGAACUUCUCCAAACUAAAAUUCCGCCAAAGGAAUCUAAGCCUAAAAUUUCCUACUUCCCCAGGUUUCAUUAGGGACCUGGUAUUGUAUUGCUAAGAAAGGGAUAAAUUCCCUGAUUGCUGAUAGAGCUAAGAGGAUCUGCACCUCCAUUUUUUAAAGCCCCAGUUUUUUAUUAGAUCCUAGAUUCCCCCCAUCACCCCUCCCUGAUAUUUAUAUAUUUCAUGUCCUACUUCUUCUAACCAUCAAGAUAACUAGCCAACUUACUUGAAUUGAUACAUGAUGAUGAUUAUUAUCUUUUUUUCCCACAUUCUCUUCCAUGAUGAUUGAAGCAAAGCUAGCAAUGGAUUAUGAAGUGUCAUAAUGACGGCAGAAACCAAACUGUCAGUUUCAUAAAUUAUUGUCUAUAGAUGCAAAAUAUAGAACUUAUACGCUCUUCAAUUUUCACUAUUCUCUUUCAGUGCAGUGCCAGGUUUAGAGUAAAUCUUUCAAAAUGGAAGUAAUUUGUGUAAUUCAUAUCACUGCCUUCAUUGUAUUGUGAUUUGUGAUGAACAUAGUAUAAUUUUCACUAUUCUCUGCUGUGUAAUUUAGCUAGUACUGUCAUAAUAGUAUUAUGGUCUCAGUAUUUUGGGGAGACAGGUUAAUCGUUGCACAACUUUAUAUUUUUGUUGACAAAAUUUUCCUAUGAUGCUGAGCUUUGAUAUACUCCAGUUAGCUUAUAGACAUUUUAAUUUUUUUUUAGUAGCUUAUAGACAGUUUUCCCCCAUAUUGUAGAAAUUUGAGUAACAGGAAUACCAAGAUGGACCAACAAAACAAUAUCAAUGCUCCAAAUGGUUCAGGAGAUACGCCUUUGAAGCUCAAACGUGGUCGUCCAAGGAGAUAGAUAUUCAAAGCCAGAUUUUUUGAGGAGUCUUUAUGUCCUACUUAGUGAAGAGAUAAAGUAUAGCUAGAUACAUUUUUUGGGAUUGAAUGAUGAGAUAGAGAAGGUUUGAAUUGAAUCCAAGAUUUCCAUAUCUGGGUUUCCAGUCAUUUUGCUUAAUCACAUUUGGUUGGAUUAAUGUUUCCCUGUAUAUCUGGGGUCAGCUAAGCUUGUACGCCACAUGUGCUUAUUACUUGAUCACAAAAUAUAUUUCUAUUAGCUUAUAAAGUACAUGAUUAUUGAUCAUACACCUUAUUCGUCUAUAGCUAAACAUAUAUCUUAAUUAGAGGAGGGAUUCAACUAUGAGUCGGAAUUCAUCCAAGCUCACAGCUCCAUCUCCAUCCACAUCAAGCGAACCCACAAUAUUUUGACACUUCUCUAGUGACAAUCCAAGACCCAAAUUUUCUAUCACCUCAUGCAGCUCUUCACCUGUCAGAAUCUCGUUCCCAUCUUCAUCCAACGCUUCAAAUGCUGCGCUGAGGACACUUGCAAGAUUCCCAGUCUCCAAAUGCUUCGUGUUCAGCUCCAAGAACUCGUUAACACAUAGUAGCCCAUCCUUGUUCUUGUCCCCUUGUUGCAUCAUUGCCCUCACUUCUUGCUGACUCGCGUUGUACCCGAGGGACCCCAUGAUUCCACCUAGCUCCGCCUCUGAUGCGGCCGUCGUUGUCCGCGUCGAAUGCUCUGAAUGCUUCCAUUAGUGACAAAACAUGAUUCAGUGUCUCAAGUUCAGCAGAGAGAGAACCCACUUGAGCCAUAUGAUCGUUAGUGUUCAAGCUUAGAAAGUGGUGUGGUACUUUGUAUUUGUCUACUGCUACUGCGUCUCCGGGGCUAUGUAUAUAAAUUGUUCCAAAGAGGAACCAAGAAUGUUAUGCUCGCAUUUGUGUAGAUAUGAAGAUAUCUGGGAAUAGGAUCUAAUGCUUAUUGUAAAGUUUGUUCUCAAUUAUCUUUAAAACCUUUUCUUGGAAUAAAGUCAGAUAAUGUAAUCACCACCAAAAGGAAAUAUUGUCAUAUUUGAAAAGUAAUGCUAAUUCAUGUACAUCUAAAAUAGUUAGACACUACACACAAGAACGGUUAAAAAUCAUCACAAAUUACAUAGGUUAUAAAAACUCUCUAAACUUUUGCUUUGAUUUACACGAUUUUUGAAAAAAAUAAUUUAAAUUUAGAAAUCCUUAAUAGUGUAAAUAAUGAAAGGUACUAAACCCUCUCAUUUUCGAUACUAUUUUAGUGUACAUUAAUUUUUUUUUUUGUUAAAAAAAAAGUGUCAAGGAACAAUUCUUGUAAAACUUAAAAUAUAUUAUAUUUGGUAUUAUUUAUUUUACACUCAAAUUCCAUCGCACACAAAAAUAGAAGAAGAGUAAGAAAUAUUAAAAAAGUCACUGAAUGAUAGCUCAAGUGGUAAUAAUUAUGGGACAUGUGGUUCAGUAGGUGAGGUCCAGGUUAAUCCCUAAAGAAUGCAAUUUAUUUUUUUGAUGUACAAGAAAUAUUAAAAAAAAAACUAUAUGAUAAAAUAUGAAAAGAAGGGAGAAAUGAAAAAAAAAGUUAAUGAAAAUUAGAUGUAAAAAAAGUCAGUAUAUUUUUUUGCGAUAAUAAAGUCAGAAUGAGUGUAUCAAAAAAUAUAAUAUCUUCUCACACUUGAAUUGAAACAUGAAAUAUCCACAAGUCUACUGCUAUAUAUAUAUAUAUAUUUUUUUUCGAAACCGAAAUGGUUGAGAAUAUAUUGAUGAAGAAAUAGUCAUGAAAAUCACCCUCCUCAUAGGGGAUCAAAAGUCCGAAACAAACCUAACAAAAAAACACGCUAACAAAAACCUCAAAGGGACCAAUCCCACAUAAAACCAAUCAGCCCAUAAGAACCCAAUGACCAGCCUCGAACACCUAUACAAAGUCACCUAUAGACAGCCCAAUAGAGAUAACAAAGCCCGCAAAACCCGCCAAACAGAACAAGCUAAGCCUUCUAGCUGCAAUCCGAGCUGCAAUCUCAUAGAGCGCAGUGUCUAUUGUUAUAUAUUAUCAUACAUAUCAUAAUAUCGUGUUCGGCGUUUACCGUUUAGUGUGAGCUCUAGCAUGAAAAAUUAAUCACUGUUGUCGGCGGUGAAUACUCUGCGCUAAAAAAAUCUAUUAAAAUCUUUAAAUCAAUUAUUUUUUUUUAUAAGCAAUGACAUUAAUGGAGGCCUACAAGGAGUACCCCAACCUUUGUAAACAUUAGAAAGAACUCAAAAUAAACAUUACAGAGAAUUACAUAACAGACCAAUAAGAUCCAUUGUUCUUUCUUAGCAUGAGUCACGCAAGCAAGCUAAUGGCUCACCAAACCAUUCCACCACAGCAUGAUAAAAAGCUCUGUUUCGUGCCUUUAAAUCAGUUGGUAAAGACAUACAUAAAUAUUACUUUUAUACAUAUACAUCUGGAUACUUUUUAUUUUUUUAUUUUAUUUUUUUUGGUCAAAUAUAUUUUUUCUUUAUUCUGGUAUUGUCAUACUGGUCGUCUUCUGCUGAUGGCCCAUAAAGACACUAAUCUUCAAAAUUUUUUAUUCUCGAAACCUUCUUUUAGUCAUGACCCAUUCUCGAAACCAUUAUAUUUCUCCCUGGCCUAUACGCAUAAAACAUGAACUAUUCAAACAAGAAGCGGGCCCAUUAUAGACUUUCAACACUGCUCUUUUUUAUUCAAAGAUCCCUCAUGGAAUAAAAGAUCUUCCUUUGCAAAAUCGUGUAUAUAGUUUUUUUUUAAUAACGCGAAAAAAAAAUUACCAAAAGGGGAGAAAACCAUAUUUACCACAAUGAAGUGAUUUUGGAGUGGAUUUACGUUACCUCAUUCAGAUUUCUUAAUGUUUUAGCGUUAAGCAAAGCAAAUUUAAUGAGAUGGUAGUAGAAUCAAACAUGAAUCUUCUAGGGAAUAUGUGCAUUGUCUAGGUGGUCAAGAACUUAUGGGAUUCAUCUGAAUCAAGCGAAUUCAAAUAAGAUAAAGCUGACAUGAUGAGACGAUGGAGACAUGCUUUUCGUGUGGGAUCACGUAAAAUCUGCAGCAUGCGUGACCUGAUGGGCAGACAGGGGGAUAGACUCUGGCUUCGCGUUGACCGAGGCGAAUUCAUUGUGCAAUAGGAAUUCAAGUCAGGUGAGGCAAAUUCCAUGUCUUCUGACCACCUAGGGAAUGCACAUAUUCCUUGUAAGAUUUUUGUCUUACCACUGCCACCUCAUUGAAUCCGCUUCGAGUGAUGCAAAUUCAUUAAGAAAUUCGUAUUGGGUGACGCGAAUCAACCCCCCCCCAGCCGCGUCCCAGUUGUGAUAAAUAUGAUUUUUCCUCCUUUUUGGUAAUUUUUUCAUAUUAUUAAAAAAACCAAAAAAAUUUACAUCUGCUAUUUCUUCCGUAUCCAUUUCAAAAACAAAUGGUUUUUUCAAACUUUUUGUUUAAAUUUGUUGUAGUGUGGUUAAUUCAGAACUAGUCCUUUAUCUUACAUACUGUUUGUAGUUUAGUCCUUGAUGAGGAUAACUUGUAUGACUUUAGUCCUUCAUGUAAUAAAGGCUAUAAAAGCAGUAAUCAUUGUGAUAAUGAUUACUGAAUCAUAAUAAAGAGAAUUCCCUCAUCUAAUUCUGUGUGAUUAGUGUAGUUAAUGCUUUUUCUUCCUCUCUCUCUCUUUCUGUAUUGAUUGUGAGCCCUAGCAUUGAAUGUUGUGUGUGUGUGAUUGAGUUAGGAAUUCAGUGAUUGAAUUCAACAGUGGUAACCAGAGCUUGACGAUCCGGCGACCGGCGACGUGAGCCACCACCAGUGCACGACGAUCUACGGCGGAGUGUGAGGCAGUCACAACGGAGGUGCUUGCUCCGUUGGAAGCUCCGGUGAAAGUGGACGCUUCUUUCAAGGUGAUGGCUGGAACGAACAGCAAUUUUCCAGCUUCGUUGCCGGUUCUUGACGGCAAGAGUGAUUGGGAACGUUGGAAUACCCAGAUGCUCGUGAUCUUCGGGUUCCAAGAUGUUAUGGAGAUGGUGACUUCUGGGUAUGAUGCUCUACCGGCGGAACACACGGCGGAGCAAAGCGCUGCUCAUAAAGAGUUAAAGAAGAAAGAUAUGCGGUCUCUGUUCAUUAUCCAUCAGUGUGUUAACCCUGCAAAUUUUGAGAAAAUUGCAGCGGUGAAAACGUCGAAGGAGGCGUGGGAUAUUCUGAACAAGAGUUACGAAGGUGUGGCAAAAUUGAAGAAGGUCAAGUUGCAGACUCUCAGAAGACAGUAUGAAGCUCUGAAGAUGGAGAAAUCAAAGACGAUUUCUAAGUUUUUCACUCGCCUUCAGACCUUGACAAACCAAAUGAAGAAGAAUGGAGAGACCAUGAAUGAUCAAAUGCUUGUAGAAAAGGUUCUUCGAUCUUUGACUACAAGAUUUGAUCAUAUAGUUACUACUAUAGAGGAAUCUAAGGAUCUUGAUACUAUGAAGGUUGAGGAGCUUCAAGGUUCUUUGGAGGCUCAUGAAAUGAGAUUAAAUCUGAGAGAGUCUGAGAGAGAAACUGAGCAAGCCUUGUAUGCUCAUGGUGGGACCAGCAAGAAGAAGUGGAGUAACUACUCAAAGACUUCCCAGGAGAAAAAUUGGAAGAAUAAGGAUUCUGGUAAAUCCUCUAACAAAGAGGAUGAUGGUGACUUCAAAAAGAAGGGAUAAUCUAAGGAGAAAGGGUAUGACAAAGACAGAUGGAAGAAAGGCAAGGGAAAGAAACAAAGUGUUCAGUGUUAUGCUUGCAAGAAGUAUGGCCAUUAUGCCUUUAAGUGCAAGAACAAAAAGAAGGGCAACAAGCAGCAUGGUGAAGAUCAUGCAUAUUCUGCUCAUGAUGAUGAUGACUCUGAUGAGGAACAAGUACUCUUUGUUGUUCCUGAUGAUGCUAGUAUAGAUUGUGCUGAUGAACUGAGUAGAAAUCAUGAAAAUGAGGUGAUUAAUUCUGUUGUUAGCUCCUAUAGACAUGAUGAGAAAACCUGGUAUUUAGAUUCAGGUUGCUCUUCUCAUAUGUCAGGCCACAAAGCAUGGUUUUUGGAUCUUGAUGAGAAUAGGAGAAGCAAUGUUAGAUUUGCAGAUAAUAGCACAAUUAAUGCUGCUGGUAUUGGUAGGAUACCUAUCAAAAAGAAGGAUGGUAGCAAUGCUUGUAUCCCUGAUGUGUUGUAUACUUGUAUGUGCCUAGUGUUAGACAUAAUCUAAUCAGUCUAGGACAAUUGAUAGAGAAAGGUUACUCUAUGAAGACAAGAGGGAAGAAGCUGCUAGUGUAUGAUCCUAAACAUAGGUUGAUUCUGCAAUCUGUGUUGUCCAUAAAUAAGACAUUUAGAGUGGACUUAGAUACCAGUGGGUCUCAGUGUUUGUCUGCAAAAAUUGAUGAAGUUGACAGGUUAUGGCAUCUUAGAUAUGGUCAUCUUCAUUUCAAAGGGUUACAUAAACUUUGUCAUGAAGAAAUGGUGAAGGGUUUGCCUCUGAUUAAACCUUCAGGUCAAGUCUGUGAAGAUUGCUUGUUAAGCAAGCAGCCGAGAAACUCAUUUGCUAAAAGCAGGCCAGUUGAAUCUAGAGUAGCACUAGAUGUUGUAUAUUCUGAUGUGUGUGGCCCAUUUGAGGUUAAGUCAUCAGGAGGGAACAUGUAUUUUGUUUCCUUUAUUGAUGAUCAUACAAGAAUGAUGUGGACAUAUCUACUUGAGAAGAAGUCAGAAGUGUUUUCAGUAUUCAAGAGAUUCAAAGUCCUAGUUGAAAAGCAAAGUGAGAAGUGUAUCAAGACUUUGAGAACUGAUGGUGGUGGUGAAUAUGUCUCAAAUGAGAUGAAGCAGUUUUGUGAGGAAGCUGGCAUUUAUCAUGAGGUAAUAUCACCAUACACCCCUCAGCACAAUGGUGUAGCUGAGAGGAGAAAUAGAACCAUUGCUAAUAUGGUUAGAAGCAUGUUAAAGAGUAAGGGUUUACCAGGCAAUCUAUGGGGAGAAGCUGUUUCUACAGCUACCUACAUACUUAAUAGGUGUCCUACAAGGAAAUUAAAAUCCUUGACACCUUUGGAGGCUUGGACUGGAAUUAAACCUAGAGUGAAGCAUCUUAGAGUGUUUGGUUCAGUGUGCUACAAGCAUCUACCAGAUCAAAGGAGAAAGAAACUUGAUGAUAAGAGUGAAAAGCUCUUACUGGUAGGCUAUCACUCAACAGGAGCCUAUAGACUACUAAAUCCUGAGAACAAUGCUAUUGUAAUAAGUAGAGAUGUGGUUAUUGAUGAAGAUGCAAUGUGGAGUUGGAAGGCUGAUGAAUCGACAACUGCCACUGUGAGAACUCCAUUGGUUUUUCAAGAUGUUAUUCCUGAUGUGAUUUCUUCUAAUGGAUCAAUAAAUGUGAAUAAUGGUGUGACUGGUACUCAAGCUACUGGAGUGAUUCCAGCUGUGAAUGAGAAUCAGAGAAGUCAGAGAGUGAGACAAGCAUCUUCAAGGCUAAAUUACUAUGUUUUGUUUCCUGAUAAUGAAGUUACCGAAGAAGGUGAUCUAUUACACUUGUCAUUAUAUGUUGAGGCUGAACCAGUAAAUUUGCAACAAGCAUUUAAGCAUGACAAUUGGAAAGAUGCUACGAAAGAAGAACUGAGCUCAAUCAACAAGAAUAAGACUUGGAGCUUGGUUGAUUUACCUAGUGGAAAGAAGCCUAUUUCAUUGAAGUGGGUAUUCAAGACUAAGCUGAAGCCAGAUGGGACUAUAGCUAGAUAUAAGGCAAGGCUGGUUGCUAGAGGAUUCCAGCAGAAGGAAUGGUUGGACUAUACAGAUGUAUUUGCUCCAGUUGCUAGAAUGGAGACAGUGAGACUUGUGGUAGCCACAACUAGUUUGAAGGAUUGGAAAGUGCAUCAGCUGGAUGUCAAGUCAGCAUUUUUGAAUGGUCCUCUUGAUGAAGAGGUAUAUGUAGAGCAGCCACCUGGUUUUGAGACUAAAGACAGUGAGCACAAAGUCUAUAGACUACAUAAAGCAUUGUAUGGGCUGAAACAAGCUCCUCGAGCUUGGAAUAGAAGGAUUGAUUCUUUUCUCAACAAGCUGGGAUUUCUGAAGUGCACCUCUGAGCAUGUAGUUUAUGUUCAAAAGGCUAAGGGUGCUGAGAUGCUUAUUGUAUGUCUCUAUGUGGAUGAUCUUCUAGUCACAGGAAGUAGUGAGAUUGAUAUUCAGAAGUUUAAAGAAAGCAUGCAGUCAGAAUUUGAGAUGAGUGACAUGGGAGAGCUUUCUUAUUUUCUGGGAAUGGAAUUUCUCAGGUCUGAAAAAGGAAUCUUCAUGAGUCAAAAUAAGUAUGCUGGUGAUGUUCUUAAGAGAUUUAACCUUGCUGAGUGUAAUUCAGCAGCUACUCCAGUGGAGUGUGGAGUGAUAUUAUCUAAGUCAGAUCCUGGCAAGCCUGUAGAUGCAACAUUGUUUAAGCAGAUUGUGGGGUCUUUGAGGUACCUAUGUUGUAGUAGACCAGAGAUUAGUUAUGGUGUGGGUCUAGUUAGCAAGUUCAUGGAGGAUCCUAAGGACUCACACCUUCUGGCAGCAAAGAGAAUCUUGAGAUACAUCAAGGGCACUCAAGAUCAUGGUAUAUUGUUUCCCAGUAGAGCUUACAAUGUGAAGCAUGGGAUCAGUGGUUUUGUGGAUUCUGAUUAGGGUGGGGACAAAGAUGACAGGAAGAGUACAACAGGUUAUGUGUUCCUUUGUGGUGAUGCACCAAUUUCAUGGUGCUCAAAGAAGCAACCUAUUGUAGCUUUGUCAUCAUGUUAAGCUGAGUAUGUGGUAGCCUCUUUCAGCUCAUGUCAGGCCUUGUGGAUAAGCAUGUUGAUGAAGGAGAUGGGUUUGAAGAUCUCAAGUACAAUGAAGCUGUUGAUAGAUAAUAAGUCAGCUAUUGACCUGGCAAAGCAUCCAGUGGCUCAUGGAAGGAGUAAACAUAUAGAGACAGGGUUUCACUUCUUAAGAGACCAUGUGACAAAGGGUAAUCUGGAAUUGGUUCAUUGUCCAACUGAAAUGAACCUUGCUGAUUUGUUUACCAAGCCUUUAAGGGUUAACCGGUUUAAUGAGCUGUGUAGAAAGCUGAAGAUUGUUUCUGCAGUUGAAGUUCUGAAUUAGGAGGGAAUGUUGUAGUGUGGUUAAUUCAGAACUAGUCCUUUAUCUUACAUACUGUUUGUAGUUUAGUCCUUGAUGAGGAUAACUUGUAUGACUUUAGUCCUUCAUGUAAUAAAGGCUAUAAAAGCAGUAAUCAUUGUGAUAAUGAUUACUGAAUCAUAAUAAAGAGAAUUCCCUCAUCUAAUUUUGUGUGAUUAGUGUAGUUAAUGCUUCUUCUUCCUCUCUCUCUUUCUGUAUUGAUUGUGAGCCCUAGCAUUGAAUGUUGUGUGUGUGUGAUUGAGGUAGGAAUUCAGUGAUUGAAUUCAACAAAAUUUACUAUCUUAUCUGAAGGUAUGAAAAACGGUAGAAAGGGGGGGUUUGAAUAACGUUUUCAGUACAAAACUACCACCUUAAAGAUUUUAACAAAUCUUUUCGAGAACUAAGUGCAAAAGAUAGAGAUAGAAAAGCACACAAGGAUUUUAUCCUGGUUCACUUGAUAAAUCACUCAAGCUACUCCAGUCCACCCGUUAAGGUGAUUUCUUCCUUCUUAGAAUGAAGGCAAUCCACUAAUCAGGUAAGAGUUACAACUGCACUUGAAACCUACAAGUGACUAACAAUUACACUGACUUAGCUCACACUAAGAUUCACUCUCUUAGUCUUCUCUAGGAUCCGAUCAACCUUGAUCUCCUAAAGGAAAAUCAAACAACUGUUUGAGGUUGGUGUUUACAAGGGUUUGCUUCUGAAUAAGCUGAGUGUAAACUAAAUAAAUUACAAGAUGAAAGAAAGCUUAGAAUAUUUUGAAUAUCUUGCGCGUGUGUUGCUUCUUGUAUUCACUUCUCUUCUCUAGCCGCUUCUUUCAAUCUUCAGCCUCUAUAUAUACUCCAAGGAUUAGGGUUGAGCGUUGCAUGGGAAAUGCUACCGUUGGAGGGCAGUUCUGGAAAAUCCAGCUUCUGCUGUGGCUGAGAACGUUAGGUAAGUCGUCAGGAAGGUACACUUGCUUUUGUACUUGGAUAGCGACUUGACCUUUUAACCUAGGAGACUUCUGAUCAGAGGAAUGCUUCGUAUUGGAACUUGUGAAGCCGGUUGAUCAGAGUCAGAGGGAUAGCACAGAUCCUCUGACCAUUGUAUCUUCUGAUUCUGAACUCAGAGGGAAGAACAUGGCCUUCAGAGUUUCUUGCUUCUGGACUUCAGAGUUUCUACUAUUCAGCUUCUGGAUCUUCAGAGUCUUCUACACCAUCGGAACAUCUGAACCUUCAGUGUUUCUUGGUUGUCAGAACUUCUGGAUCAUCAGAGCUUCUAGCGACUGAGUCCUCAUCAGAGUUUGUAUAGCUUCAGAUCUUCUGAAGCUUUUCCACUGUUCAUACUGAACAUGGUGAAUGCGAAAGCGUUGCUUGGGUUACCCUUUAUACACAGUGCUUCUGAUUUGUGUGAAAUUGAGUCAGGGUCAGAGCCUGUAAAUAGCACACUCAGAAAAACACGUUAGAGUACCACAAUUGUUCAUAUCAAAAGGUUAACUUGUAAUCAUCAAAACAUAGAGUUGUACUACUAGAUCAAAACUUGAUCUUACAAUCUCCCCCUUUUUGAUGAUGACAAAACUAAGAUUUUUGAUGAACAAUUCUUAAACAUUAAACUGAAUUCACUCAGAGUUUAGAGAUAUAGAAUAAGACUUAUCCUGAUGUGAAUAGUUUAUCUUGCUCAUUCUGAAUUCAAGUCACUGCUUGAUUCUGAGCUUAGCUCCCCCUGAAUCUAAUACUUGAUGAAAACGUUAGUAAAGUCUAGAUUCUGAGCUAAAUCAUAUAAGAGUUCAGAGUGAAAAGCUUAUGACAUAGAUGAAAAACGAAUAAUCAGAGCGCAUAAGUGAUCAGAGUCAUGGACAAGGUAUCAGAGUCUUGGGUAUCAGAGUCAACUUAGAAUCACUUCAGAAGAAGUGAAAUGUAUUCCUUGUAUUUGCCCAGUGACACAUCUAUGGUCAUGAAGGUGGAACUCUUAAAAUCUCCAAAAGAAAAAUAAGUCACACUAACACAUCUUACACAUCAAAAACUGGGUUUACUCCCCCUUUUUGUCAUAAGCAAAAAGCUCGGGGUGUGAAAAACUUAGCUUGAAGUACAAGGUACUCCCCCUUAGAGAAGGUCUAAGUUGAAAGAAAAUGAGGACGAUGUAAGAAUCAGAGUGAGGCGAUAAUAAAUAGAAGAGUUAAUGCAAGGGAUGAACGUUUACCACCGGUCAAGUGAGUAAAUAGAAGGGUCAGUUACCAAGAACUUAACCUCGAGAAACUGUAAGAGCAUUAACUUUCAGAGAGAAAGUGAAACCUAUAUAAAGCGUUGGAGAGAAAGGUAAGCUGCACAUCUCGAAUAAUUUUCAGUAAGAAAAAAUGGCAUCAUACAGAAAGGCAUUAGAAGAGCUCAGAAGGAAGGCGUUUGAGGAAGAUAUAUUCCUCAAUAUUAGGCAUCCCGAUGGUACAAAGACCAUACAAGAGCUUACGAAGACACUGCUGGAAGAAGAUCUUGGUCCAGAGAUGGAGAAAGAUCUGAAGGAGUUCCUCUGCUUCGUGGAAGAGAUUCAGAGGCUUUGCCAGCGGGAGCUGAAUCUGCUGGAAGAGAAGGAGACUGUGGAAAAGAGACUUAAGACGACAGAAGAUAGUCUAGAAACAGAUGAUCUGAGCAUCAAACUCGGCAACAUAGAGUAUGCAUUGGAUCGUCUGGAGAAGGAAAGAGUGGAGCAGCGCCAAGAAUGCAGAAGAAUGAGGAAGGAUCCUCCGUUCUAGAUAUAGGGAAUAAUGUAUGAUGGAAAGAAUUUUGAUGUAAACAUAGAACAAUUAUGAAUAAAACAGGUGUUGCAAACAUAUGUGACACAAUUAUAUAUAGCUACAUGCAUAUAGAAUCACAAAUGAACAAAUUAAAGUAAGUAAAUAAGCAGAGUUUAAAUAAAACAGCGUUAAAUAAAAAGGAAAAGGAAGAAAAAGAAGAGAUCCUAAAAAAAAACUAAGAUUUGUCAGUACGGCGCAGAAGUUCCAUCAUCAUGUGCUUCAUCUCAAUCAGCAUGGAUUCAUGAGUGUCAAGACGUUGUUCCAUGAUGUCGAGUCUGGAUGAGCUUGUCGGAGUAGAGCUGGAAGGAACGUUCUGAGCAGCUUGAGGUUCUGGAAUGGAAGCAGAAGCAGCAGGAGUAAACAGAACUGGUGCAAGUCGCUCUGCCUCAGCCUCAGCUUCAAGACGUUCUGCCUCAAGUCGGGCUUGUUCAGCCUGAGCUGCUGCUUGACGGGCAGCUUCUGCUUCUUGUUCUUUCUGUCUCUUGGCUUCUUCAAUGGCGUCAAGAAGCUUGGUUCUCUGUUCGAGUUCAUGAAGAGCCACCCUCCUAGCAAACCUUUGCUUUGCAGCCUCAAUGCUCUGACUUCCCUCUGCAUGCAGGAGCUGCAGCAUAACGGGAAACUGAGCCACCAGCCAAGUGCUCAAAUUAUUCCACUCAUCAGCCACAUUUUCAGCAUUCUCACUGAGGUCAGUCUGACCGUGCACAUUGCGGAGCCUCAAGGAGGCUUCAUGAUUGAAAAUAUUGAUGCACUCAGAGAGAGAUGUGGGUUGAAGGUGAGUAUAGGGAAUGAUGGAGAGGUUGGGUGCAGGAGAGGCUGGGUGAUUGCUGCUAUGAGCUUCAGAGGCACCUUGUGGAGAACCAAUGUUAAUUAUGGGAGCAUUGGGUUCAGAGGUUCCACGGUGAGGGUCUGAAGUUUCAACCAGAGGGUGAGGUGAUCUAACCGAGGAUUGGUUAGAUACUGAUUGUUCAGGUUCAGGGUCUGGUUGAAUUGGCUCUUGUUGGUCAGGGACAGGGUGAGCCUGUUGGACUAAGGGGUCUGCCUCUUGGAUAGGAUGGGCCAAGAUAGGGUCAUCUGGGUCAACUAGACGUUCAGGUCUAGGGCCAGGAUAUUGCCUAGGGCUUGGACAGGUAAGGUAAUAUUCUUCCAAGGCAGAUACCUUCUCUUUCCUAACCUCCAUGAAUUUUCUAAGUGAUUCAGAGGUAUUGGAGGGAGGAGAGUCAAUGACAUUGAUGGGGAAGGAUACAGGUGUGAAGGCUGAUGAAGAGUCUGUAUCCGUGGUUCUGACAGCAGGACGUGCUGAUGCUCUGGGAGCAGAGUGAUCAGACGUUCUGGGUUGUGGUUCUGUUGGUUUGGGUUCUGGUUGGUUUUGGAUGAUGGGUUCAGAAAGUAAUGGGUCGUAUGGAAUGGUAAGGAGAGAGGUUGGAUCUUCUGACCUAGAGGGUUGGUUCUGAAGCAAAUUCCAGAGUGGUGCUUCAGUAGGAGAAGGUUGAAAGAAAGAAGAUCUUGGGGAAUGUGGUGGAGAGGUGGUUUGUGCGGCUGGCUGGGAUUCAGGAAUAGGAGUGAGGGGAUUUGAAGAGUGUUGGAGUAAGGCAGAAAUUGGGAGUGCAUCAAAUAAAUUCAAAUCAUCAUCAGAGGUAAGUGCAGGCUUACUUGUAUGUGCUGAUGAUCGAGUCACUCUGGCAGGAGCUUCAGUCCUUCUGACCUCUGCAGCAGCUGGUUCCACCCGAGUAGGCUUCACCACAAUUCUGACUUUCUUCUGCUUCUUCUUUGGAGAACCAUCCUCACUAUCAUCACCAUCAUCAUCAUCAGGCUUGCUCUUCGCCUUCUUGACCAGAGGGACAUCAGAUUCCUCUGAGGAUUCGUCCAGAACCAUCUUCCUCUUGGUUUUCUUCUUGGGAGGAGAAGGAAACUCUGGAGCUGGUGGAAGUCUGCUGACGAAAUCAUCAAGGUCAAUCUCGAAUCCUUGAGCCCUGAGGUCUUCAACAUAGCAUCUGAUGGCUUCAGGAUGGUCUGCUUGAGUCCACAGAGGGUAGUCAUUCAGAGGCAUUCUUCUUCCUCUGAUCUCAGAAGAUGUGUCCUCAUGAGCAGGAGCAAUCUUCUUCUGGACCAAACCCAUCUUCUUCAGAGAGUUGGCGGUGAAGACAUCGCUGACAAUUGUGCUCAAGUCCUCUGUGCAACCAGCAUCGAUCAAAUCUUGCACCAAGUUGCUUUCAAUGAGAAAGUCUGAGAGCAGCCUCCCAAAAGGGAUAUAUUUGAUGGCUGACUUGAUGGAGGCGGUGGUGCGAGACUUCCGGAUGCAUUCCUUCAAAUAGGAGAACAGGAAGUAGGGAAGGCAGAUCUUCUCCUUGUCUUGAAUGAAGAACAGCAUCGCCUUCUGAUUGAAGUUGAUGUAGUCUGGAGAACUGCCCUUUGGUCGUUGAUUGAUGCAGUUGAGCAGGAUCUUGUGCCAGAUUCUCAGUUUGGGGUGAAGGUCCAUCACUUUGUAGCUCGUCUUGCCCGGUUUGAAGGUGGUGUACAGGGCCUUGUUGACGAUGUCCUUGGUUCUGGGUUUCAGCUUCGAUUCCGUCAGUGAGAACCGAUACCCAUGAGCAGUUUCUGCACCUAGCAGAUUCACGAAUGACUUCUCCGUGAUGAUGAUCUUCCUACCCAGUAUGUAAGAAACCACCUGAGUGUCAUCACAGUCGGCGUGCUUCCAGAAUUCCUUUACCAGCUUCUCAUACACCGGUCCUCGAAGUCGAUUGAAGUAGUUUCCCCAACCUUGAGCUUGGACUUCAGGACGGAGAUCAAACCCAUUUGCAGCCAAGUUGUCGAGGUUGAAUCUCCAUUCUGCCAGGACUUGGAGUUCCUCAGGAGGAAAUACACAGUGAACGGCACAGCCCCGUUCUGCAAUAGGAACAAUCUCCUCUUGAGCUUGAGCUUGUUCUUGUGCUGGGUUCUCAGAGCCCCGUUGACCCGUUGCCAAACCGACUACCAUGUGAGGGAACUGAGGUGCAUCUGCAGUAGAUCUGCUGGUUUGUCUCACCAUCUUGAAGAGGUUGAAGGUUUGAGGUAGAAGAUGAAGUUUGAAGGAUGAAGAGAGAUCGAGAGAGAAUUCGAGAGAAAGGCGGUUUUGAAAAGCAGAGAGUGCGAGAGUGAAAACCGGAAGUGUGAGAGAACGUGUGUGUAUAGUGGGUUUUAUCAAAUAACCGUUGUUGAUUCAAAGAGCACUUUAAGAUCAACGGUUGAAAAUUAAAUAUAGAUAGUAACAGUAAAAUACACAAUCACACACAGGAGAUAAGCAUAUCUACACGCAAUCAUAACAGACUGUCACACGGGCACAAGGAACUAUGCAUCAGAAAUUCUGACGCACGUGUUGUUGUCUCAGCUUCAGAGUUAGUACCAGUGGGCACACACACUCUGAUUGAGUUACCUUCUGGACUAGACAUCUUCUGAACAAGAAGUAUCAUAGUCAGAGGUUCUGAUCUAUCUUCACUCUGGACAAAAGUCCAUGUUUAGAUUUUUCAGAAUAAAAUUAAAUCUAUCUUCAGCUAAGGGCUUUGUAAAGAUAUCUGCCCAUUGAUGGUCAGUAUCAACAAACUUCAGAAGAAGUACGCCCUUCUGCACAUAAUCUCUAAUGAAGUGAUACUUUACCUCAAUGUGCUUUGCCCUUGAGACUAGAUUGCUUCCCAGAAAUUGACAAUUUCCAGAAGUACUUUUUCUCUCUGUUCUAUCUCCAGCAUAAUCAGCAUCACAAUAACCUGAAAGCUUAUACUCUGAUGUUUUCUUAUACAUCAAGCCAAGGUUAGUGGUGCCUUUCAGAUACCUUAGGAUCCUCUUAACAGCAGUUAAGUGGGUUUCCCUUGGAUCUGAUUGGAAACGAGCACAUAAAUGAACACUAAAUAAUAUGUCUGGCCUAGAUGCAGUUAAGUACAGAAGUGAACCUAUCAUGCCACGAUAGAGCUUCUGACAUACUUUACCACUUAUAUCUUCUUUUUCCAGAAUGCACGUUGGAUGCAUUGGAGUCUUGGCCACUGUAGAUUCCAGCAUAUUGAACUUCUUCAGAAGUUCCUUAGUGUACUUGCUCUGAUGGAUAUAUGUUCCUUCUGGUGUUUGAUCAACUUGUAUUCCCAGAAAGUACUUUAAUUCUCCCAUCAUACUCAUCUCAAAUUCAGCCUGCAUCAUCUCAGAAAAUUCUUUGCAUAGAGAUUGAUUAGCAGAACCAAAUAUAAUAUCAUCAACAUAAAUUUGCACAAUUAAGAUAUCAUCUUUAUAAGUCUUGCAAAAGAGAGUUGUAUCUACUUUACCCCUUACAAACUCAUUCUCCAGAAGGAAUGAGCUAAGUCUCUCAUACCAUGCUCUGGGAGCUUGCUUCAGACCGUAGAGUGAUUUCUUCAAUUUGAACACAUGGUCUGGUUUCUUUUCAUCUUCAAAACCUGGGGGUUGAUGAACAUAGACUUCCUCUGAGAUAUAACCAUUUAGGAAGGCACUCUUUACGUCCAUCUGAUGUAGAACUAUGUUGUGAUUUACUGAGAAAGAAAUCAAUAGUCUGAUUGCCUCCAGUCUUGCUACUGGAGCAAAUGUUUCAGUGUAGUCUAUUCCUUCCUGCUGGCUGUAGCCUUGAGCAACUAGCCUUGCCUUGUUUCUGACUACAUCUCCUUUCUCAUUUAGCUUGUUUCUGAAUACCCAUUUCGUUCCAAUAACAUGGACAUUCUCAGGCUUCUUCACUAAGCUCCAAACAUCGUUCUUGGAGAAUUGAUUCAAUUCUUCUUCCAUGGCCAGAAUCCAAUCCUUGUCCUGAAGAGCUUCAUCUAUGGACUUGGGUUCAAUUAAGGACACCAAUCCUUUCAGACUCAGCAAGGUCUCUUCAGAGGGUCUGAAGGCAGAUCUGGUUCUGACUGGUUCAUCUUUGUUGCCCAGAAUCAAUUCCUUAGGAUGAGCUGCAGUGAUUCUGCUCUUCUUCAGAGUUUGUGAGUUAGAGGGACCAGCUUCUUCCUCUGGUUCAUCUUCCUCUGGCUCAACUUCCUCUGGAGCUUUGCCUUUGUCAGAAACAUUAAUGCUUAAAUCUGCAAACUUUUCAACUAGCUUUGACUGGUCAGAGUCAAGCUUAUCAUCAAAUCUAACAUGAAUAGAUUCUUCAAUAGUCUUAGCAUCAGUAUUAUAAAAUCUAAAACCUUUAGAUCUAUCAGAAUAACCAAGUAAUAGACACUUAUAAGAUUUAGCAUCAAAUUUAUGCAAUCUAUCCUUAGUAUUGAGAACAUAACAAACACAGCCAAAAGGAUGAAAAUAAGAAAUGUUGGGUUUUAUGUUCUUCCACAAUUCAUAAGGAGUCUUAUUCAGAAUUGGUCUCACAGAGAUUCUGUUCUGAAUGUAACAUGCUGUAUUUACUGCCUCUGCCCAAAAGUGCUUAGCCAUGCCAGUUUCUUGGAGCAUGGUUCUAGCCAUCUCCUGAAGAGUUCUGUUCUUCCUCUCAACAACACCAUUUUGUUGAGGAGUUCUGGGACAAGAGAAAUCAUGUGCAAUUCCAUAGGAAUCAAACAGACUCUCAAACUUGUCAUUCUCAAACUCUCCACCAUGGUCACUUCUGACACGCACAAUUCUACAAGCCUUCUCGUUUUGCACUUGAGCAAUGAAGGUAGAGAACACAGCAUGAGACUCAUCCUUGCGGGUUAGAAACUUUACCCAUGUCCAGCGGCUAUAGUCAUCAACGAUAACCAUCCCAUAUCUCUUGCCACCUAUAGACUCAGUUUUCACUGGUCCAAACAGGUCGAUAUGCAGAAGUUCUAACGGCCUUGAGGUUGAGACAACAUUCUUUGCCUUGAAAGGGACUUUUGUGAAUUUGCCUUUCUGACAUGCUUCACAAAGAGCGUCUGAAGCGAACUUCAGAUUGGGUAAGCCCCUGACAAGGUUUAGCUUGCUCAGCUGAGAAAUCUUUCUCAUACUGGCAUGCCCUAACCGUCUAUGCCAUACCCACUGCUCUUCAUUAACAGACAGAAGGCACUUCACAUUCUGAGCCUCCAACUCAGAUAAUCUGAUCUUGUAAAUGUUGUUCUUCCUCUUGCUGUUAAACAGAACAGAGCCAUCGAUCUGACUUACAGCCCGGCAGGACUUUUGAUUGAAUAUAACAUCAUAACCCUUGUCAGCUAAUUGACUUAUAGACAAUAAGUUAUGUGUUAAGCCGUCUACCAAUAAAACAUUAUCAAUGCAUGGACUACUAUCUACACAAAUAGUACCAGUACCAAUAAUUUUACCCUUUUCAUUUCCUCCAAAGCCAACUUCGCCUCCAGGCUUAAGUUUCAGCUCUCGGAACAUACGCUUUUCUCCCGUCAUGUGACGCGAGCAUCCACUGUCCAGAUACCAUGAUUGGUGUUUCAGUGGAGCUAUCAAGGAUAUCUGCAACAUAGAUAAUCUUGUCCUUAGGUACCCACUUUCUGGGUCCUCUUUUGUUAGUUACCCCAAAGGUUCUGAUCACCUUGGGUGUCUCAACAUGAUAUUUUAAAGGAAUAUUUGCAUGAUAUUUAGUCAUAGAGAAAGAUCCCUUUUUAAGAGGGUUUUUAGCAACUUCAGCAGGUACAGGAUCAGGCAAUAUGGUACCAGAGGGAACAAAGCAUUCAUACAAGGAUUUAGCUUUAGACACAGAAGGCUCAUUUCUAAUUGGUUUAGAAUAGCCAAUGCCAUGCAUUCCAUUUCUGCUUACACCAUAGAUCAUUGAAGCCAUUAAGCUUCUAUCUACGCUUUUAGCCAGGAAUCUUUGAAAAGAUUUUUCAUACUUAGAUUCAUGCUUACUAUCAGAGGCAUCGCAGGCAAUAACUUCUUCUAACUUUGCAAUUUGAUUCUUAAGCACAGAGUUAUAAUUAACUAAAGCAUGGUUAUCAUUUUUCAAAUCAGAUAUGAUUUUCUCAUGUUCAGAAGGAGUUUUAGAAACAGCAGAUAAGUUCUUUUUCAGCUUCUUAUGCUUAGACAACAAGGAGUUAUACUUAUCCAUGAUAUCAGACAAAGCAUGUUUCAGUUCAGAGGUAGAGAAGGAAGCAAAUACCUCAUUUUCAUCGUCAGAGUCUGGAUCUCCUUCUGAUUCUGAGUCAGAGUCAACAGCUUCCUUUGACUCUGUUCCUUUGUCUUUGACAAUAGCCAUGAGUCCUUGGACUUCACCAUCAGAGUCAACAUCCUCUGACUCUGAUUCAUCGAAUGUCACCAUCAGACUCUUCUUGGUCUUGAAGUGCUUCUUUGGCUUCUUGUCCUUCUUCAAUUUUGGACAGUCACUUUUGUAGUGCCCUGAUUCUUUGCACUCAAAGCAAGUGACUUCCUUGAUUGAUGACUUCUUCUGACCUGAGGAUUCAGACUUUCCUCUUGCCUUUCCAGAGCCUUUGAACUUGCUCUGCCUGUGCUUCCAGAUGCGGUUGAGUCUCUUGGAGAUCAGAGUCAGCUCAUCUUCAUCAGAAUCUUCUGAUGCUUCUUCUGAUUCUUCUUCUUCAGCUUGAAGAGCCUUUGACUUCUCAACCUUAGCCUUUUCAGAUUUGGAUUUCAAGGCUAUGGACUUUUUCCUCAGAUCUUGCAUCUCUGAGCGCUUCAGCUCAUGGCAUUUCAAAAUGCUGAUGAGUUCUUCUAAACUCAUAUUCUCAACAUCUCUCGUGAGCUCUAUUGAAGUCACCAAAGGCAUCCAACUUUCAGGAAGACACCUGAUGACCCUUAUGACGUGAUCUUUUGUUGUGUAGCUCUUGUUGAGAGGAUGUAUGCCAGCUACAAGCAGUUGAAAUCUGGAGAACAUUUCUUCAAUGGACUCAUUUGGCUCCAUGAUGAAGGAUUCAUACUUUUGGAUCAAAGACAAUGCCUUUGAUUCUUUGACUUUCUUGUUUCCUUCAUGAGACAUCUUCAGAGAAUCAAAAAUGCCUUUAGCAAACUCACGAUCUGUAAUCUUCUGGUACUCCUCAUAGGAGAUAGCACUUAGAAGAAUUGCUCUUGCUUUAUGAUGUUGUGAGUACAGCUUCUUUUGAUCUGCAGACAUCUCUGACCUUGGGAUCUUUUUGCCAUCUGCAUCAACUGGACGCUCAUAGCCAUCCACAAUAAUAUCCCAGAGAUCUGCAUCGAAACCCAGAAAGAAACUUUCCAGUCUAUCUUUCCAAUAUUCGAACCUUUGACCAUCGAACAUAGGAGGCUUUGCGUUGUAACCAUCUCUUUGAGUUUCACUGGUGGUGGCAGCCAUUGUUUUUCACACCGGCCCGGAUCACUGAACACUGUUAGGUGUGGUAAUCAGAACUUGCGCUCUGAUACCAAUUGAAGGUAUGAAAAACGGUAGAAAGGGGGGGUUUGAAUAACGUUUUCAGUACAAAACUACCACCUUAAAGAUUUUAACAAAUCUUUUCGAGAACUAAGUGCAAAAGAUAGAGAUAGAAAAGCACACAAGGAUUUUAUCCUGGUUCACUUGAUAAAUCACUCAAGCUACUCCAGUCCACCCGUUAAGGUGAUUUCUUCCUUCUUAGAAUGAAGGCAAUCCACUAAUCAGGUAAGAGUUACAACUGCACUUGAAACCUACAAGUGACUAACAAUUACACUGACUUAGCUCACACUAAGAUUCACUCUCUUAGUCUUCUCUAGGAUCCGAUCAACCUUGAUCUCCUAAAGGAAAAUCAAACAACUGUUUGAGGUUGGUGUUUACAAGGGUUUGCUUCUGAAUAAGCUGAGUGUAAACUAAAUAAAUUACAAGAUGAAAGAAAGCUUAGAAUAUUUUGAAUAUCUUGCGCGUGUGUUGCUUCUUGUAUUCACUUCUCUUCUCUAGCCGCUUCUUUCAAUCUUCAGCCUCUAUAUAUACUCCAAGGAUUAGGGUUGAGCGUUGCAUGGGAAAUGCUACCGUUGGAGGGCAGUUCUGGAAAAUCCAGCUUCUGCUGUGGCUGAGAACGUUAGGUAAGUCGUCAGGAAGGUACACUUGCUUUUGUACUUGGAUAGCGACUUGACCUUUUAACCUAGGAGACUUCUGAUCAGAGGAAUGCUUCGUAUUGGAACUUGUGAAGCCGGUUGAUCAGAGUCAGAGGGAUAGCACAGAUCCUCUGACCAUUGUAUCUUCUGAUUCUGAACUCAGAGGGAAGAACAUGGCCUUCAGAGUUUCUUGCUUCUGGACUUCAGAGUUUCUACUAUUCAGCUUCUGGAUCUUCAGAGUCUUCUACACCAUCGGAACAUCUGAACCUUCAGUGUUUCUUGGUUGUCAGAACUUCUGGAUCAUCAGAGCUUCUAGCGACUGAGUCCUCAUCAGAGUUUGUAUAGCUUCAGAUCUUCUGAAGCUUUUCCACUGUUCAUACUGAACAUGGUGAAUGCGAAAGCGUUGCUUGGGUUACCCUUUAUACACAGUGCUUCUGAUUUGUGUGAAAUUGAGUCAGGGUCAGAGCCUGUAAAUAGCACACUCAGAAAAACACGUUAGAGUACCACAAUUGUUCAUAUCAAAAGGUUAACUUGUAAUCAUCAAAACAUAGAGUUGUACUACUAGAUCAAAACUUGAUCUUACAUUAUCUUUUUAUAAUCAAAUUCUAUAAUUUGUAGCUCAUUCCUAAUAUCUUUAAAUAAAGAUUGAAGGUACUAAAUCGUGCUAUUUUAAAAGGGUAUCGAAGCAAUACCUUUAAAAAUACCAUAUAUUGAUUAAAUGGAUGAUAAGUUAAAUGUUGCUCCCUUUAAUUUUCAGCAAAGAGAAACAUGGAAAAAUUCAUUUCUCAUUUGAACUGGUUAUAUGCAAAAGUGGAAACACUAUAUAGACAUUAUAGAAAAACUCUCACGUUUGGAUGUAUUGUAUGUGAAAAUGGGAAACACUGUAUAGAAAUUCUAGAAAUAUUCUCAUGUUUAGAUGUAUUGUUUAAAAACUUAAAGUUGGUAUAAAUGUAUAAGAAUUAUAGAAAUAUGUUAUUCUGAUGUUGAAUACGAUUCUAAACAUAUGAAUGAAUUGAUGUAAUAAGAAAAUUAAAUAACAAAACUUUUCUACAACCGUGCCGGCCAACAAACAAUACUAGCAUAGCUUAGACUUUGAAGCUUAUGUAGUUCUCUUGUUAACAUCAUCAAAUGGGAGGAGGCUACUAUAGUCCGGCGGUGGAUUCCCGGAGGAAGUGGCGUGCCACCCCGGUGCAAACUGGGAAUUUCAGAGCAAACAGAUGGAAUGAAUCUGGCAGAAGCAGGAGAGCAUAAGGGAUACAAAGAAGACUGGGAAAAUCCUUGUUUGUGGAUGGAUUGUCCGACCAAACGACGUACCAACAAGUCAAAAACGCCUUCUCAAACUAUGGCAGGAUCUCUGGGUCUUUGUUCAAAACUCUAGGCGGAGGCAACGACAGAGCAAAUUUGGCUUCGUCCGAUUCAGUUAUAACUCAGAUGUAGAAGAAGCUAUGAGACAUAUGAAUGGUUCACUAAUCAACGGGGUACCCAUCAGUAUUUCUUUGGCUAGACUCUCCCAGGAACAACCUACUGAUGCAAGGAAACCAACAGGUCAUCAACGUGAAUUUGCCACAGAAUCCGGAUUUCUAUCCAAGCCUAUAAUGAAUACGAUCACCAUAAGAGAGCCAGGAAAGUGUGGAGGGCAAAAGCGACGAAAAUUCUGUCUACCACACCAUUGACCUAUGAUUCCCUCUUCCUGCCUUCGUCAGAAGACAUGGAGCCAGUGAGAAGAACGCUCAUUGGUACCUUGAAAGCGGUACAAAACCCUCAAGUAAUUCAAGAUUUCUUAAUUGCUAAUGGCAAUAUGGCAUAUAGAAGGUUAAGGUCAGUCCGCUGGGGGCUCUAGAGGUGGCCCUGGAGUUUCAGAGCAUUCCAGACUUGCGUUAUUUUGUUGAAAACGCUGGUCCAACGUUGGGGAGAAAAUCGCCCUGUUCACACAAGCAACCAUCCACUCUGUUCCUACCAGGAAACUCACUUGGCUUAGAAUCAAGAAUGUUCCACUAGGCUCUUGGAACACUCGCUUCUUCUCAAGUUUUGUCUCCAGUUGGGGGACCUUUGUGAAGGUGGAUGAUAAUACAAGAGACAGAGUGUAGUUAGAUUACGCUAGAGUUCUGGUAUCGUCCUCUUCCCCUGAUAUUGUAGACUGUGUGAUAAGAGUCUGUUAGUCGUUAGGGUGAUCCCAGUAUCAGUUCAAACAGAGGUAUCCUUCACCACGGCUUAUCCAACCAAUGACCUGACAGGGAUCUCGGGGUAUACGACGUCAGAAUCGCAGACACAAGAGAUAAAUCUGGACUCCGAUACCAUCUUGGAGGAGACGGUGGAGACAGGGGAGUGCUCCAGCUCAGGGAACUCUGUGACCGAUGUUGCCUCGAGUGAGGUCAACCUAGUACUGUCAGGAGCCUCGACUGACAUGGUCCAGAGUAAGGUGGCUGCUGAUAGAUUCAAAAUUGUGGAUACCCAAAUUUCCUACCUCAAGUAUAUUUUCAAAUUUCUGACACAAAGGACUGGCUCAGAACAAGCUAAUUGGUGCUCAACUUCCUUUAUCUUCCAUUCUGGUGCACAACCUCUGCUGAAGAUAGACAUAGACCUCUUACCUUUCAUGCCUGUCACGUUGAAAGAGACUUCAAAUAGCCUUUUCUUUAACCAAUGGAUUAGAAAGUCAAUGGUUGAAGUGGCUAGGGUUGGCAUGGAAAUUAUACAGGGUGGUUUCGUUAAUGGGCAAAGGAUUUCGGGUCCUGUUUGGCCCAGUGGUAUCAAUAGUGGUCCUCUGUUGUUGGGCCAGACCAUUAACAAUGAAACUAUUUUUGAGCCCAACUUCUCUUUGUAAGUUGAUCUGGGCCGUGUGCAGGUCAUUAAUCCCCUUGAUAGUCAACAUGUUCACCUCAAUGAAAUUGAAACUGGUGAAUUAGCAAUUGGGGCCCCACUUGAUGACUCGGUGGAGAGUCAAUCCCUUCCCAUCUCACUUUCCCCACCUCCAUCCAUUGAAGCUGUUACCCACAAGGCAGUAGCAACCUCAUCAAAGAUUAACAGAGUGAGAAAGUCAAAAUCGCGUAGUGCCAAAUCAAAGGCUAUUUCAAAGGUAUCUGGCCCGUGUGAGAGAAUUGCUCAUGAGAGUGAGAAUUCAAGCCGAGUGGGUUCUCCCCCUCCUCUAAUUCAAGCGGCAAAACAAAACCCAUAUGAUAUUUUAUCUAGGGCUCGACAUGCUCUGUCUCUGGGGGCUGAAGUUGGAGUUGUUCUUGAGUGCGAUGAUACCCAGAGAUAGGAUUUUUCAGAAGUCUAGGGGAAAUUCUAGAAGUAAUACCAGGUAGUUUGCUCAUCGGUGGUGACUUUAACUCAAUCCUCAACGACGGUGAACGACAAAGGAGUGGACUAAAUUCUAUGGGUGAUCCUAUCUUCAAAUCUUUUGUAGAUGACUGGUCUUUAAUUGAUAUGCCUUUACACAACAGUGAUUUUACAUGGACUAGUACCAGGAAUGAGGGGUGAAAAGUAAGCUAGAUAGAUGGCUUCUCAAUGCCGAAACAGAGUUAGCAUUUGACGGAGCCUGCGAAACAGCGGAGGAGUGAGGCGUUUCCGAUCACAGGGCUAUAUCUCUGACCUUGGGCUCGCUUGAUUUCUGCCCUAAACCAUUUUCCUUUUACAAUUUCUGGCUGCUUGAAGUUGGCUUCAAAGAACUAGUUGAGGAAUAGUGGUCGUCCUCGGUGGUAUUGUGCUGGUCUGGUGUUUGCCUACAAUCUAAACUAAAAGAAAUGAAAAGAAAGAUCAAGGGCUGGCAGAAAAAACGGGGUGUUUGGGGCUCAGAGAAAAUUAAAUCCCUUGAAGUUCAGCUACAUGAGAUUGUAUCCAAAAUGGAUAUUGAAGGAGCCUCUGAAGUUUUGAGGAUUGAGAGAUUGCAGCUUCUAAAUAAUCUAUGGAAGGAAUACCGUAAAGAAGAAAGCAUGUGGGUUCAAAAGGCGCGUGUUAGAUGGCUGAAUUUUGGGGAUAAAAAUUCGCAAUAUUUUCAUAAGGUCUCAAAAGUCAAGGAAUCUAGAUGUAGCUUGAGAAAUCUAUCCUUUAAUGGGGAAUCCCUUACCGCUCGUAUUGCAAUCAAGCAAGCCGUGUUCAAUCACUUUCAAUCCUUCUUCAAGGGUGGUAGAAUAGUCAUUCCUAAGCUGAAAUGAAAUAAUUUUGCAAGACUAAGCCGAGUGGCUAGUGCUGAUUUGGAAAAGCCUUUCACAGAGGAAGAUGUCUGGGCAUCCAUCCAAUCCUGUGAUGGCAAUCGUGCCCCGGGUCCGGAUGGCUUCAACCUCUCCUUCUAUAAUGAAUUUUGGGGCUUGAUCAAGGAGGACAUAAUGAAGGUUUUCAAUGACUUUCAUGGGCAUGCUAGGCUUGUCAAAGGCAUUCAUCGCUCUCAUUCCAAAGUAUACUAAUCCAGCCUCCAUAUCUGACUUUCGCCCAAUUAGCUUAAUUGGGAGCAUAUAUAACCUUAUCUCUAAAGUCCUUGCGGCCUGUCUCCAAUGUGUAAUGCCAUUUAUCCUAUCCGACAACCAAUUUGCCUUUACUAAAGGAAGACAUAUUGCUGAUUGUAUCCUAGUUGCUAAUGAAAUAGUCGAUGCUAUGAAAAAGCACCGAGAUGGAGGCAUCCUUGUGAAGUUGGAUUUUGCCAAGGCCUAUGACAACAUCGAUUGGGCUUUUAUGUUAAAUCUUCUUGAAGACAUGGGUUUUGGUGGUCGUUGGAUCAAAUGGAUGGAGGAAUGUGUUUCAACAACUUCUUUGGCGGUACUUGUGGUUCCCCAACUGACUUCUUCAAGAUUGAGAAAGGUCUUCGUCUGGGGGACCCCUGGGGAACCCUCUAUCCCCUCUAUUGUUCAACAUAUGUGUCAAUGGCUUCUCGUGCAUGUUAAAUAAGCUAUUGUCCUUACACAACCCUUGCGGCUAUCCUAUUGAUGACUCUUUCCUUAUCAAUCAUCUCCAAUUUGCGGAUGAUACGCUAAUCUUCUGCAAAAGUGACCUGGAACAUGUCCAGAACAUUGGCGCUAUAUUGGAGAUCUUCCUUGCUAUCUCGGGGCUCAAGGUGAAUUAUUCGAAAUCCUUACUUAUGGGCUGCAAUGUUGACAAUAAUACGGUGCAAUCCUUGGCUGAUUUUCUAAAUGUGAGUGUUGGCUCCCUCCCUCCCAAUCACAUAUUUGGGAGCGACUUUAGAGGAUAAUCCUCGGAAGAAGAGCUUCUGGGAACCUAUCCUUGACAAAAUGAGAAACCAUUUAGGAUCAUGGAGCUCAAAAUGGUUGUCUUUGAGUGGCCGACUAGUUAUGCUCAAAUCAGUUUUGAGCGCUGUUCCUAUCUACCACUUGGCUGUCUUCUUAGCCCCAGUGGGGGUGAUUGGCGUUAUGGAAAAACUAAUGAGAACUUUUUUAUGGGGGAGAAGAGAAGGUGGUCGCACAAUCUCGUGGAUAGCUUGGGCUCAAAUUUGCAAAAGGAUACAACUUAGAGGCCUCGGACUCGGAUUUCUUAGCUGGAAAAAUAAGGCCAUGCUAAUCAAAUGGUUUUGGAGAUCUCGAACCGAGCGUAACGUCUUAUGGAGGAAGGUGUUGUGUGCCAAAUGAAAAUGCAAUCCUAGGCUAAUGCUUCUUCAUGAAAUGCAAAUCACAGCGACCCAUCUAUCUAUCUAUGUGCAGGAUAUUUUCAAAGUGCUAAAAGAAGAUACUAUUAUUGCAAAGGUAUUCAAGGAAGGUUGUUUUUGUUGUGUGGGCGAGGGGCACAACAUUCGCUUUUGGCUUGAUCCAUGGCUUAGCGUAUCGCCAAUUAACACAAGGUUUCCACGACUACUUGUACUUUCCCAAGAUAAAAAUGCCUUCCUCAAUUCAGUGGGCUCUUUUGCAAAUGGAAAGUGGUCAUGGAACCUAAACUUGCGCCGGCAAUUGUUAACGUGGGAAACUGACCUCCUUAGGCAACUUUUGGGUCUUCUCAAUCUGAUUGUCCCUGGGGAAGGACCUGAUUCUAUCAUUUGGACUGGUGAUCCUAUUGGUAUGUUCAGGGUAAAAGGUUUUUGUGCUGCUGUUGAAUUAAGGAUCUUUGGGGAAAAUUCCUAGCUAGUACCAAAGAGAGUCCGUAAGCUGGUACCUCCCAAGGUGGUCCUCUUUACCUGGCAGUUGAUGGAAAGCAAAGUAGCGGUUAAACUAAGCUUGAUCAGAAGAGGUAUCCCAAUUGAGAACGGGGGGUCUUUGCGAUAUCUGUGGUUUGGAAGGGGAAUCGGAAAGCCAUCUCAUGCUUCAUUGCCACAAAAUUUGGUUGUUAAGGGCUACAAUCUUGGCGAGAGAGGAGGUCUACUGCUGUUGCCCUUCAUCGAUACAAGAAUUUCUCAUGGAGUGGCCUUCUCUUAGGGCCAAAUCUGAUCCGCUCAUGUGGGAAAUUAUCCCUUACGCAUUGUUCUGGUCCAUUUGGCGUGUGCGAAAUGAUUUGGUUUUCAAUCAGAAGGAUUUCUCUACUGAAACAAUGUGGGAUAUGCACAUCAUGAGAGUAAUGUGGUGGGUCAAAGCUUGGUGGAAGGAAUGCCCCUUCUCCGUACUUGAUUUUUCCCAACAUUUUGAAAAGGUUAGAAUCAAAGCUGCUGCCUCCAAAGUGUGUCUGGUUGAUUGGUGCCCCUCUCCAGGUAUAUUAAAAUUCAAUGUGGAUGGAUCUUCACACGGGAGCCCGGGUGUCAACGGUGUUGGUGGUGUCUUGAGAGAUUCAAAUGGUGUUAUCUUGGGUCGUUUCUCCAUUGCUGCAGGUAAUAUUUGGGCAUAUGUGGCAGAGGUUAAACCCAUUCUUAAUGCUCUUCUAUUAUGUAAAAGUCAUGGCUUUAAUCACUUAAUUGUGGAAAGUGAUUCAACCUUGGCGGUUGGGUGGGUGAUGCUCAAAGCGAAACGCCCCUGGAAGCUUCUGAAUGAUUUAAAUUUGAUUGAUCGCCUUAUGGUUGAAGUCAAUUGUAUCGGUGCCUUCCACAUCUUUAGAGAGGCUAACACCUUAGCUGACAAUCUAGCCAAGCAGGGAUGUGGUCGAACUUCACCCCUUUUGGAGCUACUGUGAUAUAAGACUACUGUAUCGGUCUCUUGCUGCGUUCUUGACUGACAUGCUUCUGCUCCUGUCGACUGAUCUGCUCCUUGCUGCCUCUGCCCGAGCGGUUGUGCCUUUGCUAGGAAUGUCUGGCUUUAGUUAUUGUUGCUAUUUCUACUUUUAUGCUUUGUUAUCUUUUUUUUAAUGCUUUUUGUUGUCAUUGUUUGGGGGGUUUUUUCCUCUUGCUUUGAUUGUACUAUUUGUUAUCUAUUUCCAAUAUAUAUAUAUAUAUAUAUAUAUAUAUAUAUAUAUAUAUAUAUAUAUAUAUAUAUAUAUAUAUAUAUCCUUUCAGUUUGCUAAAAAAAGAAAAUGAAAUAACAGUACCAUAUAAUGUAACAUUGAUGAAUUGAAAGACUUAACGAAAUGAUGUAGAUAUAUGAAAUAUGAAACAUAUUCCUAGAAUUAGUCUUAAAUGCAUUUGAAGAAAACAUUGACAACCAUGUUAAGAUUUUUAAUCCUUUUGUCAAACUUAUUCUUAACCAUUAACACAAAAUUCUAAUCUGAGACGAAACUUCAUAUUUAUGUUUUAAUGUCACCAUAUGUACUUUUUUUUACAUCGAAAAUAUAAAUUACACCCUUCAAUGAUUGAUCCCUGGACCUUCCCCUCCCAAUUCACAUAUUCCCAACUCUUACGACUUGAACUAUCUUUGGGGACAAUAUCACAUAUGUAAACCGGCGUCCUUGUGUUUUACAAAAAAAAUAAAAUUCUUCACCAUUAUUCUCAUGUUUGUUGAAGAGUCGUUUGAUUGCCAUCUGAGUUUAAUCAAACGACUAUUGAUUGACAAAUAAAAAAGUAAUAAAUCAUCUACAUUAAAACAUUUUUCCAUCAUUAAUUAAACUUCAUACUAACCAGCAACCUUCAGCAAAAAAAAUAUGAAAAAUGAAUUUUUUUUAAAGUAAUGACCCGCUUUCCACGUCAUUGAUCAUAACAAAUCAUAUAUGAUUCCAAUGUUUUUAAAAUUAAUUUUCUGCUUUAGCCUAUAUAAACCAAAAAAAAGGACAAAAGGACAAGCUUACUCUGUAAGGAUUUGGCUAUUUCCCCCAACGUCCUAGGAGAUCAUUUCCAUAUUGUGCGGAUUCCACACUUAUUAUUUAUUAUUUGCUUGAUUGAGAUAGGUUGCUACUUGCUUGCAUCAGUUGCAUGUAGCUGUAGUUGGAUCUCUGAUGUUAUAGAUUCAUUAAUAAACAUUUGUCAACGAAUUGAAUGGAUCACUGAUGCAGCUGCCAUGUUAUUUAUUUAAUCUUUUUAGUUAACAAUCCAUAUAAUUUAAGCUAGCAUAUAUAGUAUUCAUGUUUUUAACUACUAGCUUAAAAUAUUAAUGUAAACAUUUUAUAUUGCAUGCAUAUUGCAACAGAUCGAUGGAGAGUAAGCUUUUAACCCAGAAAAUUCUAACACUCUCAUGUUACUUUAAUUGUAUCGAUAUUGGUCCCCUCUUUCUAUAGUAAUUUUAACUUAUUUUUCGACGGUUAUAUUGACAAUUUAUAGACACAAUACAUAAAAUUUAUCAGGAUCACUGGAGACUUUCCCAUAUUGUUCUCAACCUUUUCCUUCUUAUAAUCUUAAGUUCAACUUGAAUGCAUAAUAAUAUUGAGUCCAUGUGCAAGUUGUUUUCAAGAAUAACUCCAUACUCAACUUUUGUUCUCAGUCAGAAAUAUUAUUCAUUUGUGCAACUUAUACAAAAGAUGCUUUGCAAGCUGUUUCCAUUAACUUAAUACAUAUAUGAGUAACUAUCGAACAACACACGUACGGUUUUUUUUUUUUGGAAGCAAAACUUUAUUGAUAAGGAGAGGUAACCAAGAGCAAGAAGGUAGCUCAAAGAAACAGAACAAGAUGCAGCACCAAAGUUCCACACAAAGGACCACAUAGACAGCAAAAAGAAAAAUUGCGAAGAUGCAUAACAGAAAGCAUUACAAGGGGUAGAAAUUGAGAAUAAUAAUGGGGGCAAAGCAUUCAAGAGAGUGCAGCCUUCAAACAAUUCCCCUCCAUUAUAGAAAGCCAUGAGCCAAGCUUCAGUAGACCAAUCAGCUUGGAUACCAAACAGUAGGAACUAGCAAAUAACACAGCUUCAUGAUCACAGCAUAAUGAGCAAAUACCAGUGCAGUGAAACACUACCAUUGGCAGAGGAGCUGAAACGAAAACAUGCAGUAAAAUAUAUAUAGUCAUAGAGUAAGGAAAAUUCAGUUCAGCUUCUCCCAGAUUGGUUCAAUUCUAUCGCACCCUGACUUUGCUAAUUCAUCGGCCUCACCAUUUGCUUCUCUAAGUGUAUGAGUCACUCCCACGCAAGCAACUUCCUUCAUAAUCCAAUCGAUAGCAUUCAGAUCAUUUAUAAGCGCUAAAGGUCUAUUGGAUUUGCAACGGACCCAACCCACCGCAAGUGUGGAAUCACUUUCAACCAGAACUUGAGAGAACCCAAAUUCUUUGGAAAAAAUCAGCGCCAGAAGAAUGGCUUUUACUUCAGCUUGGUAAGCCCAAGAAACCCCCAAAGGUUUAGAAAACCUGCCCAAUACAGCGCCCUCCGCGUUUCUCAGAAUUCCACCGGCACCGCUAAUGCCGGGGGAUCCUCUAGCAGAACCAUCAACAUUAAAUUUGAGAAUAUUAGCCUCCGGAGGGCACCAAGCACAGUUUCUUAUCUUACUCACUUUCCCCAAAGUUUUAAUGUUUUCAAAAUUUUGAGAGAAAUCAACAAUAGAGUAGGGACAACCUUUCCACCAUGCUUUUGUCCACGACAUAACCCUUAACAAGUGCAGGUCCCACACAUGCUCAUAAACAAAUUCCUUUUGGUUAAAAACCAAAUCAUUACGGGCUAGCCAAAUUGACCAGACCACAGCACAUGGCACAAGUUCCCACAGCACACGAUCAGAUUUAGCACGAAGGGAAGGCCAUUCCUUGAACAAGUCACCAACAGAACCCGGAACACACCAUUGAACCCCAUCUCUAGCCAAGAUAGAAGUCCAGAAUCUCCAAGGUUUAGCACACCACAACAUUAGGUGAUGGACAGAUUCGAGAGCCAUCCCACAUAGAUCGCAAUAGCCA